CAGGUAAUCUUCAAUCACUCCAACUUAUUAAAGCACGUCUCCAUUUCUCUAUAUGUCAGAAAAUUUUCUAAUCUUGCAAUAUUUUCAAUAUGCAUCUUGAGAAAGAUAGUUUUAACAAUUAUGGUCUCCUGCGUUGCAUGUAAUCUAGUUUCAACUAUUCAAACAAACACUGGAAUUCCUUCAUAACCUUGAACAGAUCAAUUGAUAUUCAAAUGAUCAUGCUUAAACAAUUAAAUGGCUAUGGAUUUUCAUUUGCAUCGAUAAAUGACAGUAUCUAAGUUUCGCAUGAACAUUAUCAGAUUCUAAAACCAGAACUACUGAAACAUUACUCUGCUCUCAUUCAGAAUUCGCGUACAUGAGGAAUGUCACAACUAAAGUGGAUGUGUUCAGCUUUGGCAUAGUAGUCAUGGAGUUCCUAACAAAACAAAGACCAACUGGACUCUUGGAAGAGGAUGGACUGCCAGUCAGUCUGCGUCAACUAGUUGAGAAAUCCCUUAGUAGUGGAACCAAAGGGAUCCUUCAAGUUUUGGACCCUGUGCUAGCUUUGAAUGUUUCCAAUGAACAAAUCGAAGGAGUGGAAGAGCUCUUUAAACUAGCCUUACUUUGUACCUCCCCUAUUCCUGAGGACAGACCCAACAUGAACGAGGUUUUGUCUUUCCUUGUGAAGCUGAAAGCAAAAUACUAUGAAAAUGAGGCCAUAACCUCAUGAAGAAUACACCACUCUUCUGUCUUGAAGAAGCAUGACUGCAGACUCCAUUGCAUUCUAAUGUAAUGGUAGGAUUGAAUUAUGUUUAUCUUGUUGUUACCAUGUAAUAGUUUAUGAUAAUGAAUAAUUUCAAUUUCCUCAAUAUCAAACUGAUAUUUCUUUUUUUUUUUUUGGAUAAAAAAUCAAACUGGUCUUUUUUUUUAUUUUUUUAUUUUAAGGGAGCAUAACCCUGCAAGGGAGGGGAGGCCCAGUCUGUGUUUUCUUUAAGGCUUUCUCGACCGACCAAGAAGCUGAAGACCGAACUGGUCUUUCAGUUCUUUUAUUUUGACCCGUUCCGUAGAAAAAUAUUAAUGCCCCACCUGGCCAAGCCCGACUACCACACCACCUAUCAACCUCUCUUCACAAGAGCUUUCGUCCACUGCUUAUCACAUUCAAUUAUACAAUGGCAGCUACAACUUUAGCUCUCUCGUCCCCAUCAUUCGCUGGAAAGGCUGCGACGUUCUCUCCUUCCGCCCCUGAAAUCCAGAACAAUGACCUUGUUCAUGAGGAAUACCACCAAGCCUGCUGCCUCUGGAAGCCCAUGGUACGGUCCAGCCAGAGUUUUGUACUUGGGUCCACUCUCUGGUGAGCUUCCAUCCUCGACCGGAGAGUUCCCUGGUGACUAUGGCUGGGACAUUGCUGGACUCCCUGCUGACUCAAAGAACUUUCCCGGGAAGUGUGAACUCGGAGUCAUCCACUGCAGAUGGGCCAUGAUGGGAGCUUUUGGAUGUGUUCUCCCUGAGCUUUUGGCAAGAAAAGGAGUCAAGUUCGAUAAGGCCGUGUAGUUCAAGGCCGGAGAUCAGAUUUUCAGCGAGGGUGGACUUGACUACUCGGGCAACCCAAGCUUGAUCCAAGCUCAAAGCAUCUUGGCCAACUGGGCUUGCCAAGUUCUCUUGAUGGGAGCUAUUGGGAGUUACUGUAUUGCUGGUGGGCCUCUAGGUGAGGUGACUGACCCACUCUACCCAGAUGGCAACUUCAACCUAUUGGGUCUUGCUGAUGACUAAGAGGCGUUCCCUGAACUUUAGCUCAAGGACAUCAAGAACGGCAGAUUGGCUAUGUUUUCCACGUUUGGAUUCUUCGUCUAGACCAUGGUGACCGGAAAGGAACCAUUGGAGAACUUGGCAGACCACCUUACAGACCCAGUGAACAACAAGGCCUCGGCCUAUGCCACCUACUUUAUCCCCAGAAAGUGAAGUUUAGAGGGUGAGAGUGAUUGGUCUUUUAUGUUUCAUUUGUUGGUGUGGUGUAAAUUUGUUGCAAAUCAAUGAGAGCAUAUUGUGAAUUCUUUUGUGCUCAAAUUGCACAUUGCCUCACAUCCUCUUCUCUGAGAAAGCUUCAACUAUUCAUCUUCAUUUGUAUAAAAAAGAAAAUGAUAAAAGAGUUGAAGCACAUGAGGACAAACGAAUAAUUGACUGUAAAAUUUGAUAAAAAAAAAAGGGGUGGGGGGUUAAAUUCCCGUAUACACUUCUCGGCCAUCUGUAAUUUGUAGUAUUUGAGAAUGAGACAAAAUGUUACAACUGAUCAAUUACAUAUAAACAUGUAAGAUAUAAAGAGUUUUGCAUAUAAAUUGCCUCUGCUCUUUGAAAGAAUUUGUACAACAAAGUCCAAGGAGAGUGGAGGAAAAAAGACCAAAUAUACGUAAAGCUUAAUCAACAAUAUGAGCGGUGAGAAUAAAUGUAACUAGGAAAAAUUGGGAGAGAAAGGUGCAAUGAGUACUGAAUUCACCAAUGCAGCUUUAACCUUACUUAAAUCUUCAACUAUAAGCAUGUAAUCUUUAAACCGUGGAUAUAUGGACAAAAUAACUCGUAACCCACUUCAAUAAAUCUGGACUUGCUCGAAUGAAGAAACUUUUGAGCUGAAGCUUAAGUGUGAAUUGCUGCUGCCCUGGCUCUGGCAACAGAUUUUGCAUAAAGUUCCUCAUAUUGUGAUGCUGAAGAAUCCCAGCUGAAAUCUAUAUUCAUGUCAUUUCGAACAAGUUGUUGCCAACUCUUCUGGUUGUUCUUGUAGAGAUUAAAUGCACGCUCAAAGGCACCGUUUACUCCCUGUCACUUUUUCACAUCAUCCAAGAGUAAAGUAUGAUAGAGCUGAAUUAAUGAUAUCUAAGGGUGAUCCCAGACAGGAAAGAGGAGAGGGUGAUGCACAUUCUUUUUAUUAUUUCUACUUAGCUUUAGAGAGAAAACACAGAUGCUAGAAUAAUAACAAGAAAAUGAACUUGGAAUGCUGGUUAAUUAUAUUUCAAUAAUUCAAUAAUUACCUGCUCAUCAGGAGUUGUAAAUGUAAAUCCAUUUCGAAAUUGGUGAGGUAUUGUGUCAUCAUCAACAUCAAACACACUACAGAAGAAAAUUAACAAGGAAUAAAGCUUAAUUUUGAGGUCAAAGUAAUGUCACAUUAGGGCAUUGGCAUACAUAGUUCAGGCAAAGCAGUUCACCUGUCAUUUAGACCACCGGUUUUUCUUGCAAUGGGUACAGAACCAUAUCUCAUUGCUAUCAUCUGGAUGCAAAAGAAAUCACUUAUAACUAGAAAAGGGAAACUUAAACAGAGGCUUAGAUAUUCACAUGGUUUGCCUUUUAACAGUAACAGGCACAAAUGAACGUGUUUCAAUCUAGUUUUUUCUAUUCAAUAAGAUUGCUAAAGCUGAAGUUUGAUCCAUACCUGUGUAAGGCCACAAGGCUCAAAAAUAGAUGGAAUGAUGAACAUGUCAGAUGCUGCGUAAAUGUAAUGAGAAAGAGACUCGUCAUAUUUUAGUAUUAGCCGGAUGUGUUCAUGAUUUUGAAAUUGGUUCGCUAUACCCUCAAAUUCCCUCUGCAAAAGAAUUAAAAAGAAUAUAUAAAGAAAGAAUCUCUCUCUACUAUCAGUGUCAACCAAUAGAAGUAUGGAACAGUAAAAGGAUUAACUUAAAAUAAAAUAACUCCACACAUGGACCAUAGUAAUGCAUGAAAUGAAGCCCGAAUGGAGUUUUAUUGUUUCUUAUUGCUUUCUCUCAUGUAGUAUCUAUAUGACUAAUAGGUUUCAAUCCAUGAAACAUAUCUUCUCAAAUCAUGUUUAUAACUCAUUACUCAGCUUUACCAUUUUAAUGUAAUAUUACAUGCAAGUAUGGAAUUAUAUAAAAAGUAAUAUGCAUGUGACUGCAGGUAAAUAUGUACUUGUUUUUGUGCACCAUGUUUCCAAUAUUUCUCACAGAUAUAAAAAAAAAAAAAAAAAGAAAUCCAACACAACAAAAAGAAAUGCAGACAAAUGCUUCAGUUGUUUCAUAAUUGAAGAGGCUUUUCAGUAGUUUCUGAUGCAUACUGUAGGAAAACACUUAUUUACAGCUGGUUGUAAUCUUGUAAUUUGUAUAUUUAUAUUUGUAUAUCUAGAAUUAAGUAUUAGUAUCCCUAGAAUUAAGAAAGAUUUAGUUUCCUAGUUUAACCCUUAGUUAGUUGUAUAUAAACCUAAGAUUCUUGUAUAAUUCAAGAUAAGCAGUUUUUCAAUAUACAUUCAGCUUCCACAUGGUAUCAGAGCUUUAGGCUCUUCUUGGGAAGAAAAGUUUUCAGCCUUCAUUGCUGACUUUUUUAGGCCUUCAUUGCCGAAUCCUAUUUAGACCUUCAUUGCCAAACCCUUUCAAAGAAAGAUAUCACUAUCACCCAAUUUGAGGAAAUGUUAACUGGGAAAAUCACUAGAGUACUACAGAUGUCUCAAAAACAAAGAGAGUUCAACAGGGAAGAGAUUGAAAAGCUGAGAAACUUAUUGAAAAUCCUUGAAAAGCCUACUAUGGUAUGUUCUUUGGGUAAAGUUUUUAGUUUAGGUAAAGUUUUCGGUUCUCAUGGAUUAAAUGUCUCGGCUAACCCUAUUACGAGUUCUUGGCUCAUUGACUCAAGAGCCAUAGACCACAUGACACAUUCCUCACAAAAGUUUAGUACAUAUAACCUGUGUCCUAGUAAUAAGAAAAUUGUUGUUGCUGAUGGUUCACUUACCACAGUGGCAGGAUUAGGAGAUGUUCAAGUUAAUCCCUCGUUUGUUCUAAAAAAUGUUCUUCAUGUUCCUGGAUUGUCUACUAAUCUGAUAUCUAUACAAAAACUUACUAGAGAUAUGAAUUGCAAAGUAACUUUUUAUCUCUCUUAUUGUGAAUUUCAGGAUCAAAGUUCGGGGAAGAUGAUUGGACUUGCUAAGGAGAAGGAUGGACUAUACUAUCUUGAGACAUCAAAUAACACAAGUAGUAUCAAAAAUAGUUUACCUUUGUCAUUUCUUUCUGAAAAAUUUUUCAAUAAAGACAAAAUCUGGCUUUAUCAUUUUCGUCUUGGACAUCCUUCUUUUGGAACCUUGAGAAACAGGUUUCCUUCUUUGUUCAAAGAAUUAAAUGUUGAAGAUUUUCAUUGUGAUAUUUGCGAAUUUGCAAAACAUAGACGUGUGUCUUUUCCAAUUAGUAACAAAAGAAGUUCUACUCCCUUUUACUUGAUUCAUAGUGACAUUUGGGGUCCCUCUAUAAUUCCUAAUAUUUCUGAUGCGAGAUGAUUUGUUUCAUUCAUAGAUGAUUGUACUAGGGUCUCUUGGAUUUUUUUACUUAAAUCCAAAUCAAAUGUGAAUGGUGUGUUUUUAAGCUUCCAAAACAUGAUCGAAAAUCAAUUUAGAGUAAGAAUCAAGAGAUUUAGGUCUGAUAAUGCAAGAGACUACUUCAACCAGAGUCUAUCCACCUAUUUCCAAAAAGAGAGGAUUAUUCAUGAGUCAUCUUGUAUUAAUACUCCACAGCAGAAUGGAAUGGCAGAGAGGAAAAACAGCCAUUUACUAGCCACAACCCGAGCCUUUCUUUUUCAAGCAAAUGUACCUAAAUCUUAUUGAGGGGAAGCUGUUCUCACUGCCACACACAUUAUAAAUAGGUUACCUUCAAGAGUUUUGGGAUUUAAAACUCCCAUGGAACUACUCUCACAAUUUUAUCCCAACCUCAAUACCACAAACAAUCUCACACCUAGGAUAUUUGGUUGUACAUCAUUUGUUCAUGUUCACAGUCAUAACAAGGGAAAGUUGGAUCCAAGAGCGAUUAAAUGUAUUUUUGUGGGGUAUUCUUCAACUCAAAAAGGAUAUAAGUGCUAUCAUCCUCCUACCAAAAAAUUCUAUGUGUCUGCAGAUGUCACUUUUGAAGAAAAUAAAUCAUUUUUUACUCAAUCUUAUCUUCAGGGGAAGACUUCAUUCAUGGAAGAUAAGGAUAAAGACUUCUUUUUGCUUGAUUUGCCCCCUUCUUUAACAUUUACACCCAUUAAUUCUUCUGAGUGGAAACCUGUUUCUACUGAGCCCAAGUCAAACACUGAAUUUGAGCCUGAACCCAUUCCAAAUACGAAAGAUGUGACAAAGGAUAAUAUUGUUCUUGAUUCUAUGAAGGAAUUACAGGUGUACUCAAAAAGAAAAGUUCCAGAUCCUGAACCUGUGCUAGUCCAAGAACCUGAUCCUAACUCUGAAAAUGAGGUAACUACAGUUUUUGACUCUGUUGCUCAAAAUGAGCAUGAAUCUCCUAAAACUAUAACUAGUGAUUAUGAUUUGCCUAUUGCCAUUAGGAAAGGAACCAGAGAAUGUACCAAGCAUCUACUAUACCUGUGGGAAAACACUUAUUUACAGCUGGUUGUAAUCUUGUAAUCUGUAUAUUUAUAUUUGUAUCUCUAGAAUUAAGUAUUUGUAUCCCUAGAAUUAAGGAAGAUUUAGUUUCCUAGUUUAACCCCUAGUUAGUUGUAUAUAAACCUAAGAUUCUUGUAUAAUUCAUGUAAGCAGUUUUUCAAUAUACAUUCAGUUUCCACAUGGUAUCAGAGCUUUAGGCUCUUCUUGGGAAGCAAAAUUUUCAGCCUUCAUUGCUGACUUUUUUAGGCCUUCAUUGCCGAAUCCUGUUUAGGCCUUCAUUGCCGAACCCUUUCAAAGAAAGAUAUCACUACACCUCAAUUUGAGAAAAUGUUAACUGGGAAAAUCACUAGAGUACUACAGAUGUCUCAGAAACAAGGAGAGUUCAACAGGGAAGAGAUUGAAAAGCUGAGAAACUUAUUGAAAAUCCUUGAAAAGCCUACUAUGGUAUGUUCUUUGGGUAAAGUUUCUAGUUCAGGUAAAGCUUCUGGUUCUCAUGGAUUAAAUGUCUCGGCUAAGCCUAUUACGAGUUCUUGGGUCAUUGACUCAGGAGCCACAGACCACAUGACACAUUCUUCACAAAAAUUUAGUACAUAUAACCUGUGUCCUAGUAAUAAGAAAAUUGUUGUUGCUGAUGGUUCACUUACCACAGUGGCAGGAUUAGGAGAUGUUCAAGUUAAUCCCUCGUUUGUUCUAAAAAAUGUUCUUCAUGUUCCUGGAUUAUCUAUUAAUUUGAUAUCUAUACAAAAACUUACCAGAGAUAUGAAUUGCAAAGUAACUUUUUAUCCCUCUUAUUGUGAAUUUCAGGACCAGAGUUCGGGGAAGAUGAUUGGACUUGCUAAGGAGAAGGAUGGACUAUACUAUCUUGAGACAUCAAAUAGCACAAGUAGUAUCAAAAAUAGUUUACCUUUGUCAUUUCUUUCUGAAAAAUCUUCCAAUAAAGACAAAAUUUGGCUUUAUCAUUUUCGUCUUGGACAUCCUUCUUUUGGAACCUUGAGAAACAUGUUUCCUUCUUUGUUCAAAGGAUUAAAUGUUGAAGAUUUUCAUUGUGAUAUUUGUGAAUUUGCAAAACAUAGACGUGUGUCUUUUCCAAUCAGUAACAAAAGAAGUUCUACUCCCUUUUACUUGAUUCAUAGUGACAUUUGGGGUCCCUCUACAAUUCCUAAUAUUUCUGGUGCGAGAUGGUUUGUUUCAUUCAUAGAUGAUUGUACUAGGGUUUCUUGGGUUUUUUUACUUAAAUCCAAAUCAGAUGUGAAUAGUGUGUUUUUAAGCUUCCAAAACAUGAUCCAAAAUCAAUUUGGAGUGAGAAUCAAGAGAUUUAGGUCUGAUAAUGCAAGAGACUACUUCAACCAUAGUCUAUCCACCUAUUUUCAAAAAGAGGGGAUUAUCCAUGAGUCAUCUUGUGUUAAUACUCCACAGCAGAAUGGAGUGGCAGAGAGGAAAAACAGUCAUUUACUAGCCACAACCCGAGCCUUUCUUUUUCAAGCAAAUGUACCUAAAUCUUAUUGGGGGGAAGCUAUUCUUACUGCCACAUACAUUAUAAAUAGGUUACCUUCAAGAGUUUUGGGAUUUAAAACUCCUAUGGAACUACUCUCACAAUUUUAUCCCAACCUCAAUACCACAAACAAUCUCACACCUAGGAUAUUUGGUUGUACAUCAUUUGUUCAUGUUCACAGUCAUAACAGGGGAAAGUUGGAUCCAAGAGCGAUUAAGUGUAUUUUUGUGGGGUAUUCUUCAACUCAAAAAGGAUAUAAGUGCUAUCAUCCUCCUACCAAAAAAUUCUAUGUGUCUGCAGAUGUCACUUUUGAAGAAAAUAAACCAUUUUUUACUCAACCUUAUCUUCAGGGGGAGACUUCAUUCAUGGAAGAUAAGGAUAAAGACUUCUUUUUGCUUGAUUUUCCCCCUUCUUCAACAUUUACACCCAUUAAUUCUUCUGAGUCGAAACCUGUUUCUGCUGAGCCCAAGUCAAACACUGAAUUUGAGUCUGAACCCAUUCCAAAUACAGAAGAUGUGACAAAGGAUAAUAUUAUUCUUGAUUCUAUGAAGGAAUUACAGGUGUACUCAAGAAGGAAAGUUCCAGAUCCUGAACCAGUGCCAGUCCAAGAGCCUGAUCCUAACUCUGGAAAUGAGGUAACUACAGUUUUUGACUCUGUUUCUCAAAAUGAGCAUGAAUCUCCUAAAACUAUAACCAGUGAUUAUGAUUUGCCUAUUGCCAUUAGGAAAGGAACCAGAGAAUGUACCAAGCAUCCACUAUACCCAAUAUCUAAUUUUGUGUCAUUUGAAAAAUUCUCACCAUCCCACAAAAAUUUUCUUGUGAGCCUAAACACUAUUUCUGUUCCAACUACAUUAUCCGAGGCAUUAUCCAAUGAGAAAUGGAGGCAAGCCAUGAAAAUAGAAAUGGAGGCCUUAGAGAAAAAUCAGACAUGGGAACUGGUAGAGUUGCCUAAAGGAAAAAAUUCAGUGGGGUGUAAAUGGGUUUUCACCGUAAAAUACAAGGCAGAUGGUACUGUUGAAAGGUAUAAAGCCAGGUUAGUGGCUAAGGGCUACACUCAAACUUAUGGAGUGGAUUACCAGGAAACCUUUGCUCCAGUUGCCAAGAUGAAUACAGUUAGAAUUUUGUUAUCAUUGACUGCAAAUUACAAUUGGCAGCUUCAACAAUUUGAUGUAAAGAAUGCUUUUCUACAUGGUGAUUUGGAAGAAGAAAUAUAUAUGAAGGUUCCACCGGGAUUUGAAGGUCAUCUAGAAGCAAACAAAGUAUGCAGGCUAAAAAAGGCUUUAUAUGGCCUUAAACAAUCUCCUAGAGCUUGGUUCGGGAGAUUUGCCAAAGCGAUGUUAGUAAUGGGAUAUAAACAGAGUCAAGGAGAUCACACAUUGUUUAUCAAGCACUCUGAUUCAGGGAGAGUCACAGUUCUAUUAGUGUAUGUUGAUGAUAUAAUUGUAACUGGAGAUGAUGAAAAAGAGAGAGAAUCUUUAAAACAGUGUUUGGCUAGAGAAUUUGAGAUAAAAGAGCUAGGGAGAUUGAAGUACUUCCUAGGAAUUGAAGUAGCUCACUCACGGCAUGGUAUUUUUAUCUCACAACAGAAAUAUGUGAUGGAUCUUCUGAAAGAAACUGGGAAGCUUGCAUGUAAACCUGCAAAUACCCCUAUAGAUCCUAAUCAUAAAAUUGGAGAAGCUAAUGAAGAUGCUGCUGUAAAUAGAGAGAUGUACCAAAGAUUAGUGGGAAGACUCAUUUAUCUCUCACAUACUAGACCUGAUAUAGCAUAUGCUGUGAGUGUGGUAAGUCAAUUUAUGCAAAGUCCUAAAGAAGUGCACCUACAGGCUGUCUACCGUAUAUUGCACUAUUUGAAGGCCAAUCCUGGGAGAGGUAUCUUAUUCAAAAGAAAUUUGGGGUUAGCUCUAGAAGCAUAUACAGAUGCUGAUUAUGCAGGUUCAGUAACUGAUAGAAGAUCCACCUCAGGCUAUUGUACUUUCUUAGGUGGUAAUCUUGUGACUUGGAGGAGUAAAAAACAGAAUGUGGUGGCAAGAUCAAGUGCUGAAGCAGAGUUCAGAGCAAUGGCUCAAGGGAUUUGUGAACUACUAUGGUUAAAGAUUAUCUUAGAAGACUUGAAGAUCAAGUGGGAUGGACCAAUGAGACUCUACUGUGAUAACAAGUCUGCAAUAAGCAUUGCUCACAAUCCUGUACAACAUGACAGAACAAAACACAUUGAAGUAGACUGGCAUUUCAUAAAGGAGAAACUAGACAGUGGGUUGAUUUGUACACCUUAUGUAUCAACCAAGGGUCAACUUGCAGAUGUGUUGACUAAAGGUCUCAGCAGUGCAACAUUUCAAGGAAUUAUUUCCAAGCUGGGAAUGGAAAACACCUAUUCACCAGCUUGAGGGGGAGUGUGGGAAAACACUUAUUUACAGCUGGUUGUAAUCUUGUGAUCUGUAUAUUUAUAUUUGUAUCUCUAGAAUUAAGUAUUUGUAUCCCUAGAAUUAAGGAAGAUUUAGUUUCCUAGUUUAACCCCUAGUUAGUUGUAUAUAAACCUAAGAUUCUUGUAUAAUUCAUGUAAGCAGUUUUUCAAUAUACAUUCAGUUUCCACAAUACCCAAUAUCUAAUUUUGUGUCAUUUGAAAAAUUCUCACCAUCCCACAAAAAUUUUCUUGUGAGCCUAAACAUUAUUUCUGUUCCAACUACAUUAUCCGAGGCAUUAUCCGAUGAGAAAUGGAGGCAAGCCAUGAAAAUAGAAAUGGAGGCCUUAGAGAAAAAUCAGACAUGGGAACUGAUAGAGUUGCCUAAAGGAAAAAAUCCAGUGGGGUGUAAAUGAUUUUCACUGUAAAAUACAAGGCAGAUGGUACUGUUGAAAGGUAUAAAGCUAGGUUAGUGGCUAAGGGCUACACUCAAACCUAUGGAGUGGAUUACCAGGAAACCUUUGCUCCAGUUGCCAAGAUGAAUACAGUUAGGAUUUUGUUAUCAUUGGCUGCAAAUUACAAUUGGCAGCUUCAACAAUUUGAUAUAAAGAAUGCUUUUUUACGUGGUGAUUUGGAAGAAGAAAUAUAUAUGAAGGUUCCAUCGGGAUUUGGAGGUCAUCUAGAAGCAAACAAAGUAUGCAGGCUAAAAAAGGCUUUAUAUGGCCUUAAACAAUCUCCUAGAGCUUGGUUCGGGAGAUUUGCUAAAGUGAUGCUAGCAAUGGGAUAUAAAUAGAGUCAAGGAGAUCACACAUUGUUUAUCAAGCACUUUGAUUCAGGGAGAGUCACAGUUCUAUUAGUGUAUGUUGAUGAUAUAAUUGUAACUGGAGAUGAUGAAAAAGAGAGAGAAUCUAUAAAACAGUGUUUGGCUAGAGAAUUUGAGAUAAAAGAGCUAGGGAGAUUGAAGUACUUCCUAGGAAUUGAAGUAGCUUACUCACGGCAUGGUAUUUUUAUCUCACAACAGAAAUAUGUGAUGGAUCUUCUGAAAGAAACUGGGAAGCUUGCAUGUAAACCUGCAAAUACCCCUAUAGAUCCUAAUCAUAAAAUUGGAGAAGCUAAUGAAGAUGCUGCUGUAAAUAGAGAGAUGUACCAAAGAUUAGUGGGAAGACUCAUUUAUCUCUCACAUACUAGACCUGAUAUAGCAUAUGCUGUGAGUGUGGUAAGUCAAUUUAUGCAUAGUCCUAAAGAAGUGCACCUACAGGCUGUCUACCGUAUAUUGCACUAUUUGAAGGCCAAUCCUGGGAGAGGUAUCUUAUUCAAAAGAAAUUUGGGGUUAGCUCUAGAAGCAUAUACAGAUGCUGAUUAUGCAGGUUCAGUAACUGAUAAAAGAUACACCUCAGGUUCUGUAUAUUUAUAUAACCACAUACUAUAAUGCACCGAAAUAAGUCCCAUGGACUACAACAAAUCAAGUCAUUGAACCUAUCCAGGUUCAACAUAAUGCUGAAACAGCUGCAUGCAUUAUAUGCCCUUUUCUUCAAGGGCAUAUAAUACAUGCAGAAAGAAUUUAAAAGCUGAAGCGGAAAGAAUUUUCCUGUCCUUACUGGUCAAUGAUAGCAGAAGUACUACCCAAUCAUCAUAUGUUAUAAAAAAAACCUUUCUCAGAUGGUUUAUGGUUCUGGUAUCAAUUAUCAAGAAAACGUCCAAGGAGACUGUCUAAAGCAAAUUUAAUAGAGGAAAAAAGAUAAAAAGCCAGCAUUAAGCUUCAGAAGGAAAAAAACACUACUUUGUUAAUGAGAUCUUCUUUCCCAUCAUUUGCUUUUGCAUAGACAAAACAGCAGUAGAGGUUCACCUGAAUGUGGGCAACUGGACUUGAACCAAGAAGUACAAAUUGACCACCCAUCUCCAGUGUUCGAUAUAUGGCAUGCCUAAUUAGAUGUACGCCCUUCUGUGGCACCAAUCUUGUUAUGCAGCCCACCUAUUCAAUAAUAAAUACAAGACCACUAGUAAGAAACUAGGCAAUAUUCAGUCAAGAAAUAAUAACCACCCCCAUGAUGCAACAUUAUUGAAACCAAAGGUGACCUUGUAUUCGCAUUGUACACUCAAAAGCUUGCGUAAAGAAUAUAUAAUACAUAUCAGUAUGUUGAUAUAUACCUCAAGCACUCCUAAUAGAAAGAGGUAUAUUACAAUAUUCAGUUUGAUUAAAUGAUGGCUUCUUAUCACAUGAGGAUAUGAAGGCAAUUAUAUAGAAAAGUUUAAUUCUAAAAAUUGAUUAAAUUUUUUGAAAGUUGUCAGUGGAAAGUCUGACAGUACAAUCUUAGAAUCUUAUUUCAGUUACUGCAAAUGAAUGCAUACAACAAAUCAACUUGACAAAACAGUAAAACAUCAGAAAAAAGAAGGGGCAUCUCACACAAAAGAAUAUCCUGUGUUAUUAACUUAAAAUCCAAAGUUUCUAUUAGUAUAUCAUCUUCAUAGAUAUACUAACAGUAUGAUUUGCUAUGAACCAGAAUAGACACCUUAGCUUUCCAUGAAAAAUAAGGUUAAAACAACAGAGUGCUAGAGAAUAUUUAGCAUCACAAUAUUGCAAAUAAAAACUUAGAAGUAAAAUUACCAAUGGCUGUUGAUCGUCAGCAGAUAAGAGCCCUAGAUGCCUUCUCAUGGCAGCUUUAUUUUCUGCUUUCCCUUGGAGCUCGUUAGCACUGUACUGAACUUUGAGAAAAAUAUCAGUGGUAGGAUUCCAUGCAUCGGUAUCGAUCCCAUUUAAGAUUCCCAUAAACUUUUUUGAGUGAAAAUUAAGUGUUGAAUGAAGGCCUCUUCCUCCCUGUAAAAAAUAGGGGCACAAUUUUGUAGUGUAACCUUAAAAUUAAAAAUGCAGACCAAGUUGUUCAAAGAAAAACUACAAAACAUUCAUACCUCAGCAGUUCGGACCUCUUGUGCAUAAGUGGGUGAUACUGUUGUCACUAUGUUAGAGAACACAAUUGCACCCUGAAAAGACGGAAAAUUAGAAAAAGAAUAGGAAAAAACUUGACUUUCCCAAAAGAAUGAUAUUUGUUAUAGCCAAACCAGUGAUUAGUGCACCUUAACAGGAUUGACCCUAUCAUGUGCUGAGUUAUCCUGCAUUCUAUCAGGUCUAUUUAGCUGGGGGACAUCCAGACCACAUGAUGCCAAUUCUGUAGCAGAUGCAGUCCCUUGGUACUCAAAAUUAUGGCAAGUAAAACAUAUUCGAGCUGAAUUCAAACCUUUUGGAGCAUACAAGUCCCAGUAGAGUGGUGCCUGAAAAAGUCGUAAGAAACACUUUAGUGCAACAGAACAUUGAAUCAGGAGCCAAAAGAAACAUAAGGUCAAAAUGUCAUACAACAAAAGCUGUCUGCCAAUCAUGGCAAUGAAUUAUGUCUGGUUUCUUGCCAGCUUGAAGAAGCAAUUCAAGUGCUGCACGACUGAAAAAUGAAAAACGCUUGAAAUCAUCAUGCUCUCCAUAAUAUUGUCCUCUCCAAAAGAACUUGUUGGGAUGAUGAGGCUCAAUAAAGUAAACAGGCAGACCUGUGAAUUAAAUUCUGAAUUCAGAUUACAAAGCUAAUAGAUAACAUGCAACUGGAAGGGAAAGAAAAAAUUCUCACCUUCAACAGUACCAACCCAAACUUUAUUUUGGAAUAGUUUUCCAUCAAAAUAUGACUCUACUGUCACAUCUAAGGCCUGUUCAAAAAAAUUAAAAUCAUCAUAAGCAUACAUUGGCCUAUGAUCUUAGUGCUUCUCAAAUCUCCAAUAUGAUAACAUACCCUUAAGUCACGAACACGGUUAUAUUGCAUACAAUCAUAUUUUGGAAGAAUAAUCUCCACAAGGUGCCCUUUCUUCUGCAAUGCUUUACUAAGACCAGUCACAACAUCCCCUAAACCACCAACCUGAUUGAAGAAUAUUGAAUUAAAAAAACAUAGCAACAAUAAAUAAAGAACAAUUAGUCCUUCAAACUAACAUGUACUUUUUCAAUAUGCAACAAUGUGCAGAAAAUCUAAAAACAAAAAUCACAAACUAAUUAUUGAAUAUUAAUUUUUCAGUAUUAGAAACCUGGAGAUCAUUUUUGUAAACAGAUAAAAAUCCGAAUCUAUCAAAGAACGUGAUAUCAUUACCAUGUAAAGAUAGAUUUUAAUAAGUAUUUACUGAUCCAUAGGGUGGAUUGGCAACAAAAAUAGAAAAGAGAAUGCAGGAAUAAAAUGAAAUCACCAUUGAGACAUUCCUGAUCACAUAAAACAGCCAGCUAUCCAGCCAUGCAAGUCCAAACACAAGACCACAAAAAUAAUACCCAAGUAGCAACCUUCCAGCAGUGCAAAGGUACAGAGACAUUUAUGAUUAUACACUACUGACUACUUUCAAGCAGACUGAAACCAUAUAUUGUGUUUAUGCACAAUUCCAGCAAAGACUUUCUUUCUAGGAACUUGUUUACUUGGUAAUGGAGCAAAAGGCGAAAGCUACACUAGGGAUGUUUGAAAUAGUUGUGGUUGAAUUUCUCAGCUAACUGUGGCGAAUUAAACGGAAACUUUAAGCUUAUUUAGUCAAGGUAAACAAUAGGCAAAGGAGAUCCAAGAGAACUGCUAAAGAGGACUGUUCUCUAGUAGGGAAAGUGGUAAACUUGUACUUCAUAUUACAAUUUAGUAGAUUAACAAGUAAAAUGAAGAUGUCUACUCUAUUGGAGUUUUAAAGGGUCUCAUUUGUUUUCAUUCUUUCCCACAAAAAUCCAAGCCAUAAGUAAAGCUUUAGAUCAACCUAGAUAUUACUGUAGUGCAUGCUACUUGAACUCCAAAAGGAAAGAACAGUAGACUCUGUACUUCUAUGACACUAACUUAUAAACAUGUAAUCUUUAGUGAAAACCAUGCAGAGUCUUCCAUUAUGAUUAAAGAAGAAACCACCAAGGUUGUAACUGGUAAAGCAUUACCAAUCAUAACAGCUGCAGGUAUAUUCAAAGGAGAAUGCACUGGCGAACAUUGAAAAAACACACAGGUUGGGGAAAAGAACAGCUGCAAGCAAGUAUAAUAAGGCCAACAAGAUUACAGAAAGGCAAAAUGCUAACUGUUAAGAUGCUCCUCUUACUUAUAUCUUCUUAUUUUAGAAAAUGCAAAAUAUGCAAGGCAUCGGAACCACAAAAAUAUCAAAUGGCUGCACAACACCUUGCAAGAAAUUAACAAUCUAACAAAUACAUUUGUGAUUUUCUUUUGGGACAUAGUCAAUCAAAUAAGAAGUCAGCAAUUCAAUAAGAAUACAACAUCAGAGAUGUAGAUGGGUUAAGGGUGCCAUGUUGAAAAAGGACUAAAAAGGAUAAGACCUCUUAUAAUGUAUAUUCAUUAAAGAUUAACAAAGAGAAUAACAAAGAGGGGCUAAAGUCUUACCUUAGCAACUGGUGCCAUCUCAGCAGCGAUAUGAACAACAUACAACCCUGGGCUAAAGAUCAACAAAAUGGACAAGUUAAAAAGCAGCAGUAAUGCAGUAAAAUUGACUAGUUAAAGCUAAGUACCUAGCUGGUGAUGAUGUCAGCCGGAGAAAUGUAGAUACAGCUUCACUCUCAUUCUUUUCUUUGCAUGCCAAAUAUGCAUCACAAAUGUGUUGAUCCCUCUUCCACACCAAUUCUCUCAACAGCUUUGCAUCAGUGUUUGAUAUUUUCUUCUCAAGCACCCAACCAUCAAUGGUAAGCAAUAAACGGCUCCAAAAUUCCCAAGGCAUAUCAUCAACUGGUUCAUUUGAUGCCCUUUUCUUGCUUUCUUCUAUCAAACUGUCUAGGGUGUCCUGAAAUUCCUUUACAGAUUCUUGAUAUAAUUGGACAUAUGAAUGUAUCUCUUGGUCAGACUUUUGAAGACGCUCCUCUAGUAGUUUCAUCUUUUGCUGCAUGAGUUCAUUAUAUUGUUGCAUUUUCUCAGAUGACACCUUAAAGACAUUAGCCUCUUCAAGAGAUUCUUCCAAUUUAUCAACCUUCUUUCGAAGAUCCUGGUUUUGCUGUAACACUAAAAUGGCUUGAUCAGCCUGUUUAGUUGCCUUAUCCAGCAAGAGUUGCAAAUUUUCUACCUUUGCCCAUAGGUCCUUGCAUUCAACCUUUAGGGUAGAAAUAUUUGAAGAGUCUUCCUGAGAAACCGACAGUUUAGACUCCAACUCCUUUAGAGAGGACUGUAAAAAAGAGCGUUCAUUUUCCAGUGUUAUCAUGCGUUCAUCGGUGUUCUUGACAUUGCUAAGCAUAGACUUAAGUGCUUGGAUAUCAUUUUUUAGGGCUAGAUUCUCUGUCUUCAAUGAAUCAACCUCCUUGCUAAGAGAAUGAACACGACCAUCACGUGCUAAAAGUACUUCCUCAUUUGAAAUUUUGUUUUGAUUCUGAGACAAUUCAAGCUCACUUUUCCCAGAACCUCCCCUGUGAAUCAGCUCAUUUCGUAACUUCUCUAACUGAUCUUCUAGGAGCUCCACAUGUAUCUUUUCUUGGCAAGCAACUUUAAUCUGUGCAUCAGCUUCUGUCAGUCUCAUUUCCAAAAUGUUAAUUUCUCCUUGCAAUGUCUCCUUCUCACUGAGAAUCUUAUGAAGAUCUUCUAAUGCAUGAACCCGAGCUUGAUUGAGAAGAAGGAUAUCUACAUAUUUAGACACAAAUGUAUAUGACGAUCUUAAUGAAAAUCACACAAAGGUUCCUACCAAAAUGAGUAUUACAUAAAAAUAAAUUCAAGAGUUUCUUAACAGCAAGAUAUCCUACUUCUCUCUGCAUUUUUUAUCAUGCCUAUCAGGUCCUCUAGUUGAACACCUGAGAGCUGCUCUCCACCAUCUCUGUUUAUGGCCUGCAUAAGAGAAAAUGGCUUAUAAAUAUUUUGAAUUUUAACCUUCAAUUUACAUAGUUCCUAUUAAGAAAAAAGAAAGCAGGACAGGAAGUAUAUGACCAUGUAUAGCUAACAGUUCCAUAAAUAAAUAAUUGUUUCUCCCAAGACUUGAUAUGUCCAUAACUCUAACCUAAAAUGAAAUCACUUUCAUCAAAGCUCCAGGAUACUCAACCAGAUAAUACAUCAAUAAAGUAUUCAGAUCACUGCUUGAAGAGUAACAGUAAAUAAUGCAUCUUAACAGCCAAAAAAAUUCCAGAAUGGCAAUUUUGAUAUUAAAAUAGCUUAUAAAAAUCUUAAUUAACAAACUUCAAUAAAGAUAUAAUUAUUCCAUAUAAUGCAUUGAAUUUCUGGAAUUUAUGCAGCACCACUGAUAACUUAAAAUUAUGAUAAUUGCUGGAACACAAAAAAUAAAGCAAUGGUAAAUGUGUUCAAUUAUUUUUCCCACUUUGCCACCAUUCUAUAAAAGUUCACAAAGAUAAAACAAAUCAAAUCAAAAUAUCUAUACAGAUAAAACAAUAAGCAUCACCCGCCAACACAAUCUGCAUCCAGAUUUAAUGCAGGCUUAUUGGUAAAUGAAAAUACCAAAGCUUUUGUUACAGCAGGCAGUGUGAGGCUGUCCAUAAUCUGUUCAUCGGUAUGCUCCAUAUCUCUGUUAGUAUCAAUGGCAGAGACAGAUAGAGUGCCCAAAUUCUCUUCAUCAAUAUGCUUCACAUCUACCCUAGUGUCAGCAUCAUCUUUACAAGUAGUUUCAUGAUUUCCAAUAUGCUCCAUAUCUACACUAUUUAGGACAGAAUUUUCAGGGUCAGAUUCCUCCUCGCUAUUUGGCUGCAACUUUGCACUUGUUGGAAUCCGCACAGAAGGAGGUUUCUUUCCUUGUUGUCUUUUAUGAUGUGAACUGCAUGAAUAUCAGUAGCAACAUCAAAUAAAUCGAUCAUAUGUCAAUAGGAAUACAUAAAAGAUCCCAACGCGUCUUCUAGUUGCUGAGAAUAUAAUUUAUAUGACGUAAAUAUUCACAAUUUUACAAUAAGUAUCAAAUUACCACGGUCAUUAUUACUCAAGCUCAUUUACCAGCCCAAAUUUGUUACUAAUCCGCCAUUAAUUUGCAUUGCAAAAUCAAAGCCUACCAAAGAAUGUCGAGGUUUCGCUAAAUUAGGGCCAAAUGAAGUUCAAUUCAAUAAAAAAUUUCUCAAAAGCAAAAUGAACAGAGCCUUAAAAACAGAUUAAACAACAAAGGAGAGCCAGAAUCGAUCUUUUAAAACCGCUAUGGAUACAAGAAAAGUACCUGAGAUUACGUUGCUGCAUCUUACAAGAAGCUGGAAGUAAGCGACGAGAAGGCAAGAACAAUAACCUUAGAUUUACAUUCUUAUUAUAACUAUUAACAUUAUUUUCGUUAUUAUUGUUAUUCAAACCGAUAAAGCCAUGGCUGAAAAAGCAGGUCGAUAGCUGCAAAGCCAUGUUUUCUCUUUUUUCUUUUUGUUUGUUUGGAAUGCGAGAAAAGGCUCGCUCUCUCUCUCUCUCUCUCUCUCGACGGGUUUAUAGAAAAAAAUUAGGAAGGUAAACAAAAACUAAAGAAUAAACGUUUUCUUCUGCUCAAGGUUAAGUUACUGCCUCGAACCGGAAGCUUAGCAUAAAAAUUUUUGAAAUUUUACAAAAUAAAUAUCAGAAAUGCUGAUAAUAUCUUACUGGACCGGAGAGAACGGAGUCGGCCGUGGAGUCCAGUGGCAUCUUCUCGUUGAAUCUUUAUUUUACGACAAAUCAAAUGAUAAUAUGGUAAGUUGUACGUGUGAGUGUUUGGAGUUUAGGACCCAUAUCCAAAUCGAACGGACGAGGAUUGUGAAGUGGGUUGUGGGCAGUGACUAUCAAGUAAUUUAUCUGAUAGGGCUAAUGUGAUGGAUGCUGAUGGAAUGUGAUCGCACUGGAAGUUUUAUGUUAGUGAAAAUCAUAUAUAGAGCCCCAGGUGGCAUAUUCAAUAUAGGAAGCUUACGAGGAUUGAGAUCCCCGUUUUUGGAGAAAAUGACGGGAUUUAAAUCAUAAAUUAAAUGGUACAUUCCAUCGGCUUACAAACGUAAGAUUUAAUAUAGUAUAUGUUUAUUAUCAAUUUUAUACUUUACAAUUAUUUGUUAUCUUUCACGAUAAUACGUAAUUUUGUAAUAUCGAAUGUCGUUCUUUUUCAAUUUUUUAUUUUUUAUGCAAUUUUCAUUUGUUUGUUUUUUUCAUCUAAUUUUUAGUUGAUAUAAGUGAAUGAAGCCCAAUUGGUCCUCAAAGCCCAAAAAUUAAGGCAAAUUUUACGGGAAAAGUAUUGCCACCUUUCGGCCCAAAAAACAAUAUGGGAAUAUAUUGCAAUGGCGGCGCUGAGGCUGUGGCGCUGGUAGAAUAAUGAGCAAAACGCAGCAGAAGUGAGGGAAACGACCGGAGUUUAUAUCGUUGUAACUCCAUUUGCAGUACUUUUUUUCUCCUCUUCUCCCGUCAAAAUCUUCUUUCUUAAUUGCGGCGAUAAUAUUUUCAAUUUUUACAUUCUUUUUGAAAUGCCAAUUACAGUGCAAAUUUCCAAUUCCUUGAGAUACCUGGAUUUCAAAACAUCCAAUUCAAAUUUCCUCUCUCAAUCCUUCUUAAUUAUCUGUUUCAACAAUAAAAUUUUAAAUCAAAUCUUUUACUCAGAUAUUUCUUCUUAUUUGCCUCAGAAUUCCUGCACACGUAAUUUCGUUGAAAAAGCUCAAGAAAUGGAGAAAUGCAAUGGCGUUUGCUUCACCAAUUUAUCUUCAAAUCAUCCAAUCACUUGUUUCAUGGCAUUUACUACAAUUAUGUUAUUUCGAGUUCUUUACGUGAUUUACCGAACCGGCAUGCCGCUAGGUAAAAGAGCUACGCCGCAGUCUUUCAGCACUCUCAUUGUUUUAGGUUCAGGUGCGCCUCAAAUUUUGUUUAUCCAUUUUCUUAUGUGCCUUUGAUUUUAAGAUGUUUGACUAUGAUCGUUGGAUUUUGGUUUCACGGUAUAGGAGGACACACGGCGGAGAUGAUCAAUCUCUUGUUAGUUUUGCAAAAGGACAGGUUUACGCCGAGGUUUUAUAUCGCCGCUGCCACUGAUAAUAUGAGUCUUCAGAAAGCUCUCGUGUUGGAUAAUUCCUUCGCUGCAUCGGUAAAUUUUGCAACUUUAAUUUUUCAUUCUGUUAUCAGUUGCUAUUAAUAUUUUUUAUUGCCUUUUGCCCUUUCUUUCUAUCGAAUUGAAUUUGUUGGAUGUGAUUUCUUUAUUCGUAGGAAAACCUAAUACUAUUUAUAUAUUAUUAUUUAAUGAAAAUCCGUUGAAUUAUUUAUCAAUGAUUUUGAUAUUCUUGUUGGUACUUAGUACGUCUCAUUGUAUGUGAAUGUUGUUAAUUUUCGAAGUAUUUGAUUAAAUUAAAAGCGACUAUUUUUUGGAAUGUGUGUUUGUAUCACAAUUGAAUUUGCAUGAUAAGCAAUGUUCUAAAUCUUUCACAAUUGAGAGCCUAAUUGCAGACCCUCAUGUGUGAUGUAUCGAACAAUUUAGACUAACUCUACAUUGUCGGGAAAGCUAGAUCCAAUAAUAUAUUACUGGCAUUAGUAUUUUGCUGAUGCAUUAUUGUAAGUUUCUUGGCUGUCAAGUCUUUGUUUUUGUGGAUUUUCUUGCCUGAUAUCCUACAUUAGUAUUAGUUCUUUUUUGCUAUCUUUCUAUUACUCUUAGUUUGUAAAAUAUAAAGUUGUAAUUGAUUUAGCAUUGGACAGAGGACGUGUUUUCUGUAGGUUUGCUUCUUAUUUAGAAGUCAAACUGCUUUUCAUAAUCAUUUCCCUGUUUUGCUGGUCAUAUAAGAGGUUUCCUUAACUUUGUUUCAACUGCAGAGUGGGUUCAAGGGAAUCUCUGCAGAGUUCAUGCAGAUUUAUAGAAGCAGGGAAGUUGGUCAAUCAUAUGUAACCUCUGUUUGGACAACUUUAGUUGCCAUUGCUCAUGCAUUUUGGCUGAUGAUUAAAAUCAGACCGCAAGUGGUAUUUUUCUGUUUCUGUUCUGUUUAACUUUUUUUCCAUAGAAUUUUGUUGCUUUUACUUAAAAAAUGUGCUUGAAUCAAAUUUCUUGGUAUAAACUUUACUUUAAUUGCAGGUUCUUUGCAAUGGCCCUGGUACUUGUAUUCCUCUAUGUGUAAUUGCAUUCUUUUUCAAGGUUUGCAUGUUUCCCCCCAUGCCAUUCUAUUUUGCAUUGCCUUUCUUUCUUUAAUAAAACUGAUGGGAUCUUUCCAACCGAAGAAAAAAUGAAGAGGAUAAAGUUACAUGCAUAAAUAUCUCUACAUAUAAGAAAAUUGGAGUUAGCCAUUUUUUCUUGUAAAUUUUGGUUACAGGUAGCUGGAAUUAGAUGGUCAUCCAUCUUUUAUGUUGAGAGCAUUGCAAGAGUAAAAAGGCUCUCUUUAAGUGGUUUGUUGCUUUACAAGUUACGGAUUGCUGAUCAGUUCUUUGUGCAAUGGCCACAACUGCAGAGAAAAUACCCUCGAGCUCAUUAUGUUGGUUGCCUGAUGUAGUUAAUUAAGUCUGCUUCUAAUGGGUACUCUCACUUAACCUCUAUUUUUUUUUUUUAAUAUUGUAUCCUACACUGUAAAGUUUCAUUUUCUCUUUCUCUUUGUUAGGAUUUUAGUAUUUCCGUGUUCGGUUGGGUUGAUUACUGGAACAUGAUUUAAUGUGGACCAUGAUAGUUUACAAAGAAAGACAAUGAUAGAACGUGAUAUUGAUUAUCUAAAAUUUUUUAUACUAACAUUACAGUUGCACUUGUUAAUCAAUAAACUGCUAGCAUAUCAUUUCAUGGUCUGAAUGUUAGAUGAUUAAAUUUGUUGGAAAGAACUGAUUAGGAAUAAGUUUCUAAUUCAACUUUUGUUCCUGUGAUUUUUAAAAUUUAUUUCUUAAUAUGAUCAAAUUCCUAUGUAGCUUGGAUUCAAAAUUCCAACUCUUUCUCCUCUAACUUUGCGUCAUUUUAAGGAUGCGAGCAGCCUGAGUUGGGUUAAAUGCUUAUUAUUGUGCUUAUCUGGGACAAACAUGUAUUAUGCAAACUUAGCAUGAUCUUAUCUUUUUUUUUUUAGCUUGGCUGGAACACUGAGGGUUCCUUAUUUUAUAAGGGGAAUAAUCAAUAUAUGUCACAAACUAGCAAGGAAUUAUAGCAUAUAAGGGAAGCUUGAGCAGCUUCAGUCAAGUUCAUUUCCGAGCACUCCCUCUUCCGUUUGAGAUAUAGUGCCUAUAGACUAUAGUCAGGACAUAUUCUCCGGUUUCAAGGAUUUUGAAUAAGCCUGAUUAACGGCCUCGACUUGAUUUGUGAACUAUGAACUUCAAUGAACCCCAUGAUAUGUUGAUCUUUAGUGAGUUUAGCUUGAGUUCACGAACAUUGUUGUUUGUUUGAUGAACGUAAACAUGUUUCUUUUCCUUAUUUCACACAUCAAUAGUUUGAUUCUUAGAUUCAUUUGUCUAAUCUUCCCUGUCACUUUGGAAUCUCUCAUUGUUUUAUGGUGUCUUUUUUUCCUUUUGUAUUGACUUGCUCAUGCUUUUAGUUUUAUGUACACCCCGUUACUAAAUGGGGCUAGUUAGAGAAAAUUAGAUAUUUAUUUUCUUCUCCUAUACCAACUAGCAUGGUCUAGCUUGGUGCUUUAGUUAAGCCUAAAUAUCACUGUACUUCAACCCUAGCCAUUUUGGAUGAAAUUAUAAUGGAAGUGAAGAAAUACAUGCGAAGUACCAAAUUGUGUGUGGUUUGCUAGUGCUAUUUUGGAGUUUCGAAUCUAUGACUUUGCAUGGGGAAGGAUUAAGAAAGAUUCCUUUUGAGGUUGUAUUUCUUGUUUUGCAGAAAAUGACAAUCUCAUAUAGAACCAUGUGCACCCAACUUAUCCAUUAACUAACCUCUUCAAGUAAUGGACUCUUUGAAACUUCACUGCUACUUUUAUAUUCACUCUUGGAGCUUUUAUUAUCAAGAUAGCACUGAUAGACAUAUGAAACAAAGCCCCAUAUAGCCAAUACCAUGGCAAUUGCCUUUAUUGCAUCCAUUUUGUCAUGGAAAAAGAUCUCAGCUAGAAUUGGAAUAACAGGCAAACCCAAGACACUUAUGGCAUUGGAGAAGAGAGAGGACACUUUGAAAAUCAAUCCUAUUGCCCCAACAACAAAAAACUGUGAAGCUAUAGCUGUCUCAAUCAGGGUCAUUACAUAGGAAAAUUUACCCAGUUCAAACUCCUCCAUUUCUAUUGACGAACCUUUCCAUUCCCCGCUGGUGAAAAGUCCCAUUAUGGCAGUAGAGGUGGCAACCAGUGACUGAUAUAUCACCAUUUCAAAGACCUUUGCAUGUGCUUCUCCUUUUAGAAGCUUAUUGAAGGAGAGUUGUGCUAAAGAAAGCAUCAAGCCAUACCCUGCAGAUGCACCGAUUGUGCAUAGGAAUCCAAUUGCAUAUUUUCCUUUAGAGGCUUCACUGUGGCUAGAUGGGUCAGUUUGAAAUAUCAGGAGGGUGGAGGAGAUGGUUGGUAGAACUAGUGAAUUGAUUAUAAAAGGAGUGAACUUUUGUGAAUGAAGGAAGAACGAGAAGAGAGCAUUGAAGGCCAACUGGGAUGCACAAAUGAGAGAAAAAGUUGAUACUGGAAGGUGUAAGAGUCCUAUAGAAUACAUCAAGCUAUACGCUGCUAGGCAUAUACCAAAAGAGAAAUAGACUAAAGCUAGUAACAAGGCAGAUGGCUGCUUUGUUUGCCCAUUUGUGGUGCAACUUUUAGGUGGUGAGAGGCAGUAACAAGGAAUGAGGAUUGGGAAGCCUGCAAGUUGCGCAAGCAUAGCUACCCAUAUGCUAUUCCCACCUUUCUUGUAGUAUAGGCGUGCCAAGAGUGUGGAUGCUGACCGGCCAAAGAUUACAAAGAAUGCAUACAUGAUGAUACAGAUCCACCACUUAUAGUUUCUGGGUUCAGGGCUUGUCAGUUUCUUGCUAUUCAGAUACUGAGGUGAGUUUUCUUCCCUGAUUUCUUUGACUGUUGGCAACUAUAGCAUAAUUGUUAAUCCAAGGAAUCUUAACUGAUAUGUCAAAUGAGGUUUUUUUUUUUUUUUUUUUUUUUUAAUUUGGAAUCUUCUACAAACUCGAUGUGCUGUAUUACACUUCAAAGAAUAAGAAUCUCUGCCACUGAGUUUCCCUCCUAGCUUAAAAGUGGAGGAGCCUUGGUUUUAUAUUCAUGAUUGUGAAGUGGAAAUUGAGGAGGUAUAAAAAACAGUUAAACUAUAAAGAGUAAUUAAAUUUGGGAUAGUGCAAAUUUUUUAGGUUUUAAUUUGGUUGUUUAAUCUUUGAUUGGAAAACAAACGGCCAAGAAAAAAUUUUGAUGAUCUGCAAAUUAAACAUUUAACUUUGAUGGAUAAUAAUAAGAAAAUGGUUUUAUUUCUGUGUGACCAUGUACAAAUUAUCUACGAUGAAUUAUAAGGGCAGGAGAUUAUGGCUUUGAUUUUGGGACCUAAAACCAUAUGGCUAGAGAUGAUACCAGAGACUUGGCUUACUUGCUACAGUUUAACAAAGAAAAUGAAUAAAAAAAUGUCUUACUAAAAAAUGGUACAGAAAAGAGAAAAAAAAUGAUAAAACCAUAAAAUGAAUUUUGUAGUUUGCUUCCCUGAUCUUCAUGUGUGUUGUAGCAAGCUGACUUACCAAUGAUGUGGAGUAGCAGUUCUUAAGGUUUCCCCAUAUCAAAGUUGAGGAAGUUUCAAAAGCAGCCAGCCAGGCAGGGAGGAAGGAGAGAGGGAGGAGAGUUUAUAACGAAAAAAGAAUGUAAAUAUAUAUACCAGCUAAUUGUGGAUGGCAAUCCAAGUUCUCUUCAUUGCCCUGAAAGAAAAGAAUCCUUCCAUUCAUAUGAAGCACGAUUGUUUGUAACGACACAAAUUGGACGUGGCUGAUGAUGAUGAUGAUGAUGGGUAUAUGUCCAUAGGAUUUGUGCAGACAUGAAUCAUGUGCAUGUUUGAAUUUGAUGGGUCCGCGGUGACUGAUAGAGACGUGAAAAUUUUGCCGGAAUUGCAGGCAAUUUUGAAGAAUAUGGUUAAUCCAGGCAUGGCUUUAUCAAGAUCAAUUAGUUUGCAAUCAAUAAUUACUACGUUAUUUGCAAUAUUUACAGCUUCAUGACAACAGGAAAAUCAUAUGCAUUAUCAAAGGCAUCAGUCAAGAUCAUGCAAUUAGUGGAUUGAUUUGACCAUUUUAUUUUAUUCGGUACAUCUUGAUAUCUUACACGCUGCUAAGAAAUAGCAGUAAACUAGUAUCAUUGUUUUCUUUGCUACAUAUCUUUGAUACGCCAUGAAGCUCAUGUCUUCAACCAGAGGAAGCUCUUAAAGCUUGAUUAUUGACAUUUAUGUCUUUUUGUUCACUUUCAGACUCAUGGCUAUCUAGAUAAUGCUGGUAGGCAUAUGAAAGAAAGCCCCAGAGAGCCAAAAACAUGGCAACUACCUUUAUACAAUCCAUUUUGUCACGCAAAAAGAUAACAGCAAGAAUAGGAACCACAGGCAACGCGAAAACAGUUACGGAGUUGGCGAAUAAAGAAGACACCUCAAAAAGCAGUGCUGUGCUUCCAAUAGCAAAACCUUGCCAGAAUAUACAUAUCCAUACUAAAACCAUGAUAUACGAUAUCUUUCCUAGUUCAAAUUCUUCCAUUUCUCCCUUUAGACCUUUCCAUUCUCCACUAACAAGAAGUCCCACCAGGAUUGCACUUGCUGCUACCAUGGACUGAUAGACUAUCAUAUCCAUGACUGCUGAAAAAGUAUCCCUUUUUAUGACCUUCCGAAAGCAGAACUGUGCCAAAGAGAGUUCAAAUCCAUUCACAGCAGAUGCAAGAAUGGUGCAUAUGAAUCCGAUUACAUGCUUUCGUCUUGAGACUCCCUUGGGAGUUGAAGAGUCUUCAUGAGACACAAGGAGGAUGGAAGAGAUGGUGAGAAGGAUCAGAGAAUUGACUAUGAAAGGAGUGAACUUUUGUGAAUUGAGAAAAUAGGAGAAGAAAGCAUUGAAAGCUAACUGGGAUACAGAAAUGAGGGAAUAUGUAGACACUGGAAGGUAUCGCAAUCCAGUUGAGAACAGCAAGCAAUAUAUUGCUACAAGCAGGCCAAGGCAGACAUAAACUGAUGCAAGAAUCAUGGUUGAUGGUGGUCUUGUGUUAGUACUCGUUGCAGUUGAAUUUUUUAGCGUUGAGAAGAAAUAGUAAAGAAUGAUAAUUGGGAAGCCUGCCAGUUGCAUAAGUGUUGCCAACCAUUGGCUCUUUCCACCUUUGUCAAAGUACAGUCUUCCCAACAUUGUAGCAAUUGACUGGCCAGAAACCACAAAGAGUGUAUACAAACCUAUACGUAGCCAUCGCUUAUAGUUUUGGGGUCUAGGCACUAUCGAUUGAUUUGAAACCUCCAUAUGUUCCUCCGAUUUCACAUCUUCAGUCUCCUGAACUGGUAAAAAUACACAAAGGAUCGACUUAGGGAGCAUUGAUCAGUGCAUGUGAUGAACUUGAUUUUAGCUAAACACUCGAAUCUGUAAUAUGUUAUUUGGUUUUCUCUUUUUGUGCAUGAACACAAAACUAAAAGAGUAGGUGGGUGCUUUGUAAGUUCUCAUAUUUGUUAUGCUUUUUAGCUUUUAGGCUAUCAGAUCUUUAUUUUGGAUAUCAGAAGUUUCUAUAUUUUACUUUUUGUAACAGAUCAGAUGUCAGAGCACACAAAGCAGUAAGCGCUUGCAGAUAAAUGGUAUGUAUUCCAGAAAAGUUUCUGGAAUUUUGAGUAAUAAAUGAUGUAGUUUGCUAUUGCAACUUGAUCAUGUUGUUAGGACAUCUUUAGGUAUAUAUUCACGGUAAUAGUAACACCUAGAGAUGGAUUUCUCUGCUAUAUGUACUUACUGAGAGGGAAUCAAAAGUUAUAGUCAGUACUCACUUCCUGUAGCCUAGUUCAGGUGUAGAACUAAAGAAGCGAAUAAGAAGUCAUAUCUCAGACAAAAAGGAAAAAAAGGAAGGAAGAAAUGGCAUAACGCUGGCUAACCUGGGAUCGAGUGUUGCAGUAGCUCAGCUUCUCCCAUGUCAAAGACGAUGAAUAUUCUUCAAGAUCAAGUUAUGGGGAAAGAAGAGUGAAAGAGAUGUUAUAUAGACUUGCACUCGAAUGACAAUGAGCCAUGUAAAUGCAUGGCUUGCCUUUUCGAACGCAAAUGGGGAAUCAUCCCAAAAGGACCUCACUCAAUUUUUCAAUGGACCCAUCCUCCACUGAAGGUGCAGCACAGUUAGAAAUCAGAAUGGUCUCCACCGUGUUGUCUUUGCUCACCAAAUGGGGUGUGUGGCGCAAUUGGAGACCCAGUUACGCCGCAUUGGGGCUCCGUUUGUAUCAAAAUGAAGCCUCACGAUCUGCUAUCCGUUGUUUAGCACCAUCCUUUGUUGCACCCGCAGAGCCAAAAGAACAAAGCAGAAAACAGCACCGUAUCUCUUUUCCCCUUUGUCUAGCCAAUAAGCCCAAGGAAUAGGUUCCCGAUAAGAUGGCCCUAGGUGAGAUUCCCUUAAGAUAAUAUACAUGCAUUAUUAUAAUAAUUAUAUGAUGAUUUCAGCCUCAGGAAAGAGGAGCUAAGCAUUCUUUUAAUUACAGGGGCGACGGCUCAACGUUUGGAGUUUAAAACUUAUUAUUUGGAAGUUUCAAAUCCGAAUCUUACAAGAAAAUUUUUCUUUCGGCUGAUAUGAAAAUUCAACCAAGUGCACUUGCUUCAGCUUCGGUCAUUCACAACAAUUCAUCAAUAAUUUUCUGUGAUAACGUAAUCUUCUUUUGUCUACUUUGGUUAUGUUUUUUUCUUAAAACAUCAGGUUUCACCUAUUUUAUUCAUCAAGUUUAGUGGCCAAAUUUAAUCAAAAAUUCAAAUUUAGUGACAAAAUUCAAUUAAAUUAAAGUAAAUGGACAAAAUUCAAUAUUGAGAUUAUCAGCCCUUAUUCCCUUCAUUUUACUAAUCCAGCAACGAGCUUUUUUUUUUUUAUUAUAAAGGCAUACCUAACACAAUAGAAUAGUGCAUAUUUAGUGAUUCAAUUUGUUAUGCGAAGAGAAUCCGAACAAAAAUUUCAAUAUAUUUCUGGACUAUUUACGUGUUGGAUCGAGCAUACGAUUGGAGUAUUAUAUAUAUACAUGUGUGUGUGUUGUAAGAUGUAUGGCUUAGCAUAUAGCAAAACAAAACCUUGACCCAGCGGAAAACGAAAUAUAAAAUAAAAUAAAAAUACAGGAAGGAGAUAUUAGGUGAAAGGAAUUAAACUUUGCUUUUUCCAUAAUUUACACAUUUGGAAAGUGGUAGGAAUCCAGUAACAGGCGACCCCUGGCAGAUACAGAAGAAGCAUGAUACUUCAUACAUAUUGUUUUGCUGGAAGGCUAUGGCAGAUACAAUAUGCUGUAACCCCUCUCAGCAACGUGUUUCAAGCAAGCAUUCAGGCUUUCUAACAGCUGGAAAUUGUGAACCUAAGCUCCAAUCUCCAUCACAAUUAUUAACCAACAGAUUAUCCUAGAGGAUUGAUUAACUUGAUAGGAAUUUGUUUGCCCAGCUAUAACCUUUAAUUAACAGAGACUGCUAGAGAAAAAACAUAGAGGUAUUUGAGUGGGCAGUCUUACCAUUCAUUCAUAGAAGCUAGGCUCUGUUAUCUGAAUGAAUAACCUCUCCAAGGGUGCAACCUUCAGAAAUUUCACUGGCUAUUCUGUUUUCGAUCUUCGGCUUUUGAUGGUCAAGAUAGUGCUGAUAAACAUAGGAAAUGAAGCCCCAAAUAGCUAGCACCAGGGACAUUCCCUUUAUUCCGUCCAUUUUAUCAUGGAAAACGAAGACAGCAAGUACUGGUACAAUAGGCAAACCAACUGUACCUAUGGCAAUGCUGUAGAGGGAAGACACCUCAAAAAUUAAUCCUACCGUACCAAUAGCAAAAACCUGCCAACUUAUAGCAGUCCAAACCACAGUCAUGACGUAGGAAAUUUUCCCCAGAGCAUAUCCCUCCAUUUCCCUCUUCAAUCCCUUCCAAUCUCCGCUAGCAAAUAAUCCCACCGCUAUAGUGCAUGAUGCAACCAGUGAUUGAAAUACUAUAACAUCAAGGAUAACUUUAAAUGUUUCCCCCUUUAGUAGCUUUCGGAAGGCGAGCUGCUGUGAAGCAAGCGCCAAGCCGUACACUGCAGCUCCACCAAUGGUACAUAUGAACCCGCUUGCAUACUGUCCUUUAGAGACUCCAGCAGGCUUUUCAGUAUGAUUAUUUGCUACUAGGAGAACAGAGGAAAUAGUGAGGAGAACUAGAGAAUUGAUGAUGCAUGGAGUGAACUUUUGUGAAUUAAGGAAAUAAGAGAAUAAAGCAUUAAAGGCCAACUGGGAUGCUGAAAUUAGAGUAACUGUAGAUACAGGAAGGUACUGUAAGCCAACUGAAAAAAGAAAGGCGCUUCCAGCUACAAGUAGCCCGAGAGGUACAUAGACCAAUGUUAACAGUUUCAGGAAAGAUGGUGGAUUUGAGUCGAUAAUGUUGUUUGCAAUGGAAGAUUUGCGUAGAAGAAUGAAGUAGCAAGGAAUUAGAAUUGGGAAACCACCAAGUUGGGCAAGUGUUGCAAGCCACUUGCUACUCCCACCUUUGUCGAAGUAAAGUCUUCCGAGAAUUGUAGCUACAGACUGGCCACAGAGGAGAAAGAUUGUGUAGAGAACUAUCCGGAGCCACCAUCUGUAGUUCUUAGAUCGAGAUCCUCUUAUGUGGUUGAUACCAUUUGUUUGCUCGGUUGAAUUUUCUUUAUUAGCUUCUUGAUCUGCUAAAUGUAAAACGAUUAUUACUUCUUUAUCAGAGUCACAUUACAGUCAGGCCUGCAGCUUACACAUAAUUGUAGAAAACAGAAAUUAUAUACGGUGGCAACUGAAAACAUGAAUGCUAUAUUCCAUGGAUAGAAACAAAUUUGGAGUUGUUAGGAAGGAAGACAUGUUUCAAGGUAGUUGAAGAUUUGAUCUUACAUUUCAGUAGAAAAAUUUGGUCAAGGAGAGCAAUGAACAAUAUCAAAUGUCUGCAAUUACCCAACUCUCUCAGUUGCACAUUUUUCUUGGGAGAAGAGAAGUGCAGAGAAACACGUUACAAUUGACUUGCUUUUCAUUUGGAUAAUCGAAAAUUUUAUUCCAAUAUCCAAAGAAAGCACAAACAUCUGCUACAAAGUUUAUAAAACUGGGAUUAACCCAGAAACACCAGCCCUUAGAUCAUUUUUUAGUACAAGAGAAGAACUAAUACAAGCUAUCUGUCAUGUUAUUGACUUUUUGUAAGCAUUCUAGAAAACCAGCCAACUUACCAGUGAUUUCGAGUUCUAACUGAACUUCUGCCAUUUCUAGCAAGCUAAGCUAAAUGGGAUUAAUGCUGAAAAUUCAAGCCAAGGAUACAAAAGAUCAGAGACGAUCUUGCAGCCAAAUUAGAAUCAAGCAUGUGAAUUUAAAUACUGGGCUAGUUCUCAUAUCUGAUAUCAGUGACAUGACAUUGACGGUAAUUAAUGUGCUAUUAAUCCUAGCUGCCUCCUAUGUCCAAUUGCUACUCUUUCUCUAUGCAAACACUUUUUAUUUUUCUUUGUAAUAAUAAAAAAAAUACUACUAUAAUAACUUGAACCUAUGCCAUUUUUUAAAAGACUUAUAUGAAAUUCUUUAGAUAAGGUUUGUGAAAUUUUUAAUUAAAAUAAUUAAAUUAAAAUUAAAAUUAAUAAAUUGAAAGGUUUGUUAUAUAAAUCAAGUGUGUAAACUUUUUAAAAAAAUUUAAUAAUUUUAAUAUAUAUUUUUAAAUAAAUAUUUUUAAUAAAAAUGUUGACAUAAUUUUUAUUAUUAAAUAAGUUUGAUCAAAUUUAAAUUAUAAAUAAUUUUUUUAAUAAUUUUUUUUACAUAUUAUUAAUUUUUAUAUUAAUUUUUAUUAAAUUUUCAAUUUUAAUUUUUAAUUUAAAUUUAUUCAUUUUUAAUUAAAAAUUUCAUAAAUUUCACUUGAAAAAUUUCAUAUAUAUCUUUCCCUGUCAUCUUUUCACUUGACAAAAGCAUUUAAUUAUUUACCCGGAAAAAAUGAACUUUUGAGUUUAAAGCAGCAUGAUCAUAGUAUAACUUUUUAUAAUUAAGAAAUUGUCAUUGAUGAUGGCUAAAUGUGUUUUCAUGACAUGAUAAAGGGUACAACAAUAAACUGAUUGAAAUUAAAAAAAAAAAAAAGGGAUAGGUAUUUUGGGAGCCGACUUGGGGCAACUUAAAAUUGUAAAGGUAUAUAAAUUAAUUUUAAUUUGUUGGCAUUACUUUUUUUGAGCUAUUAUUUCUAGGCAUCUAGAUUGGAAUUAAAAUUUCAUAGUAUUUUCUUUUAGGUGGAAGCCUAAAAUUUAAAAAAUAAUAAUAAAAAAUUGUACAGGUUGAAGAUCGAAUAUAUAUUAUUUAUUGUAAAUUACAACGUGACUAACUAUUUUCAUUUUAGUCCAUUCAAUUAUGGUCUAAAAUUUUAAUCACAUAAUUUCACCAACUUUUACUCAUUUUUGUCACUGAUUAAAUUGUUCCUCCUACCUUUUUCUUAACUAAACCAUAACCUUUUUACAGUUCAAAUUUAAUCAGGUCCAACAAAAAUGGUCAGGAUGGAUGGGUCAUUUUUUAUAAUAUUUUAUUAUUUUUUAUUAUAUCAUUAUAUAUUAUAGUUCCUAGUUGAAAAAAAAAAAAAAAAAGCUGAUCGGCCUGCCCAAAAAAAAAAACCAAAAAAUAAAUGUGAGGAAUGAACCCUUUAUAUAUAGUAAUAUGAUUAGGCACAUAGGAGUUAGUAAAACAAUUUUUGAGAAAAAAAAAUAAAAUAAAGUGACAUAUAUUUAUCUUCUUUAAUUCUUGAAUGAUUGAUCAAAAAGAUUCCCUUAUGAAUAAAAUAAUGAGAAAGUAAAGUUUCCAUUAAUCAAAUACGUACUGCAUCAUCCAUCACUUUAUGUAAAACCUACUCUCACUCUUACAAAUAAUCUAACAAAGGAAAAUCAUUGCUGUUUCAAGUUUUGUUUUAUAUUUUGUAAGUUUACGACGAGAUGUCGUAGGCGAGGGAAUUAGAUAAGCAUUUAAAAAAAAAGAUAUAAAAAUUAAUCCUCAUAAUCAUAUGAUAAUAUUAAUAAGAAAGGGUACUAGUUUGUCUGUUUAAACUAAGUAUUUUAUUAUUGAUGUAAUAAAUAAAGGAAAAAUUAAAAAAUAGAGUUGGAACAUGAAUGAGAUGCAAGAAUAACAUUUGUAGAGUAUUAUAUUUAGUUCAAUUUUCAUUAUUAUCUCAAACAGAGUAUUUAUUUUUUUAACAUAAAAUAAAAUAAAAUGAAUUCAACAUUUUGUUGGUUUAGAUUAUUAAUUUUGAUAAUCAGUAUUCAAUUUCUGACAAUUAAAAUAUUAAUUAUCAAUUUAUCGUCAUCAUUUUUAUUUGCCUCUUUUUCUUCCUAAUGUCUAAUAUAUUGUAUUAAUGCCAUCUAUGAAGCUAUUUUUUAUACUGGGAAUGAAAGAAUUAUUAGUACCCAUUAACUUAGUUUUUUGUUGAAAUAUUUUCAAAAUAAGUUAAAAGAUAUGAAAGAAAAUCAAUUAAAUAUGAAACUAGUGUAAAAAUGAUUUUAUAAGUGUGCUUAAAUCUUUUAAAAAAUGUGUUCUUUAACUUAUAAGGAGUUGAUAAUUGCAUGAGUUUCAAAAUAUGUUAAUGAAAAAAAAAUUGGUUGAGUAAACAGUACAAUUUGAAGAAUUACAACUUUUGAUAACAUUCUCUAUAAUUUGAUAAGUGAGAGAUUAUUCAACAUACUUGAUAACACAAUUAGGAUUUCAAGUUAUAUCUCACUCAGUCUUUAAAAUAGAUCAAGUCUCUUAUCCAUUAUUUCAUGCAAAAAAUAAUAUAUAAAAAAAAUAAUUUUACUAUUCAUUAGAAAGUGUUUAGCGAGUUGAUUUCAUUAAUGCAAAGUAAAAUUAAGUAUGGGUUUCAUUGUAAUCUAUGAUUAUAUGAUUCAUUCCAUUGCAUAUUAUAUAUGGUGAUGUCAUAAUAAACCUAAAAUAAAAUAACAUUUACAACAUGUCUUGAAAUCAUAUUUUUUCAUGUUAUAAUUUUUAAUUUUAAAUCCAUCAAACUCAUGAAAACAACGCUCUUUGAAUAUGAAAAAGCAUGAAAUAAUUUUAAAAUAAUUAAUGCAACUUCAUGUUAAUUGGAAAAUUGCCACACAUGAACAAGAUAAAUUGCAUUGUCAAUUACUUGGAAACAAUUGACUUUGAAAGUUGGCGAUGGUGUGAAGUGUGAUAUAUUCAGCAAUAAUGGGAAAUGUUGAUCCAUGUAUACCGGCAUAGAAAAUUUGUUAGGUGAAAUUGUAAGCCAUUAUAUUUGCUGUUUGAUUUUUUUUUUUUUUAACAGGUGGAGAGGCUUGCCAACACCGUCUUAGCCUGGCAGCAAAAAAGAAGAUUUGUGAAACAUGUGGACUUGGCUUAAGUUCAAGCAAUCCCACCCCCAUCCCAUUAUUAAAAAAAAAAAAAAAAAAAAAAAACUCUAAUCUUUGAAAACUAGUAUAAUUGCAAGUGGAACUCUUAUGAAUUUUAAAUUAUUUUUCGUGAUAGAUUUGAUUGGAGGAAAUGCAUAUAUUUCAACUUAGAAUCUGGGAGGCAGAUCAGCAAAGCUUAUUUUACUGGAAAUAAUUAAAAAAAAAAAGUCUUAGUUUAUUAUAGUUCUUUAUAAAUAUUAUAAUUAUACUUUGUAGAAAUCAAUUAAUUUAAUUAAUUUUCCUCUAUUUUCUUAAUCAAUCACAUGAUCCUAUGGCAUGGAAAAUUUUCAACUGACUUGGCCCUCCAAAUAAGUGGAAGGGUCCCUCCUUAAAUGCCUAUACCCCACAAUAUAUCUAGCUUUGAACUUAUUGAAAUAUGGUUCCGAAAUUCUUUUAGAAAUGAAAGAAAAUUCUAUUUCAAUCGACAUGCAUGACUUUAACAAAUUUGUUUUUAUUGAUCAUGAAAACAAAAUUAAAUUUUAAAUAGAACCCACAAAAUCAAUGUAUAACAAGUCGGUAUACGAAGAAAGUUGUGCCGAAAACAACAAAACAUAAUGAAGAAACUAGAGUUUUGAUUCAACGAAUUAAGUUAUGUGAGAAUUAUUAUGAAACUUUAAUGUAGCUUAAUUAUAAUUUUUAAUUUUAAAUUGAAAUCAAAUUUAUUCAAUUAAAAUAUUUAAAACAAAAUCUAUCUAUCUAUCUAUAUAUUUAUAUAUUAUGAGUUAAGAUUUUAUAUGAUUAACUCACAUUAAAGUUCCACCAUAAUUCUCACGAGACCGAAUCUAUCAAAUGAAAAUUCAAUAAGACUUUAUUUGGUGAACUUUUUGCUUUUUUUUUACAAAAAAAAAUAAAUAAAUAAAGACAAAAUUAAAGUUUGAACAAUCAAAAUCCUAGAAAUAUGUAACAAAAAGUAGCUAGCGUUCACGAAACGGCGCUUAAACAAAUAUAAGAAAGAAAGAUAAAGAUUUAGACUGCUGAGUAUAUACAACAAUUCCCGAAUCAUCAUUAUCCCUUGCCCAUUUUGUUAGCAAAGUUACCCAAGAAGCUGACAUAAUAAUCUCAACUGUUUUAGUAAUGAUCUUUCAAGAAAAAGAAAACUGUUUUAGUAACGAUGAUACGUAUUGAUAACUACAUUACAACUCCCAUUAUAGAAAACUACGUAAAUUGAAUCAGUCAAUCCCUUAAUUAAAACUCUUAGAUUCGCACCAAUUAAAUCCCGAGAAGAAGAAGUAAAAGAAAGAAUUUUGAGAAAAAUUCAUUCGUUCAUAAAUUUUUUAAAAUUUAAAUUUUAGAUUCAUAAUUUUUUAAAAAUAUGAUAAAUCCAUUCUUUCUUUCAAUUAUAUCUUUAAAAUUCAAACAAAUAUAUUACACUAACUAGAUUUUUGCCCCCAUGAUGCUGGAGCUGAUUUUUUUUUAUCAAAUUUUAUUUUCAAUAUAUUUAUUAUUUAUGUAAUAAAUAUAUUUAUUAUUUGUUAAAAUAAUAAAUAUAUUUUUAUAGUAAUUUUACGGGAGAUUACUUUCAAUAUAUUGUAUAGAUUUAUAGUAAUUUAAUAUGUAAUUAAGUCUUAUGUAAUUUAUCAAAUAUGUAAUUUAAUAGGGGUAUUAUAUUAAUUUUAUCAAACACCACAUGUCAAAGUUUCACAAAGUAAUGGUAAGAGUAUUUUAGUAAUUUCAAAUUUUGUUAAUUUCAUAUUUUGUUAAAAUUUAAUAUAUAAUUUAAUAAGACAUUAUAAUAAUUUUGACUAAUUAUAAUAAGAAUAGCAUUUUCAUAAUUAUAGUAGAAGGAAUAUUAUAGUAAUUAUGGACAAUCAUAAUAAGAAGGUAUUUUCAUAAUUGUAGUAGGAAGGAUGUUAUAAUAAUUUUAACUAAUUAUGAUAUAAGGGUUAUUGUUGUAAUUAUAUAGGAGAGUGUCAUAGUAAUUUGAUUAAUUAUGGAAGGAUAAAUAUUAUAGUAAAAUUGAAUAUGUGCUACAUACUAAUAAAUUAAUUAGAGGGGUAUUAUAAUAAUUUUUAAUGAUAUUACUUUUACUAUAUUAUAUAGAUUUAUUUUAUUAUAGUAAUUUACUAUGUAGUUAGAUUUUACGUAAUUUUCAUGAAAUAUUUGCAAAGAUAUUUAGUAAUUUAAUAUGUAAUUAAUUUUAUAUUAAAGUAUAAAUAUGUAAUUUAACAAGAUAUUGCAGUACAUUUCAAAUAAAAUACCACUUGUCAUUCUAUAAUUAUGAUUGGUGAGUCAUUAUAAUAGUUUUAGUCAAUUAUAGUAAAAGAGGCAUGUCGUAAUGGUUUUGAGACCGUUAGAUAAAAUAAAUUCAAAAAUUAAAAAAAAUAAGAGAAGUCGCUAUUAAUUUUUUUUAGAGUGUGAUUGAUCACCCAAAAGUUUAUCUUUUAAUCAAACUAUAAAAACAUGUUUAAAAUUUAUCAUAAAAAUAAAUUUCAGUCUACGAAAAUCAAGUUAGGUCCGAGAGUCGGUUUUGUAUGAGAAAUGAUUAACACCCCUGACGGCACUCAUAAAUUAGUACCAACUAAUCAUGUACUAUUUUUGGUGUUGAAUAAAAUUGUUUUGAUUUAAAAUUUAAUAUUAAUUCCCUUCAUUUGAGAAAAUCUUUAAGUUAAAGAAUUAUCUUAAAAUUCUUCAAUAUCUAGGCAGAAUCCAAAAUAACACUUUUUACUUGAGAUUUAAUACAAUAUCUCUUAGAAUGAAAAUAACACUCUUUGUAAGAAAUGAUUGUUGGUGACUCUUCAACAUCUAAACAGAAUAGCAAGAAUUAUUUCCUACAGAAUGUAAUUUUUACUUUAUUUUAUAAUAUCACAAUUUUAAAAUACGUAUUUUUACUUUAUUUUAUAAUAUCAUAAUUUUAAAAUACAUAUUUUUUUUAAACAUUUUAUAUGAUAAAGCAAAUGAUGGUAUUAUCAUAUAGCAAAUAAAAAUUAAAGACAAAAAAAUGUAAAAUAAGUGCUAACAAUAAUAUGAUGACAUAUGUAUUUCAAUAGAUGUUAUGCAAGGUGAUAAAAUGCAAUUUAAAAAUAGAUUCUUAAAUAUAAUGAAACUACUUUGACUCUCUAACAUCUAGACAGAGCUUAGAUGUGACUAUUUAUAUUCAAGAUCUCGUUUUAUACAUUUUUUUAUUAAAGCUUAUAAGUUAUUAACCCCAUUGUUAAAGCGAAUUAAAGACUCAUAUGAAAAACUUAAUGGAAUAAAGUUUCCUAAAUACCUCAUUGUCUAUACGGCAUUCGAGAAUGAACUACUCCACUUGAGAUUUUCACACGUAUCUUCAUAAUGAUUUUGAAUAAAGCUUAGGUCGAGGUUUUAAAGUUUGAAUAAUUUUUCAGUGAUGAUUCAGGGUUGCGUACCAAAUUUAAGAUUUUAGGUUUUCAAAUUAAAAAAAAAAGUUUUUGAGUUUUGGAUUUUAGAGUUUUAGUUUGAGUUUUAAUGGUUUUAGGGUUUGGUUUUAGGGUUUAGAAGGUUUAUGGUUUCAAUUUUAGGAUUUGAGGUUUAUGAUUUUAAUUUUAGGGUUUGGAGGGUUUAAGGUUUCAAUUUUAAGGUUUGGGGUUUAGGGUUUUAAUUUUAAGGUUUAUGGGGUUUAAGGUUUAGAGGGUUUAGGAUUUUGAUUUUAGGAUUUCAAGUUUAGGGUUUUGAUUUUAGAGUUUAAAGAGUUUGGAGUUUUAUUUUUAGGGUUUGGGGUUUUCAUUUUUAGUUUUUAAGGUUUCAAGGGUUUGGAAGGUUUAGGAUUUUGAUUUUGGAGUUUGGAGGGUUUAGGAUUUUGAUUUUAGGGUUUAAAGUUUAGGGUUUUGAUUUUAGGGUUUAAGGUUUUGAUUUUGGGGUUUUAAAGAUUUAAAGUUUAGAUUUUAGGGUUUCAAGGGUUUGGGGUUUUGAUUUUAGGAUUUUAAGGAUUUAAGGUUUUGAUUUUAAGGUUUGAAGAGUUUAGGGGUUUGAUUUUAAGGUUUGAGGUUUAAGGUUUAAAGAAAAUACAAGUAUCUCUGACAAUCUCAAACAUUUAGGCAGAUUUUCGAAGCAAGUUCAGUUCUUAUAAUUUUUGAAAAUUAAUUAAAAUUUUUUCAUAUAUUUUUUUAUAAAAAUUUAUUAUUAUUAAUAUUAUUAAUUUAUUAAUUUUUUUAAUAAUUCUCCAAUAUCUAUGCAAAAUUAUCAUUAUUUAAAGCACGAUUAUAUUCCCUCCAACGUCAAAAAUUUUUUCUUUAUUACUAGUUUAUUUUAUAAUCAUUUUAUAUAUUUUUUAUUAUUAUUAUUUUUUAAGGUUUAUUUUAAAAUCAGCAAAAUUAUCAAAAAUUUUAGCUAUAUACUCAUUAUUUAUUUUUAUCUUUAUUAUUUAUUAUUAUAAAACAACAAAAAUUUAUUCUAGCAAAUUUAAACAUUUUAAUAUGCAUAAAUAAUAAUAAUAAUAUUAUUAUUUAAAACAACAAAAAUAAUAUCAAAAUUUUAAAAAAUUUUAAAAAAUUACCUGACUGGUCUGAUCAACGUCGGUUCGAUCAGUUCAACAGUUUAGCCUGGUUGAACCGGUUUAAGGGAUGUUUGACAAGCAAUUUAGUUGAACCGAUUCAGGGCUGGCUAAAGGAUAGGUUAUUGGGUCAAGUCACAUCGAUCCCGAGUUGAGUUAGAGUCCACGCGCGAAUCCUCUUUGGCCUUAAAUGGUGUUGUUUUGGGUUUUACUCUUUUAUAUAAAAUGAAAAUAUUUUCAGCUCAUUUUAUCCUUUCUACCAAAAAAAAGUUUUAGAGCUCUAAGGAUAGCUCUAAGGGUUCUGCCAGCAUCUGACCUCUGGCCGUAAUGCCAGCCGCCAUCCAAUGUUGCCACCAAUAGUCAUUGCCAAUGGUUGAAAAGUGCCAAAAACUUUCAAAAAAUUCUCCUCAACACGCUUUUUCCAAAUCUAGUAUUCCUUUUGUCAGGUAUAGCCUUAAUCGACAUAGAUCGAGGUUGAAAAUUUUGGUGUUUUUUUUUUUUAUAUAAAAACCAAAAUUGAUAUUUUUUUAUUUUUACAGGUAGCUCAACACUGAUGGUUCCUCUCUAUGAGGAGGACUGUUUGGUUUUUUUUUGUUUGCUUUCUGAUGGGUGCUGGGGGUCUUUAGGUACAGGGUCUAUAUCGUUUAAGUGUAGGAGAGCUUGGGUUUCUGGGUGUGGGAGCUGGGGUUUCCUGGGUGUGGGAGAGCUAGGGUUUCUGGGUGUAAGAGCUAGUCUAGCACAAGAGAGGAAGCUUGGUCUCGCACGGGCGAAGGUCAGGUGCCUUUAAGGGGUUGGCCUUCUGGAUAAUGAGUGAAGUAGGUAUCUGGCUUGGUAUGGGUGCUAGAAAGGAAAUGAGUGGUUAAGGGUUUCAUGGGGGCAUGGUGCCGGUAGAGGUAGGUGCUGAGGGACUGGUAGGGAAUGGGUAGUUGAGGCAAAUGGUUCAGUGGUGCCGUUCAUCUCUCUUUUUUUUAAAAAAAAUAUAUAUUAUUAUAUUCAAUUAUUAAUUAAUUUUAAUAUCAAUAAACAAAACUUGAAAAUAGGAUUUAAUCUAGUAAACCCGAAUAAAAUUCAGUAUUUAUAGCUGCCCCUUUUUUAUGUAUUGCUAAGAAUCAGGAAUAUGACAAAGACAAAGAAUUAAUUUUAUCCAGAAUAACGAUUCAAAAUUUUCAAAAGUUUUUUUUUUGUAUGUUUUAUUUUUAUUUUUUUUGGAUUGAACUACAAGUCAAGUGAUAAAAAAUGAUCGAGAUGACAUAGCAAAUCAAAAAACAAAGAGUCGAGAUAACAUCCCAAGUUAAAUAGAAUGAUCGCUAAUCUGAGUUUAUGUGCUAGCUAAACUGGCUUAAAAAUUUAUUGAAGGUCAGAUAAACUGGGCUUAAAUCUUUUUUUGAAAGCCAGAUAGAUUAGGCUUUCAUUAGAGGCCAGCUAUGUUGGGUUUAAAACCUUAUUUGGGGUCAGAUAAACUGGGUUUAAAAUUUUAUUGGUGACCAAAUAAAUUGGGCUUAAAUCUUUUUUAAAAGCCAAAUAAACUGGGUUUAAAUUUCAUUGAGGGCCAGCUAAACUGGGCUUAAGAUUUUCUUGAGGGCUAGACAAACUGGGCUUAAGAUUAUGGGCCAACUAAACUAGACUUAAGAUUGGGUGCUUAAAUCUUUCUUCAAAGGUCAGAUAAAUUAGGCUUAAAAUUAAGGGCUAGCUACACUAGGCCUAAAACUUACGUAAAUUUGAAUUUUUUUGAAGAACUGACAAUUCCUAUUAGAAAUAAAAAAAAAUGAAAAAUCUUUUUCAAUGGAUUGGUUGAUUUAGCACCCAAAGAUUUUUAUUGAUUCAAAAAAAUUACAACACUUAAAAGUGAUAAAAUGGGUAUAUACUUUUUCAACUAAUCCGAGCUUAUGUGCCAGCUAAUCUGAAUUUAUUGUGCCAGCUAAAUUGAGCUUAUGUACCAUCUAAUAUGGGCUUAUGUGCCAACUAUACUGGGCUUAACUUUUUAUUGAUGCCAACUAAAUUGGACUUAAAACUUCAUUAGUGCCAGAUAAUCUGAGCUUGUAUAUUAGCUAAACUGAGCUUAAAUCUCAUUGAUGCCAGUUAAAUUGAGCUUGAAUUUUUUUAAAAUUUGGCAAUCUCUAUCAGAAAUGAAAAAUGUGAGAAUUUUCUUUCUAAAUGGAUUGAAUGGCUCUGUAGACAAAGAUUUUUGUUUAUUCAAAAAGGUUUUAAUGCUUGAAAGGAAUAAAAGAGGCAUAUAAUUUUUCAUACAAGCUUACAGAUGAAACAUAAGUUUUUUUACAACAUGAAUUCCUUAAAAACUAAACAUAUUCAAUAUUUUUUUUACUGUCCAAAUGUGACAUUUUGAUAUAUGUCAAGGUUAGCUAUAAAAGCUUGAUAUUUUGAAAGGUUAUUUAGGAAUGGACAAACUUUCAAACUUUUAUGACUUUGAUAUUUCAGAUCUUUCAAUAAGGUUUGGCUUUUUUUUAUUCAACAUGUACCAUAUUUAACAUCAUGAGUGACCUUCAAGGUUUGCUCUAGAUUGCCCUUUUUAGGGUUUUCACCCUAGAGCCACUUUUAUUUCUAUUUUUUUCCCUUUUUGUUUUCUUCAUUAACACACCAUACACUUAAAAAUUUAAACAUAAUCUGAAAGAGGAAAAGAAUAUUUUUGAAAGGGUUAACGGUCCAAACAAGAAAUUAUAUAAUAAAAGAGAACUCAAAAGAUUUAUGAUCAUUUUUUAAGAGAAACUCUUCAAUUUUAAGCCUUCAUGCUUGAUCAAAUAUAGACUUUUCAAAUGUUGUAAUGUAGGUUAAGGUUCAGGGUUACCAAAGAAAAAGAUAAAAAGGCCUAAAACAAGUAUUUACUGGUAUUUAAAAUUAAGGAUCAUUUUUCAUUUAAAGGAUACAGUCUAAGGUAUAUUCCUUUUUUAUUUUCUUAUGGUUUCCACCCAUUCAUUUCUUUUUUUUUUUUUCUUUUAUUCUUUCUUUCCUUUCAUUUUUCUUUUUUUUUUUUUCUUUUGCAUUCUUUCAUUAAAUGGAUUCAAAACUUUUGUGAACUUUUAUAUUAGGCUUUUGCCUCCAUCACACGAGAUUCCAUUAUACAUCCCUAUUCUUAACCCCUAAACGCAUUUAUUUUUACCUCUCAGUGUGAAGGGUGAUCCUUAAUCAAGGUUUAUUUUAAAAAAAUUUAAUCAGGCUCAAAAGGGUAACAAGUAAUAAGUUUCUAUUUUUGUGAAGGGAUAAUGAAAAAUGAUCAUUUGUCAUUUUAAGUAUAAACAUUUAAAUUGAAAAGCAGUUCCUUUUAGAAAAAUGAACUUGAAUAAAGGUUUUUUUUUUUAAAAUUUGGAUUAAUGGUUUUUUUUAUUUUGAGCUUUUUCUUCGUCUCUUUUUCAAAACUUUGACUUUGUCAGGAUUUUUUUCAGAUUUGCUCAAAUUUUCUAAGUGCAUAAUAUCAUAAUCAUUUUUUGCUUUGCUUUUUUCUCUUUUUUUUGACAUGCCCCUAUAACUCACACCUACAUUCAUUUUGCCAGUAAUGCAUUUCAUGAAAUAUGCCCCAUUUUAACAAAUCACUUUUAAUGAAAGUUAUUACAAGAGAAUGAUCAUAUAGAAUGGAUGAGAAAAAGAUUAUGUAGGGUAAACUUGUUUAAGGUAUCAGAUGAUCUAAGUUAUUUCAUAAAAAGAAAACAAAAUUGUUAAUCAUAACUCAAGUUGUCUUAGAGGCAAUGAAGUAUUUCUUUUUUGGCAAACAUGCCCUCAAGACAAAAGACAGGUCAAUUUUGGGGGUAAAGAGCUAAAAGAUCAGUAUAUUUGAGUUCAUUUUAUGAAACUUGAAUUUGAAAAUUUUAGAACUGCAACAUAGUCUUAACACAUCAAAUUACCGCAUUUGAAUUCUUAAAAAUAUCAUAUAUACUCGAUUUGCUAGAAAUCACUUUUUCUUUACAUUAGCUGUUUCACUAUUUAUUGCCUUGGAAAAUAAUAUCAUCAUUUGAGAUCAUAACAUUAUCAAGUGAAAGUAAAGUUCACAAAUUCAAAUUCAAAACUGUUGAAGGAUCAUGGCUAAUGAAUGUGGUCAACUGAAUGAUUUAAGAAAAUUAAUGUUUAGGUAUUUGAGAAAUUUCUAAUAGUGAUCUCCAACUCAUCCUAAACUCAAAACUUUCCUUUUUUUCUUUUUUUUUUUAAAGGUGUUUCUAUAACCUCAAUACUUAACUUUCGUGGGGCUUUAUUCAAACCUAACAUUUUUAUCUUUUUAUCACUUUCUUUCAGAGACAACUUGUAAUAUCUAAAACUUAAAUGAAAUAAAAGACCUCAAAUGAUAACACUAUGAUGCAUAAUGUUCACUCAUGCGAUGCAAACAUUUGAACUUGACCCAAAAAUUUACCAUCCUAAUGGUACUCUUGAGAUGACAUUUAAAGUUACAUAAACAAAAGUUUCCUACUUGACGUUUCAACUUUAGCAUCACUAACUUGUAACUCUACUACUAUCAAUCAUUAAGACCACUAACCAACUCUUUAAACUUUACAGUAUCUAUAUCGAUCAAAGCUUAAACUGUAUCCUUAAAAACAGUGCAAUCUUUUAUGAAAUGCCCUUCAACUCUAUCAUAAAAUUCACAUUUAGUAUUAGGACAUACCACUUCAGGUACGAAGGCUUUUUGGGUCUUGCAAGAAUAACAAAGAUCAUAUGAUUCUUAACUAGUAAGGUAAAAAGCUUAGUAUAAGGCAUUGAAAGUGAAUGAUACACCUUGACUCUCUUUCUCUUACAGUAUAAAUGGCUUGAGUUGAUCUUUGAUUUUGUAAUUAUUUAUAGUGAAGAAUUGAAGCACACAGAUGAAGUGGUUGAGGAAAAUCACCAAUCUAAAAUAUUAGUUGGAGAUAAUAUGAUGACCGUUAUGAAUAGUCAUCCAUUAAAUAUUCUUGUAUCAUGGUGAGAUUUCUCUGAUUUCGUCCUUUAACAAUUGUUUCUUUAGUUUAUUCCUAAAAAAUAUCUCUUCUUCUUUCAUCACUAGCAUCUAUAAUUUUUUUAUCCCAUCCUCAAUUUUACCCACAGAAAAUAAUAAAUCUGUAAACUCUGACAAAGUAUUGCUGAUCAACUUAUCUUAAUAAGGAGAAAAAAAUGUAUCCACAAAUAAAAAAUUCAGCUCUUUAUUGGUAAAAGAUGGUCGUACUUGCGAUGCCAUUUUCUUCCAUCUAACAGCAUAUUCUCUGUAGCUCUCAUUAGGGCUCUUUCUCAUAUUUUGAAAGGCUAAUCGGUCUGGAUCCAACUCUAACAUAUACCGAUAUUACUUCAAGAAUACCCGUGAUAAAUUCCUCCAAGUAUAAAUUUAACUAAUCUUCAGACAAACUUUCCUAAAAAACAUGAAUUAGUAGCUUUUCGUCACCAGCAUAUCCAACCAUUUUAUGACAGUAUUGAGCUAAAUAUAUCUCAUGACAUCUAUUUUCAUUAUACUUUUCAAAUGUCGAAACCUUAAACUUGGGUGAAAUAACCACAUCUAGAACUAGUUAGGAUUCUUUUGCAUCAUAAGAUUCAUUUUUACACUCAAUAGCUUGAACUCUUUCUUCCAAGAGAUUAUACAUUCUCUAUUCAUUUAGAUUACCUAGUUCUCCCUUAUGGGUCCUAAGUUAGGUCUUUUAGGUUGAUCAUUUUCUUAAGCAAAAAGUCUCUCAAUAAUCUUUUUCAUCUCUCUUUUUAAAUCAAUAGUCUCCAUAUCAUUAGAAGAAAUCACAGAGAUUAUUCUUAAAAAAAUUUCUUCUUUUAGAGCACAUAAGAAUUGUAUUAUAUUAAAUGAAUAUAUAAAUGGAUGAAUGAACGAAUGAAUGAAUCAAUGAAUGCAUAAACGAUAAAGCUCUUUAGUGAAAAGUAUGAAAUUUGAUAAAAAAACGAGAAUAAAAGAGGAACCAUAAUUCACAUAUCUAAGUUCAAUAGACAAUGUCAUUUCAACAUAAAAAACAUUUUCAAACAGAAGAAAUUAACAAGGCAUUUUAUUUUUCAAACAAUAUAUCACUUGAAGACCCUCUUUAAACAAAAGUCCUAUCCAUGUUUAUCAUCUUGCCAUUCAUUUCUCAUUAUUCUUAGAUCUUUUAAUCCUCUAUUGUAGUUGAAUCGAACCAUUUUGCAUUUAUGAGUAACUGCAUAUUAUGCUUGAAACCUUUACAAUUCUUAAUGGAAUGCCCCCCAUUCCCACAAUGGUAUUCUCAUCUUGUAUUUGAGUUAAAAAAUUUUGGGUACAGAGAUUUUAAAGGCUCUGAAGGCACAUGGAUAACAAAAAGUCUCUCAAACAAAUAGAAAAAAAAUCUUUCUUAUGAAAUGAAGAAAUGAUCUAACUGUUUCUUUUUCUUAGGUAAUUUUUGGGUAACAGGUUGACUAAGAGUCCUAAGAUUCAAUAGUGAUGCAAAGGUUCGAACUUAAGUAAUCAGCUGAACAGGUGGUUGAGGCAUGGAAAAAUGAACAUUUUGGUUCAAAUAUGGACUUUUCGGAGAUUGUAUGAAGUUUUGAGGCCUGAUCAUAGAUGUUCAGAAAUGAGGUUGAAAAUAAUCAUGAGAAAGAUUUGGAUGCAAGUUUGAGCUUGAAACAAUUAGUGAAGGCUGCAAGAAACCUUGUAACCUCGUCCUGGAAAUCAAAAUCUGAAGCUCAGACACUUGAAUGAUCAAAUCAUUCGUCCCUUUCAUGAUCUUAUUCAGACCUUCAUUAUUGCUCAAACCAUUGAAUGAUUUAGCAUAUUCUGAAAGUGUACUAGGCCCAACGAGAAUUGGUUUAGCAUGACUUCAUGAAUUUGUAGGACUCACUUGAGUUGAAAUUGGUAAGGACACUUGAUAAGGCAUUAAAAUAAAUUUCUUAACUUUAUUCACUGUCUUUAUCAACUCAGCAAGCUGUGUUGUCACCUUUCAAAUGUCAUGACUAAACUUUUUUUUAUUUCUUUUUAAUGCACUAAUUCAGGCCUCCAAUUGAUCUCCCAUAUUUUUGGCUUCUUAUACCCACUAACAAAAAUAUUAUUUCAAGGCUUUAAUACCAACAAUGCUUAUGCUAUUAUUCUUACUUAAUGAAUGACACAAUUCCUAAUUUGCAUGUGACAUGUCUAUGAAUGCUUGAAUAUGAUAAUGAUGCAAAGAUAUAUACAAAAAUGGAAUAACAUAAAAUUAUACAAUCCAACUUAAUGAUGAAUGGAAUAACUAAACUCCAAAAAGAAAACAAACUUCUUACCUAUCCUAAAUCUUUUUCUUUUUACCUUUUUUUUUUUCAUUUCUUUUUUUUAUCCUAACUUUAUUUACACUAUUAUUACUUUAAACACAAACUAUAUCAAAAUGCCCCACAUAUCCUAAUUUGGGUAAUUUUUAUGGAAGAAAAAAUGGCAUGGCUUUGGACUUCUAAAUAAUUUUUACAAAAGGUCAACACCACUAAUGGCUCCAUAAGAACCCAUUUUUUUUUCUUUUUUUUUUCAAUGACUGACUUAAAAUAAAUACAAUAUCUUAAAAUACAAUGCACACAAUCAAAGAAUAUAUAAAAAAAUAAAAUGACUUAAGAAUUCAAAACAAACAAGUAAUAGAAAUAAUAUAACAAUCAUACAACAAAAUAAUAUAAUGUAUAUAAUGUCCUAACUUUCGGUAAUUUUCUAAAAAUGUGGCAUUGGUCUACCCUAGGUAGGCUUCUUAUGGCUCUCAAUAUAUUGGAUAAAGAUUUAUCUAUCUAAGGUUCUCAGACUAUUCCUCACAUCAUCGUCCGUUAUAGACUAGUAAAGCUUUUCGAUCCUCACUCAUUGUAGGCUACUAAUGGAAAUGGUUCGAUCUGAGUGAAAGUGUUUCCCUAGCAAAUACAGAGGUUAUCAUUUCACGAGAGCGUAGCUACUUUACUUUCUCUUAAAAAAGACAAAGCUCGGGUCUAAAGCUCAUGCAUGUAAGUACAUAUGUAUAAAUGUGCAAAGUGACAUAUUAAUCAAAAUAACAUAAAUAAAUCAUAAGCACAAAAUCAAAACAAAAUAAUAAUUAACAUACAAUUUAUUUUAUAUACUAACUUGUAUAUAUAUAUAUAUAUUUUAAAAAAUUAGAAUAAAAGGAAUUAAAUUAAAUAUCAAAUAAAAUCAAUUAAAUCUAAUCAUUGUUAACAGUGCAUAAUUAAAAUUUUUUACCUAACUCUCAAAUACUCCCCAACAGAGUCACCAAGUUGUUGUAAUGAUUUUAGGACCGCUAGACAAAAAGAAAUUUAAAAAUUAAGAAAAAUAAGAAGAGUCACCACCAAUCUUUUUUAGGGUGUGAUUGAUCACCCAAAAGUUUAUCUUUUUAAGAAAACUAAAAACGGGUUUAAAGUUUAUCAAAAAGAUAAAUUUCAAUAUACAAAAAUUAGGUUGGGUCCGGGAGUUGAUUACGUGUGGAGAAGGAUUAGCACCCCCACAGGGCCUAUAAAUUGGUACCAACUAAUCAUGUGCUAUUUUUUGUGUUGGAUGAAAUGGUUUUGAUUUGAAAUUUAAUACUAAUUUCUUUCAUUUUAAAAAAUAUUUUUUCUAAAAUUCUUUAUUUAGAAAUAUUGAAAAAAUCUUUAAGUUAAAGAAUUAUCUUAAAAUUCUUUAACAUCUAGGUAGAAUCUAAAAUAACUCUUUUCACUUGAGAUUUAAUACAAUAUCCUUUAAAAUGAAAAUAACACUCUUUGUAAUAAAUGAUUGUCAGUGAUUCUCCAAUAUCUAAGUAGAGUAUUAAAAAUUAUUUCAUUCAUAAUGUUAUUUUUACUUUAUUUUAUAACAUCACAAUUUUAAAAUACGUAUUUUUUUUAAACAUUUUAUAUGAGAAAGUAAAUGAUAGUAUUAUCAGGUACCAAAUAAAAAUUAAAGACAGAGAAAUAAAAAAUGAGUGCUAACAAUAUGAUGACAUAUGUAUGUCGAUAAUUGUUAUGCAAGGUGAUGAAAUGCAAUUCAAAAAUGGAUUCUUAAAUAUAAUGAGACCAUCUUGAUUCUCUAACAUUUAGACAGAGCUUAGGUGUGACUAUUUAUAUUCAAGAUCCUAUUUUAUUCAUAUUUUUUUUAUUAAAGCUUAUAAGUUAUUAGCCUCAUUGUUAAAGUGAAUUAAGGACUCAUAUGAAAAACUUAAUGGAAUAAAGUUUUCUAAAUACCCUAUUGUCUAUGCGGCAUUCGAGAAUGAAUUACUCCACUUGAGAUUUUUGCACAUAUCCUUAGAAUUUUGGAAUGGUUUUUAAUAAAGCUUAGGUUGAAGUUUUAAAGUUUGAAUGAUUUUUUGGUGAUGAUUCAGGGUUGCAUACCAAAUUUGGGAUUUUAGGUUUUCAAAUUUUAAAAAAAAAUUUUGAUUUUUGGCUUGAGUUUUAAGGGUUUAAGGGUUUGGUUUAAGGUUUUAUAAGGUUUAUGGUUUCGAUUUUAAGGUUCCAGAUUUAGGGUUUUAAUUUUAGGGUUUGAAAGGUUUAGGAUUUCGAUUUUAAAGUUCAAGGUUUAGGGUUUUAAUUUUAGGGUUUGAGGGGUUUAGGGUUUUAGUUUUAAGGUUUGAAGGGUUUAGGGUUUUGAUUUUAGGAUUUGGGGUUUAUGGUUUUAAUUUUAGGGUUUAAAGGGUUUAGGGGUUUAGUUUUAGGGUUUGGAGUUCAAUUUUUAGUUUUUAGGGUUUCAAGGGUUUGAAAGGUUUAGGGCUUCGAUUUUAGGGUUUGGAAGGUUUAGGAUUUUGAUUUUAGGGUUUGAAGUUUAGGGUUUUGAUUUUAGGGUUUAAAGGGUAUAAGGUUUUAAUUUUAGGGUUUAAAGGGUUUAGGGUUUUGAUUUUGGGAUUUUAAGGAUUUAGGAUUUAGAUUUUAUGGUUUCAAGGGUUUGGGGUUUUGAUUUUAAGGUUUGAAAGGUUUAAGAUUUUGAUUUUAGGGUUUGGAGAGUUUAAGGGUUCAAUUUUAAGGUUUAGGGUUUAAGGUUUAUAGAAAAUAUGAGGAUCUAUGAAAAUCUCCAACAUCUAGGCGAAUUUUCGAAAGAAGUUAAGUUCUCAUAAUUUUCAAAAGUUAAUUAUAAUUUUUUCAUAUAUAUUUUUUUAUAAAAAUUUAUUAUUAAUAAUAUUAUUAAUUUAUUAAUUUUUUAAAUAAUUCUUCAACAUCUAGGUGAAAUUAUCAUUAUUUAAAAACGAUUAUAUUCUUUUCAACAUUUACGUAGGAAAUUUUUUUUUAUUAUUAGUUUAUUUUAUAAUCAUUAUAUAUAUAUAUAUUAUUAUUAUUAUUUUCUAAAGUUUAUUUUAAAAUUAGCAAAAUUAUAAAAAAUUUUAGCUAUAUACUCAUUAUUUAUUUUUAUCUUUAUUAAUUAUUAUUAUAAAACAACAAAAGUUUAUUCUAGCAAAUUUAAAUAUUUUAAUAUGCAUAAAUAAUAAUAAUAAUAAUAAUAAUAAAUUUAAAAUAACAAAGAUAAUAUAAAAAAUUAAGAAAAUUAAAAAAAUUACUUUAAUCGAAUUGGUCAGCAAUUCGAUUAAAGUCGAUUCGAUCGGUUCGACAGUUCGACACGGUUGAACUAGCUGAGGAGCAGUUUGGCAAGCAGUUCAAUUGAAUCAAUUUAGGGUUGAUUGAAGGACGGGUUGCCAAAUCGAGUUACGCGGAUCUUAAGUUAGGUCCAAGUCCACGCGCCAAUCCUUAUGAGCCUUAAAUGGUGUAGUUUUAGGCUUGACUCUUCUAUAUAAAACCAAAUUUUUUUAGCUUAUUUUAUUCUUUCUAUCAAAAAAAAAGUUUCAGAGCUCCAAGGAAAGCUCCAAGGGUUCUGCCGACAUCCCACCGUCGUGUCGAUCACUGUCCAGUAUUACCGCUGGUGGUCACUGUUGGUGGCUAAAAAGUGCCAAAAACUUUCAAAAUAUUCUCCUCAACGUAUUCUUUCCAGAUCCAAUAUUUCUUUCUCUAGGAACAACCCUAAUCAACGUAGAUCAAGAUUGAAAGUUUCAAUAUUCCUUUCUUUUUUUAUAUAUAUAAACCAAAAUUAAUGAUUUUUUUUUGUUUUUGCAUGUAGCUUGGCACUGAUGGUUGCUCCAUACGAUGAGGAUUGUUUGUGAUUGUUUGACUUUUUUUUUUGUUUGCUUUCUGAUGGGUGCUGGGGGUCUUUGAGUAUAAGGUCUGUGUCGUCUGGGUAUGGGAGAGCUUAGAUUUCAAGGUGUGAGAGAGUUGGGGUUUCUAGGUGUGGGAGCUGGUCUGGCGCCGGGGAGGAAAGUUAGUCUCACACGGGCGAAGGUCUGUUGCCUUUAAGGGGUUGGCCUUCUAGAUAGUGAGUAAAGUAGGUAUUUGGCUUGGUAUGGGUGCUGGUAGGGAAAUGGGUGGUUGAGGGUUUCAUGGGUGCACGAUGCCGAUAGGGUUAGGUGCUGAGAGACUAGCAAGGAAUAGGUAGUUGGGGCAGAUGGUUCGGUGGUGCCAUGAAUAGCACCAUUGUCUCUCUUUUUUUAUUAUUAUUAUUAUAUUUAAUUAUUAAUUAAUUUUAAUAUUAAUAAACAAAACUUGAAAAAUAAAAUUUAAUUUAGUAGAUUUGAAUAAAAUUUGAUGUCUACAGAGCAUUUCUAAAAUUAUUAUAAGAAUUUUAUCGAUUAUGAGAUUAGGGGUAUUAUUAUUCUUUGGAUGUGUCAAACAAUUAUCAAAUAAUUGAAGGGGUAACAUAAUAUUUUUUAAAAAGUUAUAAUUGAUCAAAGUAUAGUAGGAAAAGCACUUUCAUAUAAUUAUAAUAAGAAAAUAUUAUAUUAAUUUUGAUUAAUUAUAAUAAAAAAAAUUUCAUAAUUAUAAUUAAAAAAAUAUUAUAAUAAUUUUAAUUGAUUACGGGAGCAGAGAUAUUAUUGAGCUUUUGAAUAUGUGUCAAAUAAUGAUCAAACAAUUAAAAAGAUAAAAUACUAAUUUUCGGGAAAUUUUUUUAAUUAUAUAGUAUAAAUAUGAGCAUUUACAUGGCGUAAAUUUCAAUCAAAAAAUUUUUACCUCUAUUUGCCACACACAUGAGUUUUUAUAUUGAUGUCCACGUGUUUCUGAAGUAAUAUAUAUAUAUAUAUAUAUAAAUAUAUAUAUAUAUUUAUAUAUAACAUAAAACUAUUGGAUUUGUGGUGCAAAUUUAUUCAAAAUUUUGGUUCAAUUUUUCCAUCGAAACGCGGCUGAGUAUUGAUUAAUGUAUGAACUGGACGCUUACUUAAGCUAAGGUAGUCGACAUGGGAUGAAACUUUUGUUUGAUUGACAAUGAGUUACAGUAAAAAAAAGCUGCAAGGCAGCCAAGUUUUACCUAUCUUACGCUCUGUUUGUUUCAAAAAAAAUAAUUUUUAAAAAAUAUUCGUAUUAUUUUAAUUAAAAGAAAUUUUUUAUUGUUUGGAUAAAUUAAUAAAAAUAUUUUUGAUUAUUUUUUGACAAAUAUAUUUUUUAAAUAAUAUUCAUAUAAUUAUUAAAAUAUUAAAAAUUAUUUAUUAUUAAAAUAUAUUUAAAUUAUUAAUAUUAAAAAAUUGUAUUUUAAUAAUAAUAUUUAAUAUAAAAUAUUAUGUUAAUAUAAAAAAAUACUUAAAAUAAAACUAUUUAUUAUUUUUUAUAUUAUUUAUUAAUAUAUUAUUUAUUAAUAAUAUUGUUAUAAUAUUUAUUAAUUAAACUAAUCAUAUUUAUUAUAUUAUUUAUUAAUAUAAUAUUAUUUAUUAAUAGUAUAUUAUUUAUUACUAUAUUAUAAUAUUAUUUGUUAUUAUUAUUUAUUAAUAUAUUAUAUUAAUAGUAUAUUAUUUAUUUAUAUAAUAUUACUUAUUAAUAUAAUAUUAUUUAUAAAUAAAAUUAUAUUCAAAUUAUUGAUAAAUAAUUAUAUUCAUAGAUAAUUUUUUUCAAAAAAUAUUUUUUUAAAAUUCGUAAAAUAAUUUUUUUAAAAAUAAUUUUAUAUUUUAUUAAUUAAAAAAUUAUUUUUUAUGAUCAAUUAAUUUUUUAUUAAAUAAAUACUUAAAAAUAAAAAAAUUAUUUUUCGUAAAGCAAAUAGAGCCUACAACUUAAAAAAAUAUCUUUAGAUACACGUUAAAAAACUUUGAUUUUAUCGAAUUUUGUGCAAAUUCAAAAACUAUAAGCCACACUUUGAAGAUCUUUCGUCGUGUAAUAAUUACAAUAUUCAACAAUUGAUUUUUUUUAAAAUAAAAAAUAUGUUACGAGGCUAUAUUGUCUUACCUUUAAUGACGAGGAACCAUUGAGUCAAAACUAAUCGUCACUAACAGUUAAUGACCGUACAUGAAAGGGGCGGGCACGUUUGGUGGUUAUAUAUGGUUUUCUAGAAUCAUAAAGUUCUCAGAAUUUCUAGACCCCCCCCCCCCCCCCCGGGAACGUGAUCUUCAUUCACAUAUAUACCAUCCAUUAUUUCUAACAAACCCUCAUAGUUUCCAUGACUUUUUCCACAACCAAUAAUGAAGUUAAAUGCAUUUCCACAUUCAAAUCUUCAUGUCACAUUUUUAUAAAGGAAAACAUCGAUAUUUACCUAGGAUAAUGAAUUAAAUGACAAAUCUGACAAUAAUAAUUUUGCUCUAUUUUUAAUUGUAUUUUCCACGGAACUGUAAUAAGUUCUAAUGUAUUGACAGAAGAUAUUUACCUAAUGUAAUAACUUUGAAAAAUGUUUUUUAAAAAGCUUGGUUUUUUAAUAUAUUUGAGAUUAAUUUUUAUUAUUAAAAAUAAAAUUUUAAUACUUCAUCAAUAAAUCAUAUGAUUUAUUUGAUAUUUUUAAGACUCUAAUUAAGAUAAAAACCUUUCGUUUUAAUUGCAUAUAUGUAAAGAAUAAUCCGAUAUGAAUAUAAUUAACUCGUGAGAUCCAUGUGCUUAAAUAUUGUCGUUGUUAAGGCAUGCAAGCAGUUACUUCAUGCAUUCAAAAUAAAUGCUCUAUCAGUUUGGUACAAACUUUGAUUUAUUGAAGUCCAUUACAUAUGUAUAUAGCCGUCUCUUAAACUAUAGAAUUUGCCAAAGAGAUGACGGUUUCCUAAAAGAAAAAGAACAAAGCAAUGGUUGAGCAAAUUUUUAUCCUUCAUGUUGAACGGUGUAAGAAAAUAAAAAAUAAAAAAGGUAAAAAUCAAUGAAAUUGGACCCAGGCCAGGAUGAGAGAACUUGGUAGGACUUUUGAACUUUGAACUAAAAAGUGGAGCUCCUGUCCCUCCACUCCAGGACCUAGUGGCCAGCAAGCCAUUUCAUAAUUCAUAUGCUUUUAAAUCAUGGCCUCCAAAUUUGACAACAUCAAUUCUGCUGAGCUGGACACAUCUCUGUUUAGUAGGUGGCAACACGAGUGAACUACAAAAUCAAAAAGGGUUAACAAAAACAUUUUAAAUUAUAUGAAAAACAUCCUAAAAAGUGAUUUACUAUAAAUAAUGAGGAUUUAUUUCAAUAGUAAUAAAAUAUUACUGUAAAAAUGUUAAAAAAUUAUUUUAAUAUUUAAAAUAUAAAAUUAUUUCAAUAUUAUUAAUAUUUUAAUAUUUCUAAUGAUAUACUUUUACUUAAAUUAACCAAAAUAAUUAUUUGUAAAUAUAAUAAUAUUUCAAGCUAUGUCUAAACCUAAUCUUUUAAUGUUCGGAUUGAAGGUUGAACCGAUUGGAUGUUCAUUCUCGAUUCAAUCAAUUUAAUAGGGGUAUUAAUUAUACUUUAAAUACAUUAUUUAUUAUUAAAUAUGACAAACAUUUGAUAACUAAGUACAUUUGAUUUAAUGGUUAAUAGGUUAAUGCAACUUUAAAGUGAAUAGAUUCAAAUAUUAUCACUUACAAAAUAUUUUCAAAAAAUAAUUAAUAAUUUAAAUAAUAAAACAAGUCAAAUUCAGAUUAACUGGAUUGUGAUCCAUUCAUGAUCGGUUCAAUAUUCAUCUAUUUUUUUUAAAUUUAGAAUUUUAUUAAUAAUCUAUUAUUGAUUCAACUACUCGAUCAAGUCGGAUUCUAAUAAUACUGCCUAAACCUCAUAACUAGUUUGAGAGAAGGUUGGUCUUGUGUUUGAGUUGGUUUGAAAAUUAUCUUUUCCUUGAAAAGUGACAGUAUCAAAAAAUGUAAAAUUUAUUUUUUACAAAACAAAUAGAACCUAAAGGGAGAAAAAAAAAUUUAGACACUCUUAGGUAACUGUUGAUAUCAUUUUUAAAAUUAUUACAGUGAUCUAAUUAUUAUAUUUGCUAUAAUAUUUUUAAAUCAUUGUGUUUAGUAUUAUUAUGAAAAAAAUAAAUCAUAUAGUACAAAAUAUCAAAAAUAAUCUUGAAAAAAAAGUAAAUUAUUUAAUACUUAUUGAAUCAACAAUUUAUAAAAUAAUUAAAUAUUAUAUUAUAAAAACUAUAAAGUAUAAAUCAAUUUUGAUAAAAAUAAUUUUUUUAAAAAAUUAUUAAAUAAAUUUAUUAUUUUUUAAUCAAUAUAAAUUUAUAACAUAAAAUUUUUUUUAGAAUAAGUAAUUAAAAAACUGAUUUUUUUUAAUUUUUAAUGACUUGCUUCUUAGAGUAAUAUUAAUUAUAUUUUUCAUGAGAAUAAAAUAGUCAAAAAAUAAUAUUAAAAAUUAUUUUUUAUGAUCAUAAAAAUUUUUUUAUCUUUUAAUUGAGAAUCAAAUCACCUUCUUAGACAAUAAUUUAUCUCUUUAAUUAUUUAAAAUUAUUACCACAUCAAAAUUUUAAAUUAUUACAAAAAAAUAAUAUAAUUAUUGAGCGUAAAUCAUCAUGACUUUUAAAUAGAUCAUAUCAUACUAAAUACUCUUUAAAAUUCUAAUAUACUCUUAGCAUAAAAAAAUUAUGACAAACAGUAGAUUAAUCUUGAUAAAGAUAAAAAACAAAAAAAAAAGUUUUGAUUGAUGGAUGUUUUAUGGGUAGAAAGGAAAAAAAAGUGUUUUGAUUGAUGGUCUAAAGAUGUUUAUGGAUCAAUUCUCCCGAGACUCAAUUGAUACAUUUAAAAUCUAAUUUGUUUUUAUUAGGUUGGUCCGAUUAACUCAUUUAAAAUUUAUUUAUUAUUAGCAUAUUUUUAUAUUAAUUUUUAUAUUUUAAAAAUUAAAAUAAAAUUAUUAUUUAUUUAUUUACAAAAUAACAUCACGAACCGACUGCACCAGACCGUAAACCUGGCAAGUAGCCAGAUCCGUGAACAGUGUAAGUAAUAUAAUUUUUUAAUUUUUUAAUUUUUUUUGUCGAAACAUUAAUAAUAAAAAAAAUAUUUUUUCUUCAUUGCUUCUGUUUAUAAAUCCCUGAAUGAAAGGAGCGCAAGUUGCCCACGAAUAAGAGUUUGCAGUAGCAUAGUUGGCAGAUAUUUCAUAUGAUACACGGCCAACAGAGCUACGUUGUUUGACUGUAUAAAUUAAAACACUUGUUUUCUCUGUUUCAGCGCCUGGUUUUCGGUCUUACUGAAGUUAUAAUCCAAGCACUUCGACUGUUUGACAUGAUGGAAGCUGAUCCACUCAACCUCAAGCUCUCUUUCGAAGAAAAAAGUGGAGCCCCUGUCGCUCCACUCCAGGACCUGGUGGCCAGCAUGCCAUUUCAUAAUUCAUAUGCUUGAAAUCUUGGCCUUCAAAUCGGACAACAUCAAUUCUGCUGAUCUGGACACAUUUCUGUUUAGUGGGUGGCAACAUGCGUGAAAUACAAUAGUCAAAAAAGGUUAACAAAAAAAUUUUAAAUUAUAUGAAAAUCAUCCUAAAAAGUGGUUUACUAUAAAUAAUGAGGAUUUGUUUCAAUAGUAAAUAGAAUAGUUACUGAAAAAAUGCUUAAAAAAUUAUUUUAGUAUUUAAAAUAUAAAAUUAUUUCAAUAUUAUUAAUAUUUUAAUAUUUCUAACCAUAUACUUUUACUUAAAAUUAACCAAAAUAAUUAUUUGUAUAUAUAAUAAAAUUUCAAGCUAAGUCUAAAUAUAAUGUUUUAAUGUUCGGAUUGAAGGUUGAACUGGAGUUUUUUCUUAUGAUAAGGCAUCCUACAAUCUUAUUUAUCAAAUUAGAAUAGUUUUAAACUUAAUUCUUAAAAUAAAAUACUUUGUACACUUGAAAUUCAUGUCAGAUAUAUAUGACAAAUUAUAUACAAAUAAAAUAAAUGAUAAAUUAUUUAAUUAGUUUUAACUCAAUCAAAAAAUUUUAAAAUACACAUAUCUUGAAAAGCCUCAUAUUCUCUUCCUUUCUCCUUCAUUAGAUCGUCCUCUUUUUUAUCUUCUUUUCAUUUGAAUUAGAAUAUCCACGCAUUGUUAUUUACCAAAAACAAACUAUUGAUGUUUAAAGGGUGUUCAAUGAAAUAUCUAUAAUAAACUUUUUUGUUUACAAUUUUGUUAGCAAGGAACCCAUUGAAAGUAUAUCAUUGUACUGACAAUACUUCUGAACCUUUGCUCUCUGAAAUUGGAAUUGAAUUUAGCAACAAGGCUAGUGAUUCGAACUUAAUUUAACAAGAAGGCUGUGAAGAAAGCAAAUGGAAAAAUAAAAAGAGAGAGACUCCAUAGAAUAUAAACGAAUACUAUUGCAAAUUAGGUAGAGAGAAAAAGAAAGAAGGGAAAAAUCUAAGAUCAAAACCAAAAGAUGUAAAAUAAGAAAGAAAUAAAAAAAAUUUAAAAAACUAUAAAAUAAAAUUUGAAGAGCAUUUAUUUGAUGGGAAGUGAAUAAUCAUGGUGUGAUGGUUUUAUAUUUUUAGAAUCAUUCAAAAAAAUUUAUGAAGGAGAUCCUAACUCUUGCCCAAAAGAUAAAGAUUUAAAAAGAGAUGAUUAGUUAUUUAAAAAAAAAAAAAAAAGAAAUUGAUGAAUAGGUUUUUGUUGGCGCAAAAAAGAGAGAUUAUUUGGACGUAAAUUAAAACUCCAAUACUCCUUAUAUCUAUUCCAGAAAGUGCUUGAAGUUAUUUGGUGCCCUCAAGAAUCCAGGAACAUUCUAUGCUUGGCCUUAAAGCCCUGCACCUUUUCAAUUAAUGGUUUUUGAUUUUGAUAAAUAUUAUCAAAUAGCCAGGUAAGUUUAUACUUGUUGUUAGGGCAUGUUACAGUGUUGCAAUGAUUAUUUUCUAUCUGAUAAACUUUCUGUAUUUUUUAAGGGAUGAAUAGUUACAAUGAAAAAAGGGAGAGAAGAUAAAAAAAGAAAGUGACGUGGAAUUUCAUGCUAACAUGGAAUUGAAUUGUAUAAUACUAUCUGUUUUUAAAAAUAAAGUUUAAAGUAUCUCACUUAAAGAAAUAAGAUAUCAAAGUACCUUUGUUUGGGAAAAAACUCAGUUGAACUGAUUGGAUGUUCAUUCUCGAUUCAAUCAAUUUAAUUGGGGCAUUAAUUAUACUUUAAAUAAAUUAUUUAUUAUUAAAUAUGACAAAACAUUUUAUAAAUAAAUACAUUUGAUUUAAUGGUUAAUAGGUUAAUGCAACUUUAAAGUGAUUAGAUUCAAAUCUUAUCACUUCUAAAAUAUUUUUUUUAAAAAAAAUUUAAAUAAUAAAAUAGGUCAAAUUCGGAUUAACCAGAUUGUGAUUCAUUCGUGAUCGGUUCAAUAUUCAUCCAUUUUUUCAAAAUUUAAAAUCUUAUUAAUAAUCUAUUAUUGAUUCAACUACUCGAUUCAAAUCAGAUUCUGAUAAUGCUGCCUAAACCUAAUAAAUUUUAUCCAAGACUCAUCUUGUAAAAUAAAUCUAGUUUGAUAGUUUGAGAGAAGGUUGUUUGCGUUCGAGUUGGUUUGAAAAUAAUUUUUUCCUUAAAAAAAAAAAAUUCAAGUUUUCAACUUAUUUUCAGGUGUUUGAAAAAAAAAUUUAAGUUGAACUUAAGUGAAUUUUAAUCGUGUUUUUUGUCAAACCAAUAUAAAAAAAUGUAAAAUUUAUUUUUUACUAAACAAAUAGCACCUAAAGGGAGAAAAAAAAUUUUGGACACUCUUAGGUCAUUUUUUAAAAUUACUGCAGUGAUCUAAUUAGCAUAUUUGGUAUAAUAUUUUUAAAUCAUUAUAUUUAGUAUUAUUAUGAAAAAAACAAAUCAUUUAGUACAAAAUAUAAAAAAAAUUUUGAAAAAAAUAAAAUAUUUAAUACUUAUUGAAUCAACAAUUUAUAAAAUAAUUAAAUAUUAUAUUAUAAAAAAUUAUAAAAUAUAAAUCAAUUUUGAUAAAAAUAAUUUUUUAAAAAAUUAUUAAAUAAUUUUAUUAUUUUUUAAUCAAUAUAAAUUUAUAACAUAAAAAUUUUUUAGAAUAAGUAAUUCAAAACCUUAUUUUUAAAAUUUUUUAAUGACUUGCUUCUCAUAGUAAUGUUAAUUAUCUUUUUUGUGAGAAUAAACUAAUCAAAAAAUAAUAUUGAAAAUUAUUUUUUUAUGAUAAAAAAAUUUUUUUUAUCUUUUAGUUGAGAAUCAAAUCACUCUCUUAGACAAUAAUUUUAUCACUUCAAUGAUUUAAAAUUAUUACCACAUAAAAAUUUUAAAUUAUUAUAAAAAAUGAUAUAAUUAUUGAAUAUAAAUCAUCAUAACUUUUAAAUAGAUCAUAUCAUGCUAAAUACUUUUUUAAAAUUAUAAUAAAUUCUUGAGCAAAAAAAAAAAAAUCACAAACAGUAGAUUAAACUUAAUAAAGAUAAAAAAGAAAAAAAAAGUUUUGAUUAAUGGUCUAGACAUGUUCAUGGGCGAAAAGAAAAAACUUGUUUUGAUUGAUGGUCUAAACUUGAAAAAAAAAAGUUCUGAUUGAUGGAUGUUUACGGGUAAAAAAGAAAAAAAAAAGUGUUUUGAUUGAUGGUCCAAAGAUGUUUAUUGAUCAAUUGAUACAUUUAAAAUCUAAUUUAUUUUUAUAAGUUUAGUUGAUUAACUCAUUUAAAUUUUAUUUAUUAUUAGCAUAUUUUUAUAUUAAUAUUUUAUAUUUAAAAAAUAAAAUAAAAUAAUUAUUUAUUUAUUUACAGAAUAACACCACGAACCGACUGCACCAGACCGUAAACCUGGCCAAUAGCAGAUCCGUGAACAGUGAAGUAAUAUAAAUUAGUAAUUUUUUAAUAUUUUUUGUCGAAACAUUAAUAAUAAAAAUUUUUUUUUCUUAAUUGCUGCUUUUUAUAAUUCCCUCAAUGAAAGGAGCGCAAGGUGCCCACGAAUAAUAGUUUGCAGUAGCAUAGUUGGCAGACAUUUCAUAUGACACACAGCCAAUAGAGCCAGGUGGUUUGACUCUGUAAAAUUAAAGCACUUGUUUUCUCUGUUUCAGCGCAUGGUUUUUCGGUCUUGCUGUGUGAUGGAAGCUGAUCCACUCAACCUCAAGCUCUCUUUCAUAUGAUCAUAUCGAAAAAGAAUAUAAGACAGAAACAACUCAUCAUUAUCCUGACUUUCUUGAGAUAGAAUUACUCAGCCAUGGUACGACAAAUUCAACUGACUUGUUAGCUUCUCACUCUGCGACAAAGAUGAAGGUGAUGGCGCAUCCAAAAUCACCAUACUUCUGCAAUAUGGAUUAACAGCUGGAUAUCACAAUCCGUAACCGCUGCACGUGCUAAUGUAGGGAAGCAUAAUUCAUAGUAGAAAAGAAACUUGAAUUAUAUUUUUACAGUGGAGGAGGUGCACAUUUAUUCAUAAAAAGCUAGAGUCAAUGAUAUGCAUUCUUCGGGGCUGAAUCUUUGGUUAACCCCUCUUUCAGAAGAGCAAGCUUCAGUUGUAAUUAAGGUGAUUAGUUAUUUAUGAAUUUAUAUUUGAUAUAUUAUUAGUAUAUAAAUUUUGUAUAUUAUUAAUAAAUUAAAUAAUAUUAUCUUAUUAAUAAAAUAAAUUAGAUAAUAUCAUAUUAUCAAUAAAUAAUUUUUUUUUUAAAUAAUUUUUAUAUAUUUAUUUUUAGAGUUUAUAUUUAUUUAUUGAUGAGUAGAUAUUAUAUAAUUUAUUGAUAGUUGUAAAUGCUGAGUUUAUACCAUUUUCUAGCUAACUGUAUGUACGUUUAUCAGGAUUAUCAUCCAGCAUAAUGUGACAAAGAAAAGAAAAAUGAUGCAUUAGAAGAGAUUGUAAUCAAAUGAAAAAAAAGAAAAAGAAAGUUAUUGAUGAAUGCUAUUAUUAAUGCACGACAAAACUUAUAUGAUUUUUUUAGGUAAAAUUUAUGAAUUUUUUUAAAAAAUAUGAUUUAAUAAAAAUUUCAAAGCAAUAAACUAAUAAAAUUUAACACGAAAAUCAAUAAUAUUAAAAAAAUUAUUUAUAAUUUAAAUUUUAUUAAUACUUAUUCAACGGUAAAAAUUCUAUCAAUAUUUUUAUUAACAAUGUCUAUUUAAAAAAACAUACCAAAAUUUUUUAAAAUUUUACAUACUUAAUUUAUGUAACAAAAUCUUUUAAUUUAUCAAUUUUAAUUUUUAAUUUUUAUUUAAUCAUUUAUAAUAAAAAAUUUUACAAAUUUCACUUAAAAACCUUUAUCUAAAUUUUUCUCGUUUAGUGCAUGCGUCAUCCUACAAACCGAUCAUAUACAUGUGAUAUUUGGCAACGGCUCCUUACUUUUAUUGUUAGGACAGUCAAAUCAUCGUCCUUAAUUUGCCCAAAUACUAUAUGCAUGUCAUAUGCGUAUCAGUAAUUCAGUAUAUGUCUUUGGUUUUAGCAACUGGUAAAUUUGGAAAUACCAUGUUCCAGAAUUUAAUUCCUACGAGUAUAAUAUAGCAAUAGUAGGAUAUGUUUCUUAAGAAAGAAAAAAAUAAAAUAAAUAUUUAUAUCCUCUAUAUAACUGGACUACUUACUAGCAUAGAUUUUUUCUUUAUCUUGUAAAUUUUAUUUAAGCUAACAAAAAAUAUUUUAUAUUCAUGUAGUUGUUGUGUGUAUAGAACUACUAAUUAAAUACUAUAUGAUAUAAAGUUUGUUUAGUAGUUUUACUUUUAGAGUAUGGGUUAAUAAUUGAAUCUCCUAAGAUUAAAGAUUAAAUUUUCUUUUUUCUAGUAGGUAGUACUACUAAUACUUUUGUCUCUAAUGAGAAAACUGAGCUGUCCUCCAUAAACAUUUAAUUCAAUAAUUGAUGUCUUGAUUAAUGCAAAGAUUAAAGUUCAUAAUUUUUUUAAAUUAAAAAAAAGUUGUUAAUAGUUACUAGUAGUAAUGUUUAAUUUUUUUUUAUUUGAUUAGGGGCAGGGGAUUAAGAUAAUUAAUUAUAUUCACACAAUUUAAGUGAGUAUUAGAACAAAAAUAAUAAAAAUUAUAUAUACAUAACAUCGUAAUAAUGCCAUUAGAAUAUAAAAAAUGAAAAUAACUACAUGUCAUGACUCAUGUGUUUUAAAUAUAAAAAUCACGUGUUCAGAAGAAAGAACUACAAUGCACUGUUUACUUUACAAAUUCUCAUUGAUAAUUGAAAGUUGUUGACUUCUUGGUGGCGUGUGAAAUUGAGCUUGGAAAAUCUAGUUUUAAGCUAGUGUGAUACAUGCAUUGGUAUGCAAUUAUAUAUAUAUAUAUAUAUAUGUAAAUAUCUUUAGUUAUAAUAUAAUUAAUAAAUGUUAUAUAAGAAUUAAAAUUUUAAUGUAAAUAAAUAAAAAAAUAUUAUUAAAAAUUAAUAUAUACCUGUAACAAAAUAUAAGAAAGAUACUUUUCUAUCAUAUCCCAUCCAUUAAUAGGAUGUUUAAGCAAAGCCCAAAAAUGUUUUAUUCCUGAAACUUACUCCAUUUAAAAUCAAUCUCAUGUACAAAUUCUUUUCAAGGGAGAUUAUUUUAUAACUUGUUUUGAUGAAAAAAGUUGCAAUUGAUUUUUAAAUGUUUUUUUAUUAUAUCUGAUGUAAGUAUUAUUUUGCUUGGUGAUUCAAUAAAUUCCAAAAGUGUAAAUGAAUUAACAAAUGAAGUAAUUAUAAAUGAUAAAGUGGACUAUUUAUUUUAUUUAUUUUAAAUUCACGAAUAAGUUGUAUUUUCAAAACUAAAUUAAUUAAUAUAACUUUUUUAUUUAUAAUAUAACUUUUUAUGACAUACAAAAGCCUAAACCAGUUUAAACCUACGUAUCUCUUUCAAAUAAUUUACGACUCAAUUUUAAGAUUAAUAUUUUUUCUACUACUUAUUAAGAUUAAAUUUUGAUAAACAUCAAUUAGUUUAUAAAAUAAUUUUUUUAAAAAAUCAAUAUUGAGUUUGCAGCGUAUCAUUUAAAACUGAACAGCAUUAAAAACAUUAAUUUAUUAAAAAUGACAAAAAAAAGCUAGUAUUAAUUAAUAAAAAUCAUCUAACUUUUUUAUAAUAAAAAAUGAAAAACCGAAUUUGCUACGUGCAAAGUACUCUUUCAUUGUGAAAUAGCAAUUCUCUUUUUUUUGGUUUUUAUACAUGAUUUGAUAUAGGAAUUUGGCAGCCUUUGGAAGCGGGCAAUUCUAUUAACACUAUAAGAAAAUGAAAUAUUAAUGACAGUUCUGUAACGACAUUUUAUUUAUAAAUGCCGUUAGUUUUUAUGUUUUUAUAAAAUUUAAGACGUUUAUUAUUAAAACACCAUUAAAUAUUCAAAUAGUGACGUUAUUAUUUAUAAAUGUAACUCAAGACUUGAUAUUAGUGGUGUUUAUCGAUUAAAACACCUUGAAUAAUUUUGUCUUAAAAAUUUAAGUGAAUAUUAAAGGUAUUUUUGGUAAAAAAUGGCUUGAAUAAUUUCGAUAAAAAAAUUGAUAGAGAAUUAAUGAAGGUAUUUUUGACAGACAACGCCUUCAAUAAUCUCUUCAUAAAAAAAAUGUAUGCGAUUAUUGAAUGUGUUUUCUACAAAAAAAAUUUUACAAGCUUAUUGAAAGCGUUUUUGGUUAAAAACGUCUUCAAUAAAUAUCAUAUCAAAAUUUUAAGAUCGUAUAGAUGUUAACCAUAAAAUAGUAGGUUUGAUCCCUCCCUUUAGCUUUUUUUAGGUUUUUGUAAAAAUUAUUUGUAAUUGAUUAUUUUAAGUAUUUUCUAGGUAAAAAUGCCUUCAACAAUUGCUUUAAAAAAAUUUAGAGAGAAUAUUGAAGGUAUUUUUGGUAGAGAAACGCCUUUAAUAAUCUAUAAAAAAAAUAUUGAACCAAUUCUUGAAGGCAUUUUUAGCCGAACUCACCUUCAAUAAUCCAAUCAAUAAAUUUUUAAUUUGGAUUAUUAAAGGUGAUUUUUGUCAAAAAUACCUUCAAUAAUCUAUACACAAAAAGUUGAAAUGGUUUUUUGAAAGCGUUUUUGGCUCAAAACGCCUUUAAUAUUUCACAGGAUAAAUUUGAAUGGUCAAAUUAUUGAAGGUAUUUUUUUCAAAAACUCAUUCAAUAACAUUUUGUUAGGGAUUAUUCAAGGCGUUUUAGGUAGAAAAACGCCCUUAAUAUACAAAAAAUAUAAAAUGAAUUAUUGAAAGCAUUUUUAGUCAAAAAUGCCUUCAAUAAUCCAUUCAAUUAAUUUUUAGUUGGUAUUAUUGAAGGUGAUUUUUUUUAAACGCCUUCAAUAAUCCAUAUAAAAAAGUUGAAACGAAUUCUUGAAUGUGUUUUUUUGCCCAAAAUGACUUUAAUAUUUUACACAAUAAAUUUUUAAGUAGGAUUAUUGAAGGUAAUUUUGAUAAAAAAUACUUCAAUAACAUUUUGUUAGAGAUUAUUCAAGGUAUUUUCUUGCUAAAUAUCCCUUUAAUAAUCCAUAGGAAAAAUAUGGAACAAAUUCUUGAAGGCAUUUUUAGGUGAAAACGCCUUCAAUGAUCCAAUCAAUAAAAUUUUAACAUAAAUUAUUGAAGGUGAUUUUUGUCAAAAAUGCCUUCAAUAAUUCAUACACAAUAUUUGGAACAGAUUCUUGAAGGUGAGAUAUAUUUUUAGGUGAGAUUAUUGAAGACAAUUUUGGUUAAAAAUGCCUUCAAUAACAUUUUGUUGAGGAUAAUUCAAGGCGUUUUCUUCAUUAAUCCCAUUAAAAAUAUAUUUUUGAUAUUGUAUAUGUCAAGUCAGUCAUAGGUUUAUGCCUAAAAAAUAUUUGAAGUCAGUUGUAUAUUUAUGCUCAGAAAACAUUUGGUUUAUAUAUGUGAUACUACGAAUUACAUUUUGAAAUUUACAUAAUUAACAUUGUUGUAUUUCAAUAAAUUAAUCACACAUCCGAAUUUAAAGCUGAUAACGUUGCCAUAUUAAUAUACUUUUUUGAAAUAAUCAUACUCAGUAAUAAUAUAUUAAAUACACAUGGUGUAUUCAUAUUAAGUAUACCAAUAANNNNNNNNNNNNNNNNNNNNNNNNNNNNNNNNNNNNNNNNNNNNNNNNNNNNNNNNNNNNNNNNNNNNNNNNNNNNNNNNNNNNNNNNNNNNNNNNNNNNNNNNNNNNNNNNNNNNNNNNNNNNNNNNNNNNNNNNNNNNNNNNNNNNNNNNNNNNNNNNNNNNNNNNNNNNNNNNNNNNNNNNNNNNNNNNNNNNNNNNNNNNNNNNNNNNNNNNNNNNNNNNNNNNNNNNNNNNNNNNNNNNNNNNNNNNNNNNNNNNNNNNNNNNNNNNNNNNNNNNNNNNNNNNNNNNNNNNNNNNNNNNNNNNNNNNNNNNNNNNNNNNNNNNNNNNNNNNNNNNNNNNNNNNNNNNNNNNNNNNNNNNNNNNNNNNNNNNNNNNNNNNNNNNNNNNNNNNNNNNNNNNNNNNNNNNNNNNNNNNNNNNNNNNNNNNNNNNNNNNNNNNNNNNNNNNNNNNNNNNNNNNNNNNNNNNNNNNNNNNNNNNNNNNNNNNNNNNNNNNNNNNNNNNNNNNNNNNNNNNNNNNNNNNNNNNNNNNNNNNNNNNNNNNNNNNNNNNNNNNNNNNNNNNNNNNNNNNNNNNNNNNNNNNNNNNNNNNNNNNNNNNNNNNNNNNNNNNNNNNNNNNNNNNNNNNNNNNNNNNNNNNNNNNNNNNNNNNNNNNNNNNNNNNNNNNNNNNNNNNNNNNNNNNNNNNNNNNNNNNNNNNNNNNNNNNNNNNNNNNNNNNNNNNNNNNNNNNNNNNNNNNNNNNNNNNNNNNNNNNNNNNNNNNNNNNNNNNNNNNNNNNNNNNNNNNNNNNNNNNNNNNNNNNNNNNNNNNNNNNNNNNNNNNNNNNNNNNNNNNNNNNNNNNNNNNNNNNNNNNNNNNNNNNNNNNNNNNNNNNNNNNNNNNNNNNNNNNNNNNNNNNNNNNNNNNNNNNNNNNNNNNNNNNNNNNNNNNNNNNNNNNNNNNNNNNNNNNNNNNNNNNNNNNNNNNNNNNNNNNNNNNNNNNNNNNNNNNNNNNCAUAAAAUAAUGUAAAACUAUCUCUCGCAUAAAAUGAAAGAUAUAAUAUCCACAUUCAAUAUUACCGGGUUGACGAGGUACCUGAAAAUUAAAUUAAAUGGGUUUAAGAAAUAUUUAUCUACACAAACUCAACAUAAAAGAAAAAAUUUCACAUUUACCGAUAAUGACACCCAUUUCAAUUUCUUUGUCUUCUUAUCGAAUGCAGAUAUUACCCUGAAUUGAAAAAAAAUUACUUAAUACAUAAAUAAAAUUACUUAUGAAGAAAUAUAAGAUAUAUAAUAUAAUAAAGUGUAAUACCUAUUUAUAAAAGUUUGAAUAUCAGGGUUAGGCAUCGCCAUUAGAUUAAUUGAAUUAAGUAAGUAUGACGUUAAGGAUUUGGUGUCAAUCACAAUAAGCACCCAAUAACGAUUGUAAAAUAAUAACAAUGAUAUACUUAGAUUACGUAUCAGAUCAGAUUUGGAUAAGAUCAAAAUAAUUAAGUUUGGAAUAUAACUUACUACGCAUUAUACAAAAGUAAAUAAUAAUCAACCGAUCUUUUCAUGCAUUCAAUCACAUGAUUAGCACGAUAAACGGCUAUGUCACUCUGCUCACUAAUGAAGUUGGGAUCAACAAAUCUAAAUCUGUUGGUCAACUAUCUUCCCUUGAGCUCUCUAUAUAGGAAGCUGCACGAUAACAAUCAACAAUGCUAGUUAGUAUUACACUGUAAUAUAGAUUAAUACAUAUUGAAUGUGCAUAUUUGUAUUUAUAAGCUAAUCUCAUAUAAGCAAUAGUAUCAAUAGCUAAUAAUUCAUCCAGUUCAUAAAAUUCUUUAAUCUCCUCCACAUCAAUGAAAAAAAAAUGAUGGUUUAUCAAAUAAUCCUUCCUCAGACUCAAUGGUUAUGAAGUUUCCUCUGGAUAAAUGCUCUAGUGAAUAAUUAGAUAACUCAUCCAUGGUAGCUUGACCAAGGGUCAUACUCUGAGUCCCAACAUCUUGCUACAAUAUUUAAUGAAAUAUAAGUAUUAAAACUAAAUAAAUAAAUAUAAUAAAUAAAAUCAUACUUUAUACGUGGUAACGGAGGUUGGGUUCGUUGUCUGACUUGCAACAGAAGCUUGUCCUACGUGGACGAUUCUAUCAGAUUAACUUACUACAUGCUAUGCUGCAUUACUACCAACAUGGCCUCUAAAGCAGCGAGUCUUUGUUGUUACUUAUUGAGGAGUUGCUCCUAGUCAUUAAUCUGUUGCUGUUGUUGCUCAAUGAUUGCUUCAUAUUAUACAUUUCUUAUUCGUGGGGUUUUGGAUUUAUUACUAAAAAACUUUAAUGGUAAGAUAAAUUUACCAACCCCACGAAUCCGACCAGGCAUUUCUUUAGUGCCUAAUGCUAAAGACAAUAGAUCUUCGCCAUACCAAGUUAUCAGUUUACCAUAUUUGACUUUAACAGCAUAAUCAUCCUAAAAGACAAUAAUAAGAUGGGCUGUAACAACAAAUCUAUACAAACUAGUAUACAGUUAUGCAUAUAACCACAAUGCCAAUCAUACAUGAUAUUAAAAAAAUAGUUAUACAUACAAUCUUUUUUGUCAUUUCUUCGGUUGCUUCAUCUACAAAUGAUUUAUCCUUCCUUAGAUGUUCUUGUUUCCAGACAUCCUAUCUGAAAACUUUGGUGCCAGAGCUUAUUAAUUCUUAUUAAAUUACCGUAAUAUAAGAAUCAGAAUAUAUGAAAUGAAUGUUCAUAAAUAUUCAUUAAUGAGUAUAAAACAAGUGUGCAAAUACAUACAAAGCUCGUACUUCACAUUUGCAUAUCCCUUUCUCGUUGUCUGAUGGUGAUAUUGUUGUUUGGCCCGAAUGCUCUGUUGGUUUUCUUUGAUUUUCUACAAAAGAAAAAAAUUACGUCAAUUACAUAUGAAGAUCAAAGGAUAUAUUAUAUAAAGACUUAUAAACAAUUUUAUUGGUAAUGGGUUUACGUACUAAAAAAUCUUCUGAAAGUUGAUAUCGAACAAAAUUUAUCCAAUCUUUAACAUUUAUUACAUCUGCAUAUGAAGUAAGUGAAACAGCCAAUACAUCACCUUGAUUAGCCAGCGAUAAAAUAUAUUGGGUUGUCAAUCUAUUUUUAAAGUCUUUGAAUACUUUUCCAAUAGAUUCAACAUAAUCUUUUUAUAGUCAAUUAAGAAGUCAAACCAUUCUUAAAUAAUUUAACACAAUUAGUAUGAAUACAUUGAAUUUCAAUUAAAUGAUUAUUUAACAAAUUUUAUGAAAUAGUUGAAUAAAUAUACUACAAUUGACUAUCAUAUAUCAUCCUUUAGAUCAUCAGAAACUCAUCGCCAAUUGGUGUACGUAAUUGAAAUCCUACUAUGGACGACGGCUCCAAUAUGAAUAGCCAACUUGACAACUCAUUCAGACACAGGUUGUCCACUUUGAUUGAAGUCAACAUGAAUUUUUGUGCCACUUACUUUAAUUUGUUUAUUUGGGCCCUUUCCCUUCUUUUUUAGCCUACAUGUGUGUUUUGUACAUGUUCAAUAGAAGGAGAAUGAUAUUGUUCGGAGUUCAUAAUACAUAUGAUUUUGAUCAUAAUUAUAAGAAUUAUACAAAAUAACCGUCUAAAUUUAACACUGUACGUAAUUAAAUAUAACCAAUAUCAUUACGUACAGAAAUACCAUUUAGAAAACCAAUCAACAAUAUGCUUAGACACACCCUUCAACAAACCUUUCAAAAACACCAUUCAGCAAAUCAUUCAACAUACAAUUUAGCAUAUAAUUUAGCAUACCAAUAUCACAUAAUACCAUUCAGCAAAAUAAUAUCAUACAACAAGGUUUAGCAAAUCACAAUAUUUAAAGAAAACUACACAGAAACAUCAUACAUGCAGUGAAAAGUGCUGAGAUGACUAUGCUUACGGUGAAAUUAAUAAAAACAUUUAUGAAUAUGUAAAUAGUAAGGAAUAAAAAAAAUUACUUUAUCGAAUAGUAUAAAUAAUACAGUAAACAAAAAAAAGACAUACUGAUAAAUAGAAAGGUAUGCGCCGUUGAUUUGUUAAAGAUCAGUGGUGAUGAUAAGGAUAAAGAAACCAAAAGUCUAAUAUAAAUGUUUUUAUGGGUUUGGUUUGGUUAAUUAAUGUAGUUUUUAAUCGUUUUUUGUACUAAUAGUUUACGAUUUUGAUAUUCAAGACAAGGGAAUGAAUAUAAAAAUUAUUAUUAAAGGCAUUUUUCCUCAAAAACUGUCGUCAUUAAUUCUUUUAAAAUUUUAGUUGGAGAUUAUUGAAGGUGUUUUUUACUGAAAAAAGCCUUUAGUAAUCCAAAAAAUAAUUUUAAAAGAAAAUUAUUAAAGCCUUUUUUUCUCAAAAAAUACCUUUGAUAAUUCUGAACAAAAAUUAUUAAAGGUAUUUUUAGUAGAAAAUCUCAUUAAUUGAUAUUCCCAUGAUAAGAAUAGAGCGACUUAUUAAAGGCGUAUCAUGCAGAAAACGCCUUCAAUAAAUUCAUUCAAAAAAUUAUAACAAAUUACUGAAUGCGUUUUUCUAGAAAAUAAAAACAUCUUCAAAAAUCUCCUUAAUAUUAUUGAAGGCGUUUUAUACUAAAAGAUGCCUUUAAUAAUAUCAAAAAUUUUAAAAAAAAAUUAUUGAAGGCGUUUAUUCUCAAAAAAUACCUUAAAUAAUUACGUACAAAAAUUAAAAUGAAUUAGUGAAGGCAUUUUUCUAGAAUAAAUGUUUUCACUAACCGUAUUAAAAUUUAAGUAGUAGAAUAUUGAAGGUGUUUUUCACUGAAAGAAGCCUUUAAUAAUCUCAAAAAUUUUAAAAAAAAAUUAUUAAAGGCGUUUGUUCUUAAAAAAUACCUUCAAUAAUUAUGUACAUAAAUUAAAAGGAAUUAGUGAAGGUGUUUUUCUAGAAUAAACACCUUUACUAACCGUUUUAAAAUUUAAGUAGUGAAAUAUUUAAAGGCAUUUUGUACUAGAAGACACCUUCAAUAAAUUCUUUUAAAAAAUAAAAUGAAUUAAUCAAGGUGUUUUUUAUGAAAUAAAUACCUUCAAUAACCCUUUAAAAUUUUAGUAGUGUAAUAUUAAAGGUGUUUUGUAGAGAAGAUACAUUUAAUAAUCUCAAACAAUUUUUAAAGAAAAUUAUUAAAUGCGAUAUUUUAGUAAAAAAUUACCUUCACUGAUAUUCAUAAAUAAAAAUGAGAAAAUUAUUGAAGGCGUAUUAUGCAAAAAAUACCUUCAAUAAAUACACCAUAAAAAUUGGAUGAAAUUAGUAAAGGUGUUUUUAGGGCUUAAACGCUUUUAAUCAUCUCAAAUAAUUCUACUAUGACUCUGUUGAAGGCGUCUAUAAUAUAUUCAAAAAAUAUUUAUGAGAAAAUUAUUGAAGGUAUUUUUCUUAGUAAAUGCCUUCAAUAAUCUGGUCUAAUAAAAUUGUUCCCAAACUUAGCACAUCCAAUCACCAACUUCAAGUUUUAUCUUUAUUAUUUUAUUAUUUCUCUUUUCAGGUUGAUUAUAAUUUACUUUCCCUUUCCUUUAGUUUUUAGUAUUCGAGCAUUAUCUUUUAAAACCCUAUUUUGACUAUUCAUUAGUUAUUUACUUUAGCUUUUACUUCAUUCGACUAUUCUUUCAGCUUUUGCAAUUCGCGAUUUUCUUUUUGGUUUAAACAAUUUUCUCAAAAACCCACUUUCUCAAAUACCAAUUUGUAGCCCAUCAUCCACUUCCCUUUCCUUUUCAUUUUCUUCAUUCUCUAGGUUUUCUCUACACCUGUUUUACUUUAUUUCAAUCACAACUACAAAUACUCUUAGGUACUAUCUACGUUAGUAGCAGAGUUUUAACAUUCAUAAUAUCAAGUAGCUAAGAAAAUAUUUCAUAACAAGGAGUUCUCAUUUUUUAUAAGUACUGGUCUUGUUAUUAUCUUUUGUUUAAAAUAUAUUAAAGUUAAGUAUUUUACAUGUUUGUUUUCAUAUAAAUUAUUUAUAUACAUUUGGUCUGAUAAUGUAGCAAGUACUAAAUAGAUAAGAGUUGGAUGCAAAAGUCAAGAUUAAGUCAAGAGUACAGAGAUAGAGUGAAAUUUUUUUUUAAUUUUGCAUUUGAGAAUACAAGUGAAGAUAAUAUGAUAUUAUGCCAAUGUGUGAAGUGUGCUAAUAUCGAUUGACAAAUGCGUCAAGUUAUUUUUGAACAUUUAAUUUAUAUUGAAUUUCUCUCAGGAUAUGUUAAUUGGUAUUUUUAUAAAGAGUCUGUACCAUCAAGGUUUUCCACUAAAGUUUUUUCAACUUCAAGGGCUCUCCAACACCAACAUGAUCAUUUUAUAGUAGAUGAUAUUGAGGGUAUGUUGCGUGAUACUUUUAAUAUUCAUAACCAAUAUUUUCAUAAUCUUUCUCUCUAAAAUGAAGGAUUUAAUCAGUCCAAUGAUGAAUGAAUAAAUUUGGUGAACCUAGAAUAGGUGUAUGUGACCAACAACCUAGAGGAGAAGUAUCAAAGUUUUAUAAGUUGCUUGAGGAUAUGAAUGAUGGAUUAAAGCAUUCAAGGUUAUCUUUCUAUGUUCAUCUUUUUCACUUGAAAUGCUCAUGUGGAUGGACGAAAAAUUCUCUAAACUUUAUUAUUAGAGUUUAUGAAGAAAUAUUUCUUUUACAAAAAUCUCUGAAUCUUGUAAGAAAUCAAAUAAGAUGAUCAAGGAUUUAGGUCUUAGUUAUGAGAAAAUUCAUAGUUAUCCUAAUGAUUGCAUAUUGUAUUAGGGUGAUAGUAAAAAUCAAGAAUGUUGUCAUUUAUAUAGUAUUUCUCAUUGGGUGGAUGAAAACCCCGAUAAAAGGUUAAAUGAGGAUGGUGAUAAGGUUUGUGUCAAAAAAAAAUCUGUUAAGGUUUUACAUUAUUUUCCAUUAAUACCAAGAUUUCAACGACUCUUCAUGUCUUCUAAAACUACAGAUUCAAUGAAGUGUUAUCAUGAUAAGCGGGCAGAUAAUGAAUCAUUGAGGUAUUCUAUAAAUUUUUUGGCUUGAAAAUCAUUUCAUUCUAGGUUUUCAAACUUUACAUCUGAUCCUCGAAAUGUUAUGCUUGGACUAGCAUUUGAUGGUUCAAUACGUUCAAAAUGAUGAGUAUUUCUUAUAGUCCUUGGCCAAUUAUAUUGAUUUCUUAUAAUUUGUCACCAUGGAUUACUAUGAAGCAACAGUCAUUUAUAUUGUUUAUGAUAAUUUUUUGAGAAAAAAAUUUGGGUAAUGAUAUAGACAUCUACUUACAACCUCUUAUUAAAGAGUUAAAGUAAUUAUGGGAAGGAGUUGAGACCUAUGAACAUAAAAAAAAAAAGAACUUCAAUAUGCGUGCUGCUUUAUUAUGAACUAUCAGUGAUUUUUUUAUUUAUGUGAAUUUAUCUGGUUAGAGUACAAAAGAUUGUUAUGCUUGUCCAUGUUAUGCCGCAUAUAUAUGUUCGAAGUAGUUACCUAAUGAUAAGAAGUUCUGUUAUAUGGGAUAUCAUCGAUGGUUAGAUAAUAAUCAUUAAUUUAGAUUUCGAAAAUAUCUCUUUGAUGAAACUAAAGAGUUAAGAUAUCGUUUUUAUCCAUUAGUGGGUCUAAUAUCUUGUCAAAGCUAAAAAAUAUCAAUUUCACUUAUGAAAAAAUGACUCCAUAAAAAAAAAGGUGAGAGACAUCUUUGAAGGUGUUUGGCCUCAUAUUACACAAGUUGGUGAUAUUGAUAUUGAAGUUGGUGAUCUUGAUAUUCAAAAUAAUGAAGAGAACGAUGAAGAAGAUGACCCCAAUGAGUCUGAGUUGUGAAAAAAAAGUAUCUUGUUUGAGUUGCCUUAUUGAGAAUAUAAUUUAUUACGUCAUAUCCUUAAUUUGAUGUACAUAGAAAAAAAUGUUUGCCAAAAUUUUAUCGAGAUAAUUUUCAAUGUGAAUAGAAAAUCAAAUGAUGACUUUAAAAGUUAGCUUGAACUAGUUGAUAUAGGAAUUUACCCUGACCUUCAUCCGAAGUUGCUUCCUAAUGGAAAAUAUCGAUUGUCUGUUGCUUGUUUUGGGAUUUUUAAAGUUAAAAAAGAUGUGUUUUGUAAGGUUUUGAAAAAUAUCAAAGUUUCAGAUGGCUAUACGUCAAAUAUAUCGAGAUAUGUGAAUUUGAAAGAGUAAAAACUUUCUUCAUUGAAGUCAUAUAAUUAUCAUAUUUUGAUGCAAGACUUACUUUCAAUUACUUUACAUUUAUCAAUGUCAAAGUAAGUCACUUUUAUGGUAAUUAAAUUGAGUAACAUAUUUAAAUCUUUAUGUGAGAAAUAUAUGAAUGUGAAAGAGCUUGACAAACUUUAAGAUCGAGCCACAAUUACUUUAUGUCAUUUAGAAAAGAUUUUCCUUUUAAACUUCUUCACCUUAUGAUGUAUUUGAUUAUCCACCUUUCAUAUGAAGCAAAAGUUAGUGGAUUGAUUUAUUAUCGAUUGAUGUAUCCUAUCAAAAUAUAUUAUUGUUUAAUAGAUUGAUUAGGUUUUUAUUGAUGAUUAUGUCACUUUAGUUAAAAAGAUAUAUGACUAAUGUUUUAUGCAAUAGGUUUUUAGGGAGGUUAAAGUCUUAUUGUCACAAUAAACACUAUUCGAAAGGUUCUAUUACCGAAAGAUAUUUAGCAGAAGAGUGUAUGACAUUUUGUUCUCAUUAUUGGAAGAUGUUAAAACGAGAUUUAAUAAACCAUCAAGAAAUGUUGGUAUGCAGCAUACUGACAAUGGUAUAACUAACAUUAAUAACAUAUAUAUAUUUAUUUCACUUUUAUAGGUUUGGAGUGGAAAGCUUGUUAGUAAAGAGGUGAUGUGUCUCUCACAAUGUUCGAAUAGGAUUGUGAAAUGAUAUAAAGGUUUCAUCAUCAAUAAAUUUAUAUUUCACACUAAAUUUUGUGAGAGAUUUAAAAGUACACAAAAUUCAAGAGUUGUUGUUACUUCAUCAACUACUAGCUAUGCUAGUGCUAGGGACACAAACCAUUUAGAGGGAAAUAUUGACUAUUAUGGCAUGAUUAAUGACAUCAUUGAGUUAGAUUAUUAUGGCAAGUGGAAAGUUAUCUUAUUUCGGUGUGAUUGGGUUGAUGUAAAUAGUGCGAGAGGUAUUAAAAAAGAUCAGUAUGGAUUUAUAUUUGUGAAUUUUUCUCGAUUAAUUCACACUGGACAAGAACUCAUCGAUGAACAUUAUGUUUUUUUAUCUCAAAUAAAACAAGUUUUUUAUUCUGAAGAUCCCAAAGAAUUGGGUUGGUUUGUUGUUCUUCGAAACACACCUAGAGAUUUAUUUGAUAUGAGGUUAGAUACAAAAAAUGAUGUUGAAUAUGAAACUAAAUGUUAUCCUUUUGCUGAACAAAACUUGGAUGAAAAUAUCUCAAAUACCUACGCUUACUGGGUUCGCGAAAAUGUUAAUGAAGACAUUUAUGAAUCAUAAUGGAUCAUUUAUAUUUUAUAAUUCGAGUGUUUAAGAUAUAAUGUAGUAAAUGAUUGUAUGUAAUUAAUGUCGCAUUCGCUAUUGUAUAUUUAUUGUAUUGUAAAUCAUACAUUAUCUUUUGAAUUAAUUAAAUUGAUAUGUUCUUUAUAUAUCGUAGGUUAUGAUUUCUUAACUUUUCAAUGUCUUUAUAUAUGUUCUAAACUAAUAUCUUUUAUAUAUUCGUUUUUAUGAUGUAGGUAAAUUACAAUGUAGAUGAGUAAAUUGAAAGGAAUACACAUAAAAAAUAUUAGUUCAGAACUAUCUGUGGUACCUAUUGAUAUUGGUUAUAGACUGAAUCUUUUGGAGGGGAAUAAACGUACUGUUAGAUCUAAUUCAAUCACUUUUAACCAUUCAACUAAUAUUGGAUCUGGCAAUACGAGAGGUUCAGGUUUAGAUAGUAUCCCGUCAAUUGAUUAUGCUUUAAAUUUGAUGUAGGUAUCAUAUACCCCAUAUUCAAAAUUCGAUUAUAAUGAUAAAAGUAUUGCCAUUUUAUAAAUUUAUUUUUUAUUUUUUGUAGUUGAUAACAAUGAUCAACAGAGGACUAGAGGCUGGAUAACUUUGAAGGAAUUGUUUGCACUACCUUCGAACGAGUGUAUUGUAGUGUCUGUAACUCUGAUAGACAACCAAUUAGUGAAGAGACUUAACUGUUGGCUGGAUUUCUAGGCAUGCUUGCUUGUAAUAGAAUGAAAUUGCCUAUUCAUUAUGAAACAUGGCAUAAAUUUCUAGGUCGAUGCUUUAAACUUUAUUGAGCUAUUAGUAUAAUUAAUUACAUAUAAAAAAAUUAAUUAUUUUAAAUUUAGUUUAUUGAUUAAAACUUUUCUUUUUGUAUUAUUACAGUUAAGAUUUGUAUUUGAAAUGCCAAAUUUAUUUGUGCUUAAGUCAUUGGGAAAGAAAUGAAAAGAUUAUAAGCAUAAUUUGAAUAAUAAGUAUUUCGAUCGAAAUACUACUGUAGAGGCGACGAUGAAAAAUCUAUCCCGUAAUGUGAUUAGUGGUAAUAUGAACAAUUAGUUAGAUUUUAAUUCUCAAGAAAAAGAGGGUACUAAUUUAUAACUUUGUAUAGUAGAAUGAAAUAAUGAAAGUGUUUUAUACUUUAAGUUGGUAAUAUUUGUAUUUCUACCAUAUAAGCAAUUAUUUUUUAUGAUAAAAAAAAGAAUAGAUUGGGAUUGGUAGCAGAAAGCAACAGAAAUAUAACCAUACAAGUGGAUCAAAAAGUUUUGCAAGAAAGCAAAAAGAAAUAGUAAGUUUACGAUUUUAAACUUAUUUCAAUGAAUGAACUUUUUGUGCCAUUAAAAGGUAAAUAUGCAAAUUAACAGUUAUUAUUUUGUUUAAUUGUUUUGAUAGUUUCAAUAUAUGAUAUUAAACAUAUCGAAAGUUUUGAACUUAGUUGACACAGAUGAUAUAUAUGAAAAAGUUAUUGUUUACGUCUAUUUAGGUAAAAAUACAAAAUUGUUGUUAUUGUUCUAUUUAAACAAUUUGAAUAAUUUCAAUACUUGAUAUUAAACUUGUUCGAUUGAUUGAAUUUGGUUUCUACGGUUGAUAUGGGUGAAAAAGUUGUCGUUUAUAUCUAUUUGGGACUAUUUUUGCCUUUAAAGAUAAAAUACAAAUUAAACUUUUGGCUGGCUUUUAAUAGUUUGAAUGGCUUCAAUCCAUGAUAUUAAACUUGUCCAAAUAAUUAAAUUUGGUUGCCAUGAUCUAUAUGUGUGAAAGGCCAAAAUGUUUUAUGUUCGUGUCUAUUUAAGAUUAUUAUAUUGUUAAAGGGCAAAAAUAUAAAUACAUGAUAUUAAAAUUAUUCAAAAUUUUUUAACUAGAUUGACAUGCUUGAUAUGCAUGAAUAAGUUGCAGUUGAUAUAUAUCCUAUCAAAUAACAUAUGUUUUGGUAUAGCAUUUUUAUAUGGACAGUAAAAUUGACAUGUAAAACUUUUUCGCUUAACACGUACAAAAAAGACGGAUCUUACAUAAAUAUCAAAACACAAGAAAUUAUGAUAAUUUGUAACAUAUAUUUUAAUACAAAAUAAAUAUUUACUCUUUUUAACAUAUUAUCAAUUAAUCAUUAAACUUGAUAGUUGUAUAUGACUAAUUUAUAGGAGAAAGCAAAAUAGAAAAUGACUGUUGAGAUUGAAGUAGCAUUUGAUGGUUCUCUCAACAUGCAAGAAUUGAAAAAUCAGAUAUUCAUAGAAGUUGAUGGAAAAGAAAGGUGUGGACGGGUUCGAGGCCUUGGGUUGGAUCCAACACCAUCUACCUACUAUGAACAUAGCUCUCAGCAAUUUACAUUCUCAAUAAGUCAGUCUUCGCUUGACAUUUCGAUAUUGAAGAAGAAGUUACAAAUUAUGCAAUAACGUUUUCAACAAAUUGAAGCAAGAAGAGAACAGGAGCGUGACAUUGAAUGAAAAUUAAUGAUGGAUUGUCUUCAAGAAUACUACUGUCUAGAGAAAGUUAGUAUGAAAGGCCACCGAACGGAAAAGGAAAAAAUUGGUUUUGUAGCUUAUUCUAAAUAGGAAGAGAAAUGUUAAUUUUGGAGCAGUACUCUAUGACUGGUACUAGAGGGAGUUGGUUUCUUAAAGCUAAAAUUUUUCAAGUUUGGAGCAGAGACAAUAGGAAAAUACAAAUCAUAUAUAUACACAUAUAUAGUUCACUAAAUGCAUGUUUCCAAGCAUGAUAUAGAUCGAUAAUGCCACUAAGAGAAUCCAAGGAAAAAGAAUUCCCCUACCUAGGAGGACCAUUCUGCAAUAUUGACUUCAGAAUUCAGGGGGGUACUUCAAUUCCACAUCUUAAUUGUCAAUAAGAAGCAAGCAUUAAACUAGUUAAAAAAAGAAACAGGAAAGAAAUUAGAAGCAUCUCUGUAUAUAGUAGCACAAGGAUAUCAAAUCUUUCAACUCAUAAAACAUCACCAUAAUAAUCUAAUUAAAAUAGAAGAAAAAGAAUGAGAAUUGUGUGUUUCUAGUUAUCUUAAUGGUUUGCUUUCGGAUAUGAAAGAGAGAGUUAUGGCUUACUCAUGAUCUGGAGUUGUGUUUACGGUUCAGCUUCCCCCAUGUCAAAGGUGUAUUGAGUACAUCAAUCAAGAGCAAAAAAACGCAGAAGGUGAAAUAGAGAAAGAAAGUGUUAUAAAUGAAAGCAAAUGGCUUUUUCCUACCUAGCUCGAGCAGUAUUCAUGGGUCCAAUUUCAUAGAUUUUUUUUUUUUCAUUUUUACACCAUUCAACAGCUUCAAAACCUCUCAAUCACCGUCCUUGUCGAAGUUUAUUACAAAUUCAUUGCUUGUUAUACUAAAGACAAAUUAAGACAAAAACAAAAAUCACAUGAAAGAAACAUUAUCUCUUCUCUUAAGAGACCGGCUGAGCAUUUAUUUUGAAUGCUUACCUUAACAAGAACAUUCAACUACGUGGAUCCCAUGAAUUAAUUAUAUUAAUUUUUGGAUUAUUCUUUUACAUAUGUAAUCAAGAUAAAUCAGCAAAAAUUCAUUACCAAAGGGAGUAAGAAAAUUGAUGACUAUUUAUAGUAGAGCAAAAUUAUGGCAGGUUUUGCCAUUUAAUUCAUUAUCCUAAUUAAAUAUCAAUGUUUCCUUUAUCUAUAAAAAUGAGACAUGAAGAUUAAAGUUGGAGUUGGCAAGAGUUUGCUUCAUUUGCCAGAACUUCUGAGAACUUUAUGACACUGCAUUAAUAGUCUGUCAGUGGACGAUACUGUCCCAAGUUAGUAUUGACGACGACUAGUUUUGAUAAAAUGGUACGUCUUCAUUAAAGGCAAAGACAAUAUAGUCCUUUGGGGACUCUAUUCCAAUUUUAUUUAGGCCACAUUUGAAAACCAUAUUUCUUUUUUUAUUAUUAUUUUUUUAAUUUUAAACUACUUAAUUAAAAAAAACAAAGACUUUACACUAAAUCCUUCCAAACUUGUAAUUUUCUAAAAUCUAAUCAAUAUGUAAUUAACAAAUUCAAUUUAUUUUUUUAAGUUUUUGUAAAUAUUCAAUGAGACAUUCUAACUAUUACAUUUGUAAUAAAUUUUUUAUUUUAAACAUCAAUUAUUGAAUAAUAUAAUUAUUACAAGAAGAAAGAUCAUGAAGAGUCGUUUACGAUUCUUCUCUAUACAAAAAAAUUUUAAAAAUCACACUCUUUUGAUCACAUUAUAUUCCAGGUGACCCUCUUCCAAUUUAGACAGACCCUCUUGAGGGGUUGUUAUACACCGAACUAAGGUUUAAUUUAUGCAUGGGUUUUUCUUUUCGGAUAAAAAAAAAAUUAUCUAGGCCUUUGCCCUGAGAUAUAUGCUUCUUAUAUGACUCUACUCCAGUGCCCCUUGUCGACUUUGCGUUACUCACCCUUCUUAGCCAAGAUAUUAAUUUAAUUACUUAGCUUUGUAAAUGUUUAAACAGGGCUAAUUGCUUUAAUUUAUUUAAAUUUCAUUUGAAUAAAUGAUGAGAUUAAUUUAAAAAUUAAAAAAAAAAUAAUUAAUAUAAUUAAUAUUGAAAAAAUAUUAUAAUUAUAAUAAAAAAUAAAAAAAUUAUUAAAGAAAUUUUAUUAAAAUUAAUAUUUAAAUUUAAAUAAUAAUAUAAUAAAUUUAAUUACAUGAUUAAAAAAAUACGAAAAAAUUUAAAUCUAACUUUGGUUUGAUAGGGAGAAAACGAUAGACGGAGGGCCGAAACGUGUUUAUGAUCAUUACGUAUAUCAUUAUUAAAACAGCUGAUACUCUUUUUCUUUAAGAUUUUUGGCCGACUUUUCUCUGAAAAAAUAUCUUUUGUGAUGAUUCCGGUAUUACCAUGUUUACUCAGUAGUCAACAGUCAAAAUCUUAUUUAAUGAUGAUGUACAGCUUCUUACUUCCUGUUGUUUUCACACAGCUCUCUUUCUACUGACUUGUCAAACAUUAAAUUUUGUGGGUGGCAGGAAAUUAUUUCAUUUCAAGUUCAAACAUUUUAAAAGAAACUUAUAUUAAAUUUAUAGUCAUCAUAUCGUUUAAAGAAUAAUUUAUUUCUGAAACCAUAUGUUUUUCAAUGAAUUUAUGGAUAUAUAUAUAUAUAGACAUUCAAGAAGAUGGACCUUCCAUUCAUUUUGAGGGCUAAGUCAGUUGAAAGCUUCCAUUGAUCAUGCGCAUAAAGUAUAUAUAAAGACGUUUCAUAACAAUGCAAAGGGUAAAUUCAAUUAUUCAUACUUUAAAAAUGAUUUUAAUAGUUUUUCAUUUGGCACGUAAGCUGUCAUUGACACAGAAGCUUUAAAACUAAUUCUUAUCUUUUUGGAAACAAUUUGGCCUCUAUGAAAAACUAGUAGUACAGGAAAACAGAUUCCAUGGCUAAAAAUGAACUCGAAAAAAACAUUGCCAUUCAACAAUCAUUACUACCGGAUUUAAUCUAAUUUUAUGUUAAAUUCAUAAAAUUAACGUGUCCACAACUAACAGCCCAUAUCUAAUAGUCUUGUCUUAGUAGUUUUGAAAUUUUUAAAUUUCAAGUUUAAGUCUAAUUACUUGUGAAUUUAAUCUAAUUUUUCGUUAAAUUCAUAUUAAUAUUGGUUGAUUUUUUCAUUUACUUUAAUACUUAAAAUUUAAUUUUUAAUAAUUUCAAAUGUCAAAAUCAUUUCGGUUCUCCGUAUGUGUAAAGGCUUGCAAAUGAUUCAUAUAUAGACAAGAGAAGUACACAAUAAGAAAAUUUGCAUUAGCAUUGGAUCUCGAAUUUGCUUGGUGCUGGGGACAACACAUCUAAUGUCAGAUGAUGAAUCUACAUUUUUCAAUGAAUCACCAAAAAAUGACAAAGGAAACAAUAUAUGCCAUUUUCCACCAUUACAACAAAAUGUAAGAAAAAAAGCGAUUUCCUUCCCGUCGAUUGCCUACCCCAUCAUAGUUAUAGACACCCCAAUUUGUUUGAAGUUUACAAGAUCAAUUUUGAUAAUUAAAAAUUAAAAAAAUAACAAAACAAAAAAAAGUUUGAGUUUACAUAAAAUUGGGUUGAUAGAGUUUGGAUUGAAUUUAAAUAUUGAAUCUCAAUCACAAGAAAAAAUUGAAAUUAAUCAAAAAUUUUUCUGAUCAAUCCUUAUAAAUAAAUACUAAAACACACAAGAAAGGAGGAAAAAUUGACAGCAAGCAAAGGAACAUGAAGCUACUAGCACCAAAAAAAAAAAGAAGAGGAACAAAAAAAAAGACGGGGCAGCUAGAACAAAAGAAGCUAGCAGGAACCAAAAAACAAUGGAAGGUAAUAAUAGAGGGGAACCACAUGCGUGUGGAGCAAAUGCCUUAGUGUGCUUUGAUGCCUUAGUGUCAUGUGAUAGGCUAGCACAUUGAUUUGGUAGAAUUUCAUCCCAAAGACUCACGUCAACUUUGGUACUUUUACUUGCUUUUAAUUUUUUUUUCAAAUUCUUUAAUUGUUUGGUACUUUUUUUUUCUUUAUUUGAUUGUUUAUUCAUUUGUUUUGUUUUAUGCAUAAUUUUUUAUUUAUUCACUUUAUUUUAUGGUUUUCAUUAUUUGAUAUUAAAUUUAAUAAAAUAAUAAAUAAAUAAAAAUUUUGAGAAUAAAUAUUAAUCAUCCAAUGAUGGAAUUUAUAAAAAUUUCAAAUGGUAAAUUUUUAUGAAAUUCCUAGGUGAGAAAUUUUGUUUAAAUUUAUUCCAAAUGGUGAAAUAAUUUAGAUAAAAUUUCAAUAACAAUAAUUAAUAUUUAUUUUCAAACCAAAAAAAUUAAAAAUAAUAAAAAACAUAAAAAUAUAAAUUUUUUGGAAUUAAAUACAAAUUACCCAAUGAUGAGAUUCUUAAAAAUUUCAAAUGGUAAAUUUUUAAAAAAUCUCUAGGUAAGAAAUUUUCUCUAAAUUUGAUCAAAAUUGUGGAAUGAUUUAGAUGAAAUUUCAAUACAAGUAAUUGUGUUCUUUUCUAAAUAAAAAUUUGGAUUGAAAAUAUUUGAUAAUUAUCUAAAGAUGAGAUUCUUAAAAAUUUCAAAUGAUAAAUUUUUAAUAAAUCUCUAGGUGAUAAGUUUUCUCUAAAUUUGACCCAAAUAGUGAAAUAAUUUAGAUGAAAUUUCAAUAAAAAUAAUUGUCAUAUAUUUUUUUCUUUUCAAGAAAAAAAAAUUUUCUAAAUAGGUCCAAAUGGUGAAAAUUUUAGAAAUUCAAAAAGAAAAAUUAUUUCUAAUUUGGACCAAAUGGUGGAAUAGUUAGAUUUAAUUUCGACGAAAAUUGAUAAUAAUAAAUAAUAAUAAAUAAAUAUUUUUUCGACGACAGAGCCUCUUCAAGAAAUCAAAUGGGAUUCUUGAAUACUCUUGAGGUGAGAAAGUAUUUUUUAAGAGUUUUACCAAAUUGAUGGAGAAUCUUAAAAAUUGUUUCUAAUAUUUGAAACCAUUAGACUUCGAACCUUAGGAUAAAUUUGAAAUAAUAUGGUACCAUCCCUUGUAUGGGCAUAUGGGGGUGCUAUAACCUUCUCCAUAUGUAAUCGAAUUUUCAAACCCUGUUCUGGUUAAUAGACCCGAACAUAUUCUUUUAGGGACCCUUAGUUAAGCUUAGGAAUUCUUUAAAAUGAUAGAUUCCCUAGGUGACCAAUCACACCUAAUAAAAAAUUAGUGGCGACUCUAUUCAUUUGUUAAAUCUAGCGAUAGAUCCCCGAAUCUAAAUGUUAUGAUAGUUUGAUGACUCCACUGGGGACAUUAGAAAGUUAAGCCAUAAUUUCUGAAUUUAUCCUAUCCUUUGAACUAAUGGCUUUAAGUUAUUUGUUUACUAACAUUUUUGCUUUUUUGGUUUCUUAUUUGAUUUAUGGGAUUGAUAAUUUUGUGUUCCUUUACACACACUACCACAUGCAUUUGCAUUACAUGGGCUUUAUGCCCAGGCUCAAUCCCUCUUAGGAGGAAGUAAAAUACCUACACUCUCGUGAGAUGAUAAUCUCUGCAAUUGCUAGCAAAAUACUUCUACUCAAAUUGAAUCAUUUUCAUUGGUAGCCUGUGAUGGGUGAGGAUUAGACUGCCUUACUAGUCUGUGAUGGAUAAUAAUGUAAGAAACAAUUUGAGAACCUUUUAGUGGUCAAAAUUUUCUAACCCUACAUAUAGUUCAACGAGAAGAAACCAACUUAAGCUUUUCUUAUCCAUCGAUAGAUACAACCUAAAAUUAGGGUACAAGAAGGAACAAUUUGUUAUCUAACCAUUUUGUCUGCUUGAUUUUGUGCAUCUAUAUGUCAUUCAAUUCUCAUGUUCUAGCAUUAUCAUAUCAUGAUCAUAUUUAACACUAUCGUUUGCAUCAUUUUCAUAUAAGAAAUAUUUGUCGCAUAUAAGUUAUUUAUAAAUCAGAUCUCACACUUACAUCCAUGGAAAGUCAAAUGCAACCAAAGUCUACAUCAGUCCACUAUGAGUCUACUCAUCAAUUGAAAAUUAAGUCAGAAGAGGGUCAAAGAAAACAGGAAGAUUGCUUGCCUAAGGAUUUUAUUUCAUCAUUACUUGAAAAAGUUCAUUUAAAGCUAUAGCAAAAUGAUCUAUUCGACUUAAGCAGUAUAUGGCGAUGCAUGAAUAGAAUAAGAUAUAAGAAAUUUGAGAAUAGAUAUAGAGACAUAGCUUCACUGCUACAGGUGCAAGGGAAUAAUAAUUUGAUUAGGGCUAUCAUUCAGUUUUGGGAUCCUUCAUAUAGAUGUUUUAUUUUCAAUAAAACAGAUAUGGUGCCCACAAUUAAAGAGUAUACGGUCUUACUUUAUUUCGAUCUAGCAAACCCAGACAAGAUUUAUUGGGCCAAUAAGGUGGGCUAUCAUAAAAAAUUAAUGCAAAUGCUUGGACUUAGUUUGCCUCAAAUUGAUUUAUGUGUCAAGAUAAAAGGUGAAAGUAAGGCUAUUCCAUGGGAUUUUUUGUGAGAUUUCAUCGAGGGGCACAUAAAUGAUGAUCACGGAUUAGUAGCUAUGGCUAUAGCUUUAUAUGGAUUGGUGAUCUUUUCGAAAGUCAUCAUAUAUGUUGAUGUUGCAGUGGUGGAUUUUGUUGAUCAAUUAGCAUAUCAGGUCAAUGCAGCACUAACCAUUUUGGCAAAAAUCAUUCGAUCUCUAAACUUUUAUCGCAGAAACGGUAAAGGUCGAUUUAAUAGAUGUUUACAGUUGCUUUAUGUAUGGAUCAAGAGUCACAUGGAAUGUAAAGAGAGUCAAUUUCGUAAGCCAUACCUUCGUUCUAGUAUCCCCAUAAAAAAAUUCUAUUACAGCACAUAGCCUCAAGCAAAGUCAAAAGAGGAAUGGGUUUUCUAUUUUCGAGCCCUUGAUAGUCAAGGGAUAGUUUGGAGAGCAACUUAGAUGCGUCAUGAUACGAUGUUAUACAGUUACGAAAAUCAGUUAUAGGUGUUUUUAUUAGGCCUAUAUGGUGCUAUUACUUAUGCUUUAGCUUUAGUAAAAAGAUAAUUCGGGUGUGAGCAAUUCAUUAUAGAAACCUAUAGACUUAAUCAAAGAGAGUUCUCAUUCACUGAUAAAGAGGCAUAUGAAAUUGUUGAAAAGAUCAAGAAAGCAUGAAAGUAAACCACCAGGGUUAACCAAGGGAGGUUUACUUAUGACGUCACUCUAGAAUAUAGUGUAUGGCAUGCGAGGAGGGGAAAGACAUUGUGAUUCCCAGUGAAUAGUUAGGGUAUUCCCUAAAACUCAUUCUUCAAGAUCCUUUGCUUAAAAUGGAAACAGCUAAGAGAAAACUUCAGUCUGAGAAAGAUGAGUUAGAACAAGAAAACAAGCGAUUGAAGAUAGAAAUAAAAAAGUGUUCACGACUUCAAGAACUGAAAAUCCAGAGCCUUACAGAGUAAAAAGAUCAAUGGAGAGCCUUAUUUAAUGAUUUAGAUAUGACACAUUCGUUAGUCACACCCAAGCUUACCCGACUUUUAAAAGAAAAUGAAUUGUUAAAAGCGAAGGUGGAGGAAGAACAAAAGGCUACUACUAUGGCACAUAACAUAACCAAAUGCUACAAGAGAUAGCGGAUCAAUGCACAGCACAAGUAGAAGCUUUAUCUAAUGAAUGCAAGAAACAAGCUCAAUAGAGUGAGUUAUGGAAAAACAUGUGUACAGAAAAAUAAAGGCAUCUAAAGCAUUUGUUUGAUAAGAUAUGCAUUGUUGCAGACAAAGCAUCAGAAAUGAAAGAAAAAAUAAAAAGUUUAAAGGCUCUGGUGUAACCAGUGGGAGUGCAUGGGCAAUAUUUACUUGAUUUCUUAGAUGAGGCACAAAAUCAUUACCAACAAGCUAGAAAGUUUAUAAAGAGGCAUUAGAAAUAAAGAAUGAUAUUUAGGACUUUAGAAUAUUGCUUUGACUUUAUUAGGAUGUAAUUUUGAAAUUUUAUUUAAUAAAGUUUCAAAUGGAGAUUUCUUUUAUCAAUAUCGAUGAUGUAACAAACAUUAGUACAUUUCAUGCAUACAUUUACAUAUCAUACAUAGUUUUUAAUUGUAAUUGUGAUGCUAAAGGUUCAAAGAUAGCUCCAUCUAGCAGAAACCCCAUCAAUCGAUAUAAUAUAAGAGCCAGGGUUAGACAAUAGAGCAAAAAAAUUCUCAUCGAUUUGAAAAAUUAGAAAAAGCUCAUGAAAAGAUUGAGAAUGAGUUAAGUAAAAUUUUAGAUGCUCUCAACAAAUUAAAUAAGAAGAAAGAAAAAGAAGAAAACACAAGCCAACAAGGUCAUGCAUCGUAAGAAGUGAUUGACCUCUUAUAUCCACCUGGUUUUUAUCCACCUUAAGCUCAGUCUACAUAAGAGGUUUCACCACAACACUUCACAUAUCCUACAUAUCCUGAAAUACCAUCAGCUCUAAUCCAGGGCAUUAUCAUAGCUAUGUGAACCCUGUUUUUAUUGAAAAUACAGUUGAACCAAUUCAAAUCCCUUAUCUGAAUGAACUAAAAGGAAAAGAUAAGGAAAAGAUAAAAGUGAAAGUUCAAGAAAAUUUUAAAAUUAGUAUGCUAGAACAAAGGCUACGGGUUGUGGAAGGAAUUGGUUUCUAUGGUUCAGUUGAUGCUGCUGGACUUUGCUUAGUCCCUGAUGUGGUCAUUUCUCAUAAGUUUAAAAUACCAAAAUUUAAAAAUAUGAUGGCACAAAGUGCCCAAAAACUCAUAUUAUCAUGUAUUAUCGAAAGAUAGCAGCCUAUGCUCAUGAUGAAAAGCUACUAAUGCAUUUUUUUAAGAUAAUCUUACUGGUUAUACUAUUAGGUGGUAUAUCCAGUUAGACAAAACUCGCAUCCAUUCCUGGAGUGACAUGGCCCAUAAUUUUAUCAGUCAAUAUCGACAUAUCAUGGAUUUGACCUCUGAUCGUUUGUCUUUACAAAACCUGGAGAAAAAGGCCAAUGAGACUUUUAAAGAGUAUGCUUAGAGGUGAAGGGAUAUUGCUUCUCAAGUACAACCUCCUCUAACUGAGAAAAAAACUACAAUAUUUUUUGUUAGCACUUUGAAAUCUUCUUAUUAUAAAAAGAUGAUAGGGAAUGUAAUAAAAAAUUUCAUCGACAUAGUGAUAUCUGGAGAAAUUAUUAAAAAUACCAUCAAGAAUGACAAGUUGAAAGGAAGAGAAACCAAGAAGGCAUCAGAAAAGAAAAAAACUGAAGCUCAAACUGUGAGCUUUGAUAGACAACAAUUCAAGGGUUAUCAACCCUAUCCACCCCAAGAUUACCCUUCAUACUAUCCUACUAUGAAUAAUACCUCAUCCUACCUAUACUAGCUAGCUCUACAACCACCUUAUUCAUCCACAUAUUGAUCAAUUUUUAGCCCUCAAGAUCUUACAUAUAGCCCUUAACAUUCAAACUCCUACAAGAGCUCAAAUUUACCAUACUAACCUAGCAAGUGGUUCACAAGAACAACGAAUUACUUGAGAAAAACUUAUAUUUUAUCCAAUCCUUAUGACUUAUACGGAGUUAUAUCGAGAACUCUAUAAUAGCCACUUGAUUGUCUCCAGUCGUGUGGAGCCGUUCAAGCCACCUUAUCCUAAGUAGUAUGAUCUUACAGCCCACUGCGAUUAUCACUAUGAAAUUACUGGCCAUUUUACUAAAAAUUAUACUGCUUUAAAGCAUAAAAUGCAAUGGUUAAUCAAUGAUGGAAUGGUAAGUUUUGAUCGAGGAAGAACAACACCUAAUGUUAGUGCUAACCCAUUACCAAAUUAUAAUGCUCUGAGUGAAAAUCAAGAACACAUUGGUCAAAAAUGGUUCGAAGAGUCACAAUGAAUUGAGGGGUAAGAUGUCAAUAAAGAUUCUUCACCUGAUCGUAUAUGUGGAUAAUUUUAAAGAAUGGAGAUAAGGCUGAUUGAAAGUUUCUUGUCAUUUUAGGAUUUUUUUAAAAGUAAUGUUAGGUUUCUUUUAGGCAGUAGGAUUUCAUUUUUUAUCAUUUCAAUAAAAGAUAAUUUAAUGUAUUUCAUUACAUUUUUUUCUUCAUUUAACUAUCGUUCUAUGCUUUGUCACCUUUCAUAAUUUUGAGAACUCAUUCACAUUGAUUUAAGAAGAUUAUUAGAGCAAAAAAAAAAAAAAAACUAGCUACUAACAGAUGUGAGAUUAAUAUAUCUUGAAGAUGGAUAAUUUUUUUUUACAAAUCCAUGAGCUUGUUUUUGCUCAAUAGAUGAGGUUCAAGAAAAGUAUCCACAUUGAGAUGAAAAAUGAUCAUCUUUCUUUUACCAUUUGAAAAACCAUUCAUUGCCACCCCUUUGAGCUUAUUGUGAUUUUUUAAAAAAAAAAACCUUGACCAAAGAUCACUCUCCAUACUAAGGGGUAAUUUUUUUGAGAAAAAAAAAUAGUCUAAAAGAUCUAAAAAAAAAAACAAAGAAAAAUACCACAAAUGAUUUAAGGUAAAAAAAUAAGAAUCUUUUUAUGAAGAAUGAGAUAGAAAAAAGGAAAAGUAGUAAAAUAAUAUAGAGUGGGGCAAAAUGCCAAGCUGCAUCAAGUGAUGAUCCUUUGGUUUUGAACCUUUUAAACAUAUAUAUUGAGCCUAUUUUAUCCAUUUCUUUCAUUACCCCAUACCAUGGCCUACAUUACAACCCUAAAAAGUCUAUUUGGAUCAAGUGUGAAUGCUCGAAUUGAAUAAUCAUAUGUUGGGCAAAGGUGUGAUCAUGAUAGAAUCAUGUUAUUGCCCUAAAGAUUAAUGUGUGAGAGAUAUCAAUAAUGGAUAAAAGAUGAGAAAAAAAAAAGAAAAGAAAAUGGUGAAAGGCGAAAGGUGAAAGGUGGAAAAAAAAAGAAAAUAAAAAGAGAAAAUAAAAAAAAAGAAAAAAAGAUGAAAGAAGGAAAAAAGAAGACUCAAAUUAAAAAUUCGAAACGGCAAUUUGGGUAGACCAAAUCUCUGACCUGAAAAAGAUGAACAGUUUAAAUAUAUAGAAGAUCAAUACAUCUAAAGAUCCUCCAAAGCUGGGAUAAAGUUUGAUGAGCUUAAAAUGAUUUUGACAAUCAAUGGAAUGAGUUCUUAAAAAAAACUUGAAUUAAUGUUCAAAAUUGUUUGAAUAUUCAUUUGUCUCAAUGUCAUACAUCAAACUUGUUUCUUUCUCCAUUUGCUUUGGUAUCAAGACUCACUUUUCAUUCUCUCAAUGCACCUUUCGUUCUUUGGUUCUCACAUCUCUAAAAUGAAUUGAGAAAAAUACUUGAUUGCAUUGUAUUUGUCAAGAAUUGAAAUAAUAAUGAAUGAAUGAAUAUGUGCUUAAAAGAGUCUUGCAUUCAUUUGAAAAAAAAUCUAAGAUGAUAAAAAAAAUGAAGAGAUCGUAGAAGCCUGAGAAUGAUGAUUUGAGAUAACACGUGGUAUAGUCAAAUGAUGAAAAUGGUGAUGGGUUGGCCAACAAAUCAAGAAAAUGCACAAACUUAAAGAGGUGAUAUAACCAAGUGAUGAAUUGGUUGACAUGACUUACGAGUUAUGAUUGAAUGAUGAAAAUAAUAUAGAUCAGUGGAUAAAAUGGUUAGGGUUAAAAAACCUAUGAGUGUAACCUAGUGACGGACGAUGAAGUUUGUUCGAAAUGGUUAAUGUUGAGACACUUAUGAGUAGUGACCCAGUGAUGGUGGAUGAAACUUGUUUUGAAAUUUAUUAGUGCUGAAAAGCCCAUGAAUGAUGGUCAAGUGAUAAUUGAUUGAUGAAACUUAUCUCAAAGUAUUGAGAAACUGAACAAGAAAAAAUACGAAAUGGUGGAGUUUUAAGAGCCAUAUUACCAUAAUUAUUUAAGAUUUCAUGACAUUAUUAAUAUCCGCAUUAUAUGUAUCAUGUUGGCAUCAUUGCUUGAAUAGUACAUACACAUAAUUUGAUGAAUUAAACUUUGUUUAGACAUGUAUGGCACUACGAGAAUUUAGGUUGUUGCAUUUGCAUAAUUAAGAAGGCAUUUGCAUUUUUGGUCAUAACAUUCAUUCAUGCAAAAUUUUAAGUCACUUGAAAAACAAAUUGUGAAUAUUUUGAUGAGAAUUUUUGAGAACUCAAAUGAGAAUCUUUGAGUUUUAAAAUGAGAAUCUUUGAGGAGUGAAACCCUAAAGUUCAUCGAAUGUGAAUCUUCGAACAAAUGAAAAGUUUUGAAUUUUUGGAUGUGAAUCUCCAAAAUACAAAGCUUCAACUUUUUGGAUAUGAAUUUCUAAUGUUUUAAAUGAGAACCUUUGAACUUAGAUGUGAAAUUCUAAGUUUUAUUGCAUGUGAGCCUUUGAACUCAAAUGAGAAGUUUUGAAUUUUUGAAUGUGAAUCUCCAAAAUUCAAAUGAAAAGCUUUAGAUUUUUGGAUAUGAAUUCCAAGUUUGCCAAAUGAGAACCUUUGAAAACCCUUGAACUUUUGGAUGUGAAUCUCCAAAAUUCAAACAAAGAUCUUUAAAUAUUGGAUGCGAGUCUUGCAAGUUGCAAAUGCAAAUUUCGAGAUAUUACAAAUUUGAAUGAAACUGAAAUUUUGAUAAUCAAAUUUCAGUAAAUUCUUACGAAGUUGAAGAUUCUUGCGAAUCUAAACCUCUGAAUGUUGAACCCAAAUUGUGAAUCCUUUAGUUCCCAUUACAAAAUUCCUUCAGUCACGAUCUAUAACUCCUUUGGACAUGAUUGUUAAGGAGCAAUUUACUUUCCAAAGUUGUGGUGCCUCUAUUUAGAGGAGCAAUUUACUUUUCAAAAGUUACGGUGUCGGAGUAAUUUACUUUUCAAAAGUUACGGUACCUCUGUUUAGAGGAGCAAUUUACCUUCAAAAGUUAUGGUGCCUCUGUUUGGAGGAGUAAUUUACUUUCAAAGUUAUGGUGCCUUUAUUUAGAGGAGCAAUUUGCUUUCCAAAGUCAUUUAACCUUUAUUUAGAGGAGCUUUGUUUGUUUUCAAAGUCGUUGAGCCUCUGUUUAGAGAAGUUUUAUUUAUUUUCAAAAUCGUUGAGCCUCUAUUUAGAGGAACUUUAUUUAUUUUCAAAAGUCAUUGAGCAUCUAUUUAAAGAAGCUUUGUUAUUUUUUCUUUUAAAAAAAAAGUGUCAAAUUGAUUAGGUUGUCUACAUCUUUGCACAAUUUCUGUUUCACAAAAAAUAUGCAAAGAGGGGUAGCUGUAGACACUCCAAUCUGUCUGAGGGUCUACAAGAUCAACUUUGACAAUUAAAAAAUUAAAAAUAAUAAUAAAAAUGAAAAAACAAAAAAAAGUGUUUGAGUUUGCAUAAAACUGGGCUGGUAGAGUUUGGAUUGGAUUCAAAGAUUGAAUCUCAAUCAUAAGAAAAAAUUAAGAUUGAUCAGAAACUCUUCUGAUCAAUCCUUAUAAAUAAACGCUGAAACACAUAAGAAGAGGGAAAAAAAUUGACAGCAGGCAAGGGAACGUGAAGCUGCUGGCACCAAAAGAAAAAAAGAAGAGGAACCAAAAAAAAGAUGGGGCAGCAAGAACAGAAGAAGCUUGCAGGAACCAAAAAACAGUGAAAGGCAAUAGUUGAGAGGAACCACAUGCGUGUGGAGUAAGUGCCUUAGUGUGCUUUGAUGCCUUCGUGUCAUGUGAUAGGCGCACAUUGAUUUGGUAGAAUUUCAUCCCAAAGGCUCACGUCAACUUUGGUACUUUUACUUGCUUUUAUUUUUUUUUUCAAAUUCUUUAAUUGUUUGGUACUUAUUUUUUUUUCUCUUUAUUUGAUUUUUUAUUAAUUUGUUUUGUUUUAUGCAUAAUUGUUUAUUUAUUCACUUUGUUUUAUGGUUUUCAUUAUUUGAUAUUAAAUUUAAUAAAAUAAUAAAACAAUAAAAAUUUUGAGAAUAAAUAUUAAUCAUCCAAUGAUGGAAUUUAUAAAAAUUUCAAAUGGUAAAUUUUUAUGAAAUUCCUAGGUGAGAAAUUUUGUUUAAAUUUAUCCAAAAUGGUGGAAUAAUUUAAAUAAAAUUUCAAUAACAAUAACUAAUAUUUAUUUUCAAAAAAAUUAAAAAUUAAAAAUAAUAAAAAACAUAAAAAUAUAAAAUUUUUGGAAUUGAAUACAAAUUACCCAAUGAUAAGAUUCUUAAAAAUUUCAAAUGGUAAAUUUUUAAGAAAUCUCUAGGUGAAAAUUUUUUUUUAAAUUUGACCCAAAUUGUGGAAUGAUUUAAAUGAAAUUUCAAUACAAGUAAUUGUAUUCUUUUCUAAAUAAAAAUUUGGAUUGAAAAUAUUUGAUAAUUAUCUAAAGAUGAGAUUCUUAGAAAUUUCAAAUGGUAAAUUUUUAAUAUAUCUCUAGGUGAAAAUUUUUCUCUAAAUUUGACCUAAAUUGUGAAAAAUUUAGAAAUUCAAAAAGAAAAAAUAUCUUUAAUUUGACCCAAAUGGUGGAAUAAUUAGAUUUAUUUUCGACGAAAAUUAAUAAUAAUAAAUAAUAAUAAAUAAAUCUUUUUUCGACGACAGAGCCUCUUCAAAAAAUCAAAUGGGAUUCUUGAAUACUCUUGAAGUGAGGAAGUAUUUUUUAAGAGUUCUACCAGAUUUAUGGAGAAUCUUAAAAAUUGUUUCUAAUAUUUGAAACCAUUAGACUUCGAACCUUAGGAUAAAUUUGAAAUAAUAUGGUAUCAUCCUUUGGAUUGGCAUGUGAGGGUUCUAUAACCUUCUCCGUAUGUAACCGAACUCUUGAAUCUUGUUCUGAUUAAUAGAUCCGAACUUAUUCUUUUAGGGACCCUUAGUCAAGCUUAGAAGUUCCUUAAAAUAAUAGAUUUUCUAGGUGACCAAUCACACCUAAUAAAAGAUUGAUAGCAACUCCAUUCAUUUGUUAAAUCUAACGAUAGAUCCCGGAUCUAAAUGUUAUGACAAUAGUCCCAAGGCAACGCCAAGAUUUGUAGUUUCAGCUCAAGGACGAGAAUAGAGAGCACUUUUACUCAAAAUCGUUCGAAACAUUCGAGUCAGUAGCUAGAUCCUUUAGACAUCUUCCAAGUUCUCUUAUAUUGCUCCAACUAUAUAUAAUUUUUCGUAUGUCCAAUGUAAAAGCUCUGACUAACCCCUCUAAGUCAUGCUUUCUGAGGCCUGUAGUUAUGGAAUCAAUAUGUGAAGGAUAAGAACAUAACAAAUUCUGAUAAUCUUUAGUUUGGAAGAGGCCACGGUAUAUAAACCAGGAACCCCAAGCAUCGUUCAUAGUUCAGAAAACUAGUUAAUGCUUCAUUGAAAUUAGGAGCUUACAGUUGAACGUGGAAUCUGAAGAAGAAUAAAUGAGUUAAAGUACAAACACAAUGAGUGUAUUUGUUAAUUCAUACAGGCGAUGAGAUAUCUGCAGAAGGAAGGUAAGAUGGCAGGAAAAUGAACAAAAUGAAUACAGCCAAAACUGUUGGCGAAAUAUAAGAGUGGAGAAAAUUUUGCUUACCAAGAUAUAAAUGGCAGUUGUGAGCAUGAAGUUGAGCUGGGGAUAUUCUGGGAUAAAACAAAGAAGCCACUUGGGUUGUCCAUUAGGCAUGUCUGAUCUGCAUGUAGGAAAUGCAAUUAUAAGAAUUUUAUAGACCUUUAAAUUUGUUACUCUUGCACAGCUUCAGUGCUUUGUAGAAUUAUCAAGCUUAAAAAGGACGUAGAGGAAGAACUAGAUAUGAUUGAAGGUCAAACUAUUUCACUACCAGGCUAUUUUAUAAAUAUCAGUUUGAGGAAAAAUUAAAAAUAGAAAAGUUUAAUUGGUUGACAAACCUCAACCAGAUAUGAAAUUGAGAAAUGUAAGUCUCCAGAGUAAUCUUGCCAAGCCACCUAGGUAGCACAAAAAUGUAUCAUAAUUAGAGCAAGUGCAAAAUAGCUCCAAAGACUCCACAAAAUGCAAAUCAGUAAUCCACAAUCUAGUCAGGAGAGCACAAUUAAUGAAUUAGUAAUAGUCCAGAAGCAUACGCAAAAAGAGUCAAAGAGUAACUUCGAAGCUGUUGAGUACAAUUCCGCAAGCAAAUAUAGACACUAGAAUCAAAAGAAAGCAGAGAUGAUUGUCAGAUCCUGGAAAUUGAACUAAAGUGAUUUGUUUUACAAGAUAUUCCAUGUGCCUUCACAUAAAGUUCCUCAAGUGUUCUAAGUAAACUAGGCAAAGAAAUCCUUAAAUACGCAUGUUACGGGAAUCCAAGAUGUGUAGGGAUGGUAUUUGUUGUAAGUAACCUUGUCCAUCUUGUAAAUGCAUUCAUACCACAUAUAUCCAGCCUGAAGAAUUUAAGAAAAUACAUAAAAGCAUCCAUCAAAAACCAAGAAGCAUAAAAGUAAAAUAGUGAUCAAAAGAUCAGCCAACUUACAAAUACAGAAACUGCAACAAUGCUUGCUUUGAUUGAGAAUCUUCUCUUGGUUUGACAUUCCUCCAAUUUUUCCAUCCAUUUCUCGACCUAAGAUUUAAAACUUUUCAAAGAGAUUGUUGUGCACCAAGGGACCAAGACUUUCCGGUGAUUAAAAAAUUUAACUUACAUUGGGAUGAUAGUAGGCAUGUAUCAAUCUAAUUAUCCAUAUAGAGCGAUCAAGGCCAGAUCUAAACUACCACUCAUGCAGUUGAGGGAGAUCAGGUUUUGCAGGAUCAGUGUACCCUGCAUUUGAAGGGAGAAAAAAGUGAUAUAAGCAAACAGCUAUAACAUAUCCAAGCCAAGAAGAAUGAACUUGUUUUGAGAUAAAUAUGAAAAUAAAAGUCAACAGAGUUCAUUCACAUGUGGGGUACGCAUAAUUGAAAGCAAGACAUUCAAGGGAGCAGAAUAUAAGGAAAUGAACUUUCUAACCUGUAAAUUACUGGUAAGUUUAUAAAUUAAAUAAAAGUAGAAGGAAGUAGGUAGGUUGCUAACCUAAUAGGAAAGCUAAUGGACUCCAGAAUAUUUCAAAAACUCCAGGAAUUUCCCAUAUAAAUAUAAGCAAUUAGAAAGCAUGCAAGAAUUUUCACAGCCAUCACUGAUGGUAUCUCAUUAUACUUGUUGAAAAUCCCAAGAGCUCCAUACACCAUUAGGGUGAAGAGGGUGUGCAUUGGGCAGAUGUAGUAAAGCAUAUAAUCAUUGUUGAGAACAAUGCAGCAAAAUGCCACAAAGAAGUUUAGUCGCCACAUCAUCUGCAUUAAAUUGAAGUUAUACAGGUACCUCAGUUUUAUCGAUAUGAAUAAAAAAAUAAAGAAAUACAUAACUGGAAUGCUGAUAUGGCAUUACAGCCCAGAGAGAGAAUAUCACCUGGGGUGAAACGUGCUAGCCUAAAGUCCUUUCUAAUAUAAUAGUACGAGAAGUUGCCAAAUCCAAGGAAUCUUAACUGAUUUGUCAAAUGAGGUUUUUUUUUUUUUUCUUUAAUUUGGAAUCUUCUACAAACUCAAUGUGCUGUAUUACACUACAAAGAAUAAGAAUCUCUGCCACUGAGUUUCCCUCCUAGCUUAAAAGUGAAAGAGGAGCCAUGGUUUUAUAUUCAUGAUUGUGAAGUGGAAAUUGAGGAGGUAUAAAAAACAGUUAAACUGUAAAGAGCAAUUAAAUUUGGGAUAGUGCAAAUUUUUUAGGUUUUAAUUUGGUUGUUUAAUCUUUGAUUGGAAAACAAAAGGCCAAGAAAAAAUUUUGAUGAUCUGCAAAUUAAGCAUUUAACUUUGAUGGAUAAUAAUAAGAAAAUGGUUUUAUUUCUGCGUGACCAUGUACAAAUUAUCUACGAUGAAUUAUAAGGGCAGGAGAUUAUGGCUUUGAUUUUGGGACCUAAAACAAUAGGGCUAGAGAUGAUACCAGAGACAUGGCUUAGUUGCUGCAAUUUGACAAAGAAAAUGAAUAAAAAAAAUGUCUUACUAAAAAAUAGUACAGAAAAGAGAAAAAAAAUGAUAAAACCAUAAAAUAAAUUUUGUAGUUUGCUUCCCUGAUCUUCAUCUGUGUUGUAGCGAGCUGACUUACCAAUGAUGUGGAGUAGCAGUUCUUGAGGUUUUCCCACAUCAAAGUCGAGGAAGUUUCAAAAGCAGCCAGCCAGGCAGGGAGGAAGGAGGAGAGAGGGAGGAGAGUUUAAAACGAAAAAAGAAUGUAAAUAUAUAUACCAGCUAAUUGUGGAUGGCAAUGCAAGUUCUCUUCAUUGCCCUGAAAGAAAAGAAUCCUUCCAUCCAUAUGAAGCACGAUUGUUUGUAACGACACAAAUUGGAUGUGGCUGAUGAUGAUGAUGAUGAUGGGUAUAUGGCCAUAGGAUUUGUGCAGACAUGAAUCAUGUGCAUGUUUGAAUUUGAUGGGUCCGCGGUGACUGAUAUUACUGGAAUUACAGGCAAUUUUGAAGAAUAUGGCUGAUCCAGGCAUGGCUUUAUCAAGGUCAAUUAGUUUGCAAUCAAUAAUUACUACAUUAUUUGCAAUAUUUACAGCUUCAGACAACAGGAAAAUCAUAAGCAUUAUCAAAGGCAUCAGUCAAGAUCAUGCAAUUAGUGGAUUGAUUUGACCAUUUUAUUUUAUUCGGUACAUCUUGAUAUCUUACACUCUGCUAAGAAAUGGCAGUAAAUUAGUAUCAUUGUUUUCUUUGCUACAAAUCUUUGAUACGCCAUGAAGCUCAUGUCUUCAACCAGAGGAAGCUCUUAAAGCUUGAUUAUUGACAUCUAUGUUUUUCUGUUCACUUUCAGACUCAUGGCUAUCUAGAUAAUGCAGGUAGGCAUAUGAAAGAAAGCCCCAGAGAGCCAAAAACAUGGCAACUACCUUUAUACAAUCCAUUUUGUCAGGAAAAAAGAUAACAGCAAGAAUCGGAACCACAGGCAACGCGAAAACAGUUACGGAGUUGGCGAAUAAAGAAGACAACUCAAAAAUCAGUGCUGUGCUUCCAAUAGCAAAACCUUGCCAGAAUACACAUAUCCAAACUAAAACCAUCAUAUAUGAUAACUUUCCUAGUUCAAAUUCUUCCAUUUCUCCCUUUAGACCUUUCCAUUCUCCACUAACAAAAAGUCCCACCAGUAUUGCACUUGCUGCUACUAUUGACUGAUAGACUAUCAUAUCCAUGACUGCUGAAAAUGCAUCCCUUUUUAUGACCUUCCGAAAGCAGAACUGUGCCAAAGAGAGUUCAAAUCCAUUCACCGCAGAUGCAAGAAUGGUGCAUAUGAAUCCGAUUACAUGCUUUCGUCUCGAGACUCCCUUGGGAGUUGAAGAGUCUUCAUGAGACACCAGGAGGAUGGAAGAGAUGGUGAGAAGGAUCAGAGAAUUGACUAUGAAAGGAGUGAACUUUUGUGAAUUGAGAAAAUAGGAGAAGAAAGCAUUGAAAGCUAACUGGGAUACAGAAAUGAGGGAAUAUGUAGACACUGGAAGGUAUCGCAAUCCAGUUGAGAACAGCAAGCAGUAUAUAGCUACAAGCAGGCCAAGGCAGACAUAAACUGAUGCAAGAAUCAGGAUUGAUGGUGGUCUUGUGUUAGUACUUGUUGCAGUUGAAUUUUUAGUGAAGAAAUAGUAAAGAAUGAUAAUUGGGAAGCCUGCCAGUUGCAUAAGUGUUGCCAACCAUUGGCUCUUUCCACCUUUGUCAAAGUACAGUCUUCCCAACAUUGUAGCAAUUGACUGACCAGAAACCACAAAGAGUGUAUACAAACCUAUACGUAGCCAUCGCUUAUAGUUUUUGGGUCUAGGCUCUAUCGAUUGAUUUGAAAGCUCCAUAUGUUCCUCCGAUUUCGCCUCCAGUCUCCUGAACUGGUAAAAAACAAACAAAGUAUCGACUUAGGGAGCAUUGAUCCGUGCUUGUGAUGAACUUGAUUUUAGCUAAACACUCGAAUCUGUAAUAUGUUAUUUGGUUCUUUCUCUUUUUGUGCUAAAAGAGUACGUGGGUGCUUUGUAAGUUCUCAUAUUUUGUCAUGCUUUUUAGCUUUUGGGCUGUCAGAUCUUUAUUUUGGAUAGCAGAAGUUUCUAUAUUUUUCUUUUUGUAACAGAUCAGAUGUCAGAGCACCCAAAGCAGUAAGCUCUUGCAGAUAAAUUGUAUGUAUUCCAGAAAAGUUUCUGGAAUUCUGAGUAACAAAUGAUGUAGUUUGCUAUUGCAACUUGAUCAUGUUCUUAGGACAUCUUUAGGUUUAUAUUUACAGUAAUAGUAACUCCUAGAGAUGGAUUUCUUUGCUAUUUGUACUUACUGAGAGGGAAUCAAAAGUUAUAGUCACUACUCACUUCCUGUAGCCUAGUUCAGGUGUAGAACUAAAGAAGCGAAUAAGAAGUCAUAUCUCAGACAAAAAGGAAAAAAAAGGAAGGAAGAAAUGACACUUAUAACGCUGGCUAACCUGGGAUCGAGUGUUGCAGUAGCUCAGCUUCUCCCAUGUCAAAGACAAUGAAUAUUCUUCAAGAUCAAGUUAUGAGGAAAGAAGAGUGGAAGAGAUGUUAUAUAGACUUGUACUCGAAUGACAAUGAGCCAUGUAAAUGCAUGGCUUGCCUUUUCGAACAAAAAUGGGGAAUCAACCCAAAAGGACCUCACUCAAUUUUUCACUGGACCCAUCCUCCACUGAAGGUGCAGCACAGUUAGAAAUCAGAAUGGUCUCCACCGUGCUGUCUUUGCUCACAAAAUGGGGUGUGUGGCGCAAUUGGAGACCCAGUUACGGCGCAUUGAGGCUCCGUUUGUAUCAAAAUGAAGCCUCACGAUCUGCUUUCCGUUGGUUUAGUACCAUCCCUUGUUGCACCCGCAGAGCCUAAAGAACAAAACAGAAAACAGCACCGUAUCUCUUUUCCCUUUGGGCUAGCUAAUAAGCCCAAGGAAUUGGUUCCCGAUAAGAUGGCCCUAGGUGAGAUUCCCUUAAGAUAAUGCACAUGCAUUAUUAUAGUCAUAUUAUGAUGAUUUCAGCCUCAGGAAAGAGGAGUUAAACAUUCUUUUAAUUACAGGGGCGACGGCUCAACGUUUGGAGUUCAAAACUUAUUAUUUGGAAGUUUCAAAUCCGAAUCUUACAAGAAAAUUUUUCUUUCGGCUGAUAUGAAAAUUCAACCAAGUGCGCACUUCCUUCAGCUUCGGUCAUUCACAACAAUUCAUCAAUAAUUUUCUGUGAUAGCGUAAUCUUCAUUUGUCUACUUUGAUUACGUUUUUUUUUUCUUGAAGAUCAGGUUUCACCUAUUUUAUUCAUCAAAGUUUAGUGGCCAAAUUAAAUAAAAAAUCCAAAUUUAGCGACAAAAUUAAAUUAAAUUAAAGUAAAUGGACAAAAUUCAAUAUUGAGAUUAUCAGCCCUUACCGCCUUCAUUUUACUAAUCCAGCAAGGAGCUUUUUUUUUUUAAUAUAAACGUAUAUCUAACACAAUAAAUUAGUGCAUAUUUAGUGAUUCAAUUUGUUAUGCGAAGAAAAUCUGAACAAAACUUAAAUUUCAAUAUAUUCAUGGACUAUUUACGUGUUGGAUUCGAGCGUAUGAUUGAAAUAUUAUAUAUAUAUAUAUAUAUAUAUAUAUAUAUAUACACAUAUGUGUGUGUUGCAAGAUGUUAGCAUAUAGCAAAAGAAAACCUUGACCCUUCGGAAAAGGAAAAUAAAAUAAAAUAAAAAUACAGGAAGGAGAUAUUAGGUGAAAGGAAUUAAACUUUGCUUUUUCCAUAAUUUACACAUUUGGAUGGCAGAUACAAAAGAAGCAUGAUACUUCAUACAUACUGUUCUGCUGGAAGGCUAUGGCAGAUACAAUAUGCUGUAACCCCCUCAGCAACGUGUAUCAAGCAAGCAUUCAGGCCUUCUAACAGCUGGAAAUUGUGAACCUAAGCUCCAAUCUCCAUCACAAUUAUUAACCAACAGAUUAUCCUAGAGGAUUGAUUAACUUGAUAGGAAUUUGUUUGCCCAGCUAUAACCUUUAAUUAACAGAGGCUGCUAGAGAAAAAACAUAGAGGCAGUUGAGUGAGCAAUCUUACCAUUCAUUCAUAGAAGCUAGGCUCUGUUAUCUGAAUGAAUAACCUCUCCGAGGGUGCAAUCUUCAGAAAUUUCAGUGGCUAUUCUGUUUUCGAUCUUCGACUUUUGAUGGUCAAGAUAGUGCUGAUAAACAUAGGAAAUGAAGCCCCAAAUAGCCAGCACCAGGGACAUUCCCUUUAUUCCGUCCAUUUUAUCAUGGAAAACGAACACAGCAAGUACUGGAACAAUAGGCAAACCAACUGUACCUAUGGCAAUGCUGUAGAGGGAAGACACCUCAAAAAUUAAUCCUACCGUACCAAUAGCAAAAACCUGCCAACUUAUAGCAGUCCAAACCACAGUCAUGACAUAGGAAAUCUUCCCUAGAGCAUAUCCCUCCAUUUCCCUCUUCAAUCCCUUCCAAUCUCCGCUAGCAAAUAGUCCCACCGCUAUAGUGCAUGAUGCAACCAGUGACUGAAAUACUAUAACAUCAAGGAUAACUUUAAAUGUUUCCCUCUUUAGUAGCUUUCUGAAGGCGAGCUGCUGUGAAGCAAGCGCCAAGCCGUACACUGCAGCUCCACCAAUGGUGCAUAUGAACCCGGCUGCAUACUGUCCUUUAGAGACGCCAGCAGGCUUUUCAGUAUGAUUAUUUGCUACUAGGAGAACAGAGGAAAUAAUAAGGAGAACUAGAGAAUUGAUGAUGCAUGGAGUGAACUUUUGUGAAUUAAGGAAAUAAGAGAAUAAAGCAUUAAAGGCCAGCUGGGAUGCUGUAAUUAGAGUAACUGUAGAUACAGGAAGGUACUGUAAGCCAACUGAAUAAAGAAAGGAGCUUCCAGCUACAAGUAGCCCGAGGGGUACAUAGACCAAUGUUAACAGUUUCAGGAAAGAUGGUGGAUUUGAGUCGAUAAUGUUGUUAGCAAUGGAAGAUUUGCGUAGAAAAAUGGAGUAGCAAGGAAUUAGAAUUGGGAAACCACCAAGUUGGGCAAGUGUUGCAAGCCACUUGCUACUUCCACCUUUGUCGAAGUAAAGUCUUCCGAGAAUUGUAGCUACAGACUGGCCACAGAGGAGAAAGAUUGUGUAGAGAACUAUCCGGAGCCACCAUCUGUAGUUCUUAGAUCGAGAUCCUCUCAUGUGGUUGAUACCAUUUGUUUGCUCGGUUGAAUUUUCUUUAUUAGCUUCUUGAUCUGCAAAAUGUAAAACGAUUAUUACUUCUUUAUCAGAGUCACAUUACAGUCAUGCCUGCAGCUUACACAUAAUUGUAGAAAACAGAAAUUAUAUACGGUGGCAACUGAAAACAUGAAUCCUAUAUUCCAUGGAUAGAAACAAACUUGGAGUUGUUUGGAGGGAAGACAUGUUUCGAGGUAGUUGAAGAUUUGAUCUUACCAUUUCAGUAGAAAAUGUUUAGUCAAGGAGAGCAAUGAACAAUAUCAAAUGUCUGCAAUUACCCAACUCUCUCAGUUGCACAUUUUUCUUGGGAGAAGAGAAGAGAAGUGCAGAGAAACAUGUUACCAUUGACUUGAGAAGAGAAGUGCAGAGAAACACGUUACCAUUGACUUGCUUUUCAUUUGGAUAAUCGAAAAUUUUAUUCCAAUAUCCAAAGAAAGCACAAACAUCUGCUACAAAGUUUAUAAAACUAGGAUUAACCCAGAAACACCAGCCCGUAGAUCAUUUUUUAGUACAACAGAAGAACUAAUACAAGCUAUCUGUCAUGUUAUCGACUUUUUGUAAGCAUUCUAGAAAACCAGCCAACUUACCAGUGAUUUCGAGUUCUAACUGAACUUCUGCCAUUUCUAGCAAGCUAAGCUAAAUGGGAUUAAUGCUGAAAAUUCAAGCCAAGGAUACAAAAAGAUCGGAGACGAUUUUGCAGCCAAAUUAGAAACAAGCAUGUGAAUUUAAAUACUGGGCUAGUUCUCAUAUCUGAUAUCAGUGACAUGACAUUGACGGUAAUAAAUGUGCCAUUAAUCCUAGCUGCCUCCUACGUCCAAUUGCUACUCUUUCUCUAGCAAACAGUUUUUAUUUUUCCUUGUAAUAAUUAAAAAAAUACUACUAUAAUAACUUGAACCCAUGAUACCUUUAGAAAGAUUUAUAUAAAAUUCUUUAGAUAAAGUUCGUGAAAUUAUCAAUUAAAAUAAUUAAAUUAAAAUUAAAAUUGAUAAAUUAAAAGGUUUGUUAUAUAUAUUGUGUAAAAUUUAAAAAAAUUAAUAAAUUUUAAUAUAUAUUUUAUAUAGAUAUUUUUAGUAAAAAUAUUAACAAAUUUUUAUUGAAUAAAUUCGAUCAAAUUUAAAUUAUAAAUAAUUUUUUUAAUAAUUUUUUUUACGUAUUAAUAACUUUUACAUUAAAUACUAUCAAUCGAUUUAAAUUUUUUAUAUCAAUUUAAUCAUUUUUAAUUAAAAGUUUUAUGAAUUCACCUAAAAAAGUUUCAUAUAAAUCGAUUGAUAUUGUUUAAUAAUAAAAAAUUAUUUAUAAUUUCACCUAAAGAAAUUGUUAUUGAUGAUCAUAGUAUUUUCUUUUAGGUGGAAGCCUAAAUUUUAAAAAAUAAUAAUAAAAAAUUGUACAAGUUGAAGAUCGAAUAUAUAUUAUUUAUCGUAAAUUACAACGUGACUUACUAUUUUCAUUUUAGUCCAUUCAAUUAUGGUCUAAAAUUUUAAUCACAUAAUUUCACCAACUUUUACUCAUUUUUGUCACUGAUUAAAUUGUUCCUCCUACCUUUUUCUUAACUAAACCAUAACCUGUUUGUAAUUCAAAAUUUAUCAGGUCCAACAAAAAUGGUCAGGUUGGAUGGGUCAUUUAUGAUAAUAUUUUAUUAUUUUUUAUUAUAUCAUUAUAUAUUAUAGUUCCUAGUUGAAAAAAAAAAAAAAAGGCUGAUCGGCCUGCCAAAAAAAAAAAAACAAAAAAUAAAUGUGAGGAAUGAUCCCUUUAUAUAUAGUAAUAAGAUUAGGCACAUAGGAGUUAGUAAAACAAUUUUUGAGAAAAAAAAAAUAAAAUGACAUAUAUUUAUCUUCUUAAUUCUUGAAUGAUUGAUCAAAAAGAUUCCCUUAUGAUUAAAACAACGAGAAAGUGAAGCUUCCAUUAAUACGUACUGCAUCAUCCAUCACUUUAUGUAAAACCUACUCUCACUCUUACAAAUAAUCUAACAAAGGAAAAUCAUUGCUGUUUCAAGUUUUGUUUUUAUAUUUUGUAAGUUUAUGAGAAUUGGUGACGAGAUGCCGUAGGAGAGAGAAUUAGAUAAGCAUUUAAAAAAAAAGAUAUAAAAAUUAGUCCUCAUAAUCAUAUGAUAAUAUUAAUAAGAAAGGGUACUAAUUUGUCUGUUUAAAGUAAGUAUUUUGUUAUUGAUGUAAUAAAUAAAUGAAAAAUUAAAAAAUAGAGUUGGAAUAUGGAUGAGAUGUAAGGAUAGCAUUUGUAGAAUAUUAUAUUUAGUUCAAUUUUCAUUAUUAUCUCAAACGGAAUAUUUAUUUUUUUAACAUAAAAUAAAAUAAAAUGAAUUCAACAUUUUGUUGGUUUAGAUUAUUAAAUUUUGAUAAUCAAUAUUCAAUUUUUGACAAUUAAAAUAUUAAUUAUAAAUUUAUGGUCAUUAUUUUUAUUUGCCUCUUUUUCUUCCUAAUGUCUAAUAUACUUUAUUAAUGCCAUUUAUGAAACUAUUUUUUAUACUGGGAAUGAAAGAAUUAGUACCCAUUAACUUAAUUUCUUGUUGAAAUAUUUUCAAAAUAAGUGAAAAGAUAUGAAAGAAAAUCAAUUCAAUAUGAAACUUGUGUAAAUAUGAUUUUACAAGUUUGCUUAAAUCUUUUAAAAAAUGUGUUCUUUAACUUAUAAAGAGUUGAUAAUUGCAUGAGUUUCAAAAUAUGUUAAUGAAAACAAAAAAAUUGGUUGAGUAAACAGUACAAUUUGAAGAAUUACAACUUAUGAUAACAUUCUCUAUAAUUUGAUAAGUGAGAGAUUACUCCAACAUAUAUGAUAACACAAUUAGGAUUUUAAGUUAUAUCUCACUCAGUUUUUAAAAUAGAUCAAGUCUCUUAUCUAUUAUUUCAUGCCAAAAAUAAUAUAUAAAAAAGAUAAUUUUACUAUUCGUUUAGCGAUUUGAUUUCAUUAAUGCAAAGUAAAAUUAAGUACAGGUUUCAUUGCAAACUAUGAUUAUAUGAUUCAUUCCAUUGCAUAUUAUAUAUGGUGAUGGCAAAAUAAGCCUAAAAUAAAAUAACAUUUACAACAUGUCUUGAAAUCAUAUUUUCUCAUGUUAUAAUUUUUAAUUUUAAAUCCAUCGAACUCAUGAAAACAACGUUCUUUGAACAUGAAAAAGCAUAUAAUAAUUUUUAAAUCAUUAAUGCAACUUUAUGUUAAUUGGAAAAUUGCACAUACAUGAACAAGAUAAAUUGCAUUGUCAAUUACUUGGAAACAAUUGACUUUGAAAGUUGGGGAUGGUGUGAAGUGUGAUAUAUUCAGCAAUAAUGGGAAAUGUUGAUCCGUGUAUACCGGCAUAGAAAAUUUGUUAGGUGAAAUUGUAAGCCAUUAUAUUUGCUGUUAGAUUUUUUUAACAAGUGGAGAGGCUUGCCAACAACCUCUUGGCCUGGCAGCAAACAAGAAGAUUUAUGAAACAUGUGGACUUGGCUCAAGUUCAAGCAAUCCCACUUUGAAAACUAGUAUAAUUGCAAGUGGAACUCUUAUGAAUUUUAAAUUAUUUUUCGUGAUAGAUUUGAUUGGGGGAAUUGCAUAUAUUUCAACUUAGAAUCUGGUAGGCAGAUCAGCAAAGCUUAUUUUACUAGAAAUAAUUUUAAAAAAAAUUUAGUUUAUUAUAGUUCUUUAUAAAUAUUAUAAUUAUACUUUUGCAGAAAUCAAAUAAUUUAAUUAAUUUUCCACUAUUUUCUUAAUCAAUCACAUGAUCCUAAUGGCAUGGAAAAUUUUCAACUGACUUGGCCCUCCAAAUAAGUGGAAGGGUCCCUCCUUAAAUGCCUAUGUCUCAAAAUAUAUCAAGCUUUGAAUUGACUGAAAUAUGGUUCCGAGAUUCUUUUAAAAAUGAAAGAAAAUUCUAUUUCAAUCGACAUGCAUGACUUUAACAAAUUUGUUUCUAUUGAUCAAGAAAAAAUAAAUAAAUUUUAAAUAGAACCCACAAAAUUAAUGUAUAACAAGUCGGCAUGCGAAGAAAGUUGUGCAAAAAACAACAAAACAUAAUGAAGAAACUAGAGCUUUGAACUUUUGAUACAAAGAAUUAUUGUGAAACUUUAAUGUAGUUUAAUUAUAAUUUUCAAUUUUAAAUUGAAAUCAAAUUUAUUCAAUUAAAAUAUUUAAAACAAAAUCUAUCUAUCUAUAUAUUUAUAUAUUAUGAGUUAAGAUUAUAUAUGAUUAAUUCACAUUAAAGUUCCACCAUAAUUCUCACGAGACCGAAUCUAUCAAAUGAAAAUUCAGUAAGACUUUAUUUGGUGAGCUUUUUGCUUUUUUUUACAAAAAAUAAAAAAUAAAUAAAGACAAAAUUAAAGUUUGAACAAUUAAAAUCCUAGAAAUAUGUAACAAAAAGAAGCUAGCGUUCACGAAACGGCGCUUAAACAAAUAUAAGAAAGAAAGAUAAAGAUUUUGACUACUGAGUAUAUACAACAAUUUCCGAAUCAUCAUUAUCCCUUGCCCAUUUUGUUAGCAAAGUUACCCAAGAAGCUGACAUAAUAAUCUCAACUGUUUUAGUAAUGAUCUUUCAAGAAAAAGAAAACUGUUUUAGUAACGAUGAUGCAUGUUGAUAAAUACAUUACAACCCCCAUUAUAGAAAACUACGUAAAUUGAAUCAGUCAAACCCUUAAUUAAAACUCUUAGAUUCGCACCAAUUAAAUCCUGAGAAGAAGAAGAAAAAGAAAGAAUUUUGAGAAAAUUCAUUCUUUCAUAAAUUUUUUAAAAUUUAAAUUUUAGAUUCAUAAUUUUUUAAAAAUAUUAUAAAUUCAUUCAUUCUUUCAAUUAUAUCUUUAAAAUCCAAACAAAUAUAUUACACCAACUAGAUUUUUGCCCCUAUGACGCUGGAGCUUAUAAUUUUUUUAUCAAAAUUUAUUUUCAAUAUAUUUAUUAUUUGUUAAAAUAAUAAAUAUAUUUUUAAAGUAAUUUUAUGAGAUUACUUUCAAUAUAUUGUAUAGAUUUAUAGUAAUUUAAUAUGUAAUUAAAUUUUAUGUAAAUAAAAAAAUAUGUAAUUUAAUAGGAAUAUUAUAGUAAUUUUUAUCAAACACCACAUGUCAAAGUUUCCUAAAGUAAUGGUAAGAGUACUUUAGUAAUUUCAAAUGUAGUUAAUUUUAUAUUUUGUUAAAAUUUAAUAUGUAAUUUAGUAAGACAUUAUAAUAAUUUUGACUAAUUAUGAUAAGAGUAACAUUUUUAUAAUUAUAGUAGAAGGGAUAUUAUAGUAAUUAUGGAGAAUUGUGGUAGGAAGAUAUUUUCAUAAUUAUGAUAAAAAAAAUAUUAUAGUAAUUUUAAUCAAUUAUAUUAUAAGGGUUAUUGUCGUAAUUAUAUAAAAAAGUAUUAUAAUAAUUUUGACUAAUUAUAGAAGGAUAACUAUUAUAGUAAAUUUGAACAUGUGCUAGUUACUAAUCAAAUAAAUAGAGGGGUAUUAUAGUAAUUUUUCUGUGAGAUUACUUUUACUAUAUUAUAUAGAUUUAUUUUAUUAUAGUAAUUUAAUAUAUAGUUAAAUUUUAUGUAAUUUUCAUGAAAUAUUUGCAAAGAUAUUUAGUAAUUUAAUAUGUAAUUAAUUUUAUAUCAAAGUAUAAAUAUGUAAUUUAAUAAGAUAUUAUAGUAAAUUUCAAAUAAAAUAUCACUUGUCAUUCUAUAAUUAUGAUUGGUGAGUCAUUAUAAUAGUUUUAGUCAAUUAUAGUAGAUGAGGUAUUUCUAAAAUUAUUAUAAGAAGAGUAUUAUAAGAAUUUUAUGGAUUAUGAGAUUAGGGGUAUUAUUGUACUUUUGGAUGUGUCAAACAAUUAUCAAAUAAUUGAAGGGAUAAUAUAAAAUUUUUAAGAAGUUAUAAUUGAUCAAAGUAUAGUAGGAAAAACAUUUUCAUAACUAUAACAAGAAGAUAUUAUAUUAACUUUGAUUAAUUAUAAUAAAAAAUAUUUUCAUAAUUAUAAUUAAAAAUAUUAUAAUAAUUUUAAUUGAUUAUGGGGGAAGAGAAAUUAUUGUGCUUUUGAAUAUGUGUCAAAUAAUGAUCAAACAAUUAAAAAGAUAAAAUACUAAUUUUCAGGAAAUUUUUUUAAUUAUAGAGUAUAAAUAUGAGCAUUUACAUGGCGUAAAUUUCAACAACAAAAUUUUUUACUUUUAUUUGCCACGCACAUGAGUUUUUAUAUUGAUGUCCACGUGUUUCUGAAGUAAUACAUAUAUAUAUAUAUAUAUUCAAAAUUUGUGGCGCAAAUUUAUUCAAAAUUUUGGUUCGACUUUUCCAUCGAAAUGAGGCUGAGUAUUUGACCAAUGCAUGAACUCGACACUAAGGCUAAGGUAGUCGACACGGGAUGAGACUUUUGUUUGAUUGACAAUGAAGUUACACUCAAAAAAUCUCUGGCAGCCAAGUUUUCUGUUAUAAAUAUAUAUAUAACAUAAAACUAUUGUAUUUGUGGCGCAAAUUUAUUCAAAAUUUUGGUUCAACUUUUCCAUCGAAAUGCGGCUGAGUUUUGACUAACGUAUGAACUCGACACUACAGCUGAGGUAGCCGACAUGGGCUGAGACUUUUGUUUGAUUGACAAUGAAGUUACGGCAGCCAAGUUUUACCUAUCUUAUUGUUUGAAAAAAAUAAUUUUUAAAAAAUAUUUAUAUUUUAAAAUUUUUUUUUAUGUUUGAAUAAAUUAAUGAAAAAUAUUUUUGAUUAUUUUUUGAGAAAUUAAUUUUUUUUCAAAUAAUAUUCAAAUAAUUAUUAAAAUAUUAAAAAUUAUUUAUUAUUAAAAUAUAUUAAAAUAAUUUAUUGUUAAAAUUAUUAAUAUUAAAAAAUAAUUAUAUUUUAAUAAUAAUAUUUAAUAUUAAAAUAUUAUGUUAAUAUAAAAGAACUUAAAAUAAAACUAUUUAUUAUUUUUUAUAUUUUUUAUUCAUAUAUUAUAAUAUUAUUUGUUAACGUUAUUUGUUAAUAUUAUUUAUUAAUAUAUUAUAUUAAAUAGUAUAUUAUUUAUAUAAUAUUAUUUAUAAGUAAAAUUAUACUAAAAAAUAUUAAUAAAUAAUUAUAUUCAUAAACAGUUUUUUUUUAAAUAUAUUUUUCUAAAAUUUCUAAGAUAAUUUUUUAAAAAAUAAUCUCAUUUUACAUUAAUAAAAAAUUAUUUUUUAUUGAUCAAUUAAUUUUUUAUCAAAUAAAUAUCUAAAAAUAUAGAAAUUAUUUGUCGUAAAACAAACAAAGCCCACAACUUAAAAGAAAUAUCUUUGGAUACUUUAAAAAACUUCGAUUUUAUUGAUUUUUGUACUUAAUUCAAGAACUAUAAAACCACACUUUGAAGAUCUUUCGUCGUGUAAUAAUUACACUAUUCAACAAUUGAUUUUUUUUUUAAAUCAAAAUUUUAUUACGAGGCUAUAUUGUCUUACCUUUAAUGACAAGGAACCAUUGAAUCCAAUUGUCACUAAUACUUAGGAACAGUAUCGCCCAAUAACCGUAAAAGAAAGGGAAGGGCACGUUUGGUGGUUAUAUAUGGUUUUCCAGAGUCAUAUAGUUCUCAGAAUUUCUAUUGGCUUCAUUUUAUAAAGGCAAAGGACCCGCCCCCCAACGUGAUCUCCAUAUUCAUAUAUACCAUCCAUUAUUUCUAACAAACCCUUAUAGUUUCCAUGACUUUUUCCACAACCAAUAAUGAAGUUAAAUGCAUUUCCACCAUUCAAAUUUUCAUGUCACAUUUUUAUAGAGGAAAACAUCGAUAUUUAUUUAGGAUAAUGAAUUAAAUGACAAAUCUGACAAUAAUAAAUUUGUUAUAUUUUUAAUUGUAUUUGUUACGGAACUGUAAUAAGUUCUAAUGUAUUGAUAGAAAGAUAUUAUCUAAUGUAAUAACUUUUAAAAAAAUGUUUUUAAAGCUUGGCUUUUUAAUAUACUUGAGAUUAAUUUUUAUUAUUCAAAAUAAAAUUUUAAUAUUUUAUCAAUAAAUCAUAUAAUUUUUUUAUAUAUUGAGGACUCUGAUUAAGGCAAAACCUUUCGUUUUAAUUGCAUAUAUGUAAAGAAUAAUUCAAUACGAAUAUAAUUAACUCGUGGGAUCUGUGUACUUAAAUGUUAUCAUUGUUAAGGCAUACAAGUAUCACGGAUCUAGAUUUAAGCUCCAGCCUCACGUAACUUUAGGAUACGAAAAUAGACUCUUUUGCAUCUCAAAUAAGCUAACACAAGAAAUGGUGCAUGAACACUCUAGAAUGUGGGGCUUAGUCGCUCAGUACGCUACAAAACAAAAGGGCACAGCAAGUGCUUGAAGAAAAGCUAACAAAAAAAUAAUAGAAAAGGUUGAAGGCAAAAGUAAUGAUAUUAUUACUCAAUGAUUCUAGUCUUUUCCUCUUGUGUACAUGAGGGUAAGGGACUCUUUAUUUAUAGCUGAGUCACUUUUACAAUUAGUGUCAAUAUACGUGCCUAAACUCUCAGGAUUCCAAUAGUUUAAAUCUUAUGAUUCGAAAAGAUAUGAUACAUUCCUUGAUUCUAAAGGAUAUGAUGCUCAGUGUAUUAUCAGCAUUUUUGAUCCAAUCUAAGGAAGAAUCUAUCUUCGUUGAUUCCAAGCCUGUGCUCAACACCGCCUGCACCUAAGCUUGUACUCGUGCCCACACUUGGGCCCGACUUAAUGUUACCAACUUUGAUUAUCUCAAGUUUGUGUUCAAACGUACCCAUUUCUAGGCCCGACCAUGUGCUCGCACCUCGGUUAUCAGUGCUUUCACCUGAGUCUGGCUAGGUGCCUGCAUAUCGCUCACCAGUGCCCGUUCUUCAGCUUGGCUCGACAUUGUCAAACUUGAACACCUUCUUUGAGCCUCGGAGCUUUGAUCACUGCCUGUAUCAUUGUUUUGGGCCUGUUUCUUGUGACUUGAACCUUCAGUGCACCUGAGAGCUUAGUCCCUUUGGUUGUUAGACUCUGUCCCAUUAGAACUUGAACUGUGACUCGAUUCAGCAAGAACCAGUGAGCUUGGACCAGCUUGUAGAUUGUGAUAUUCUUUUACACUUAUUCUACCAACGCUUUAAUUGUUAGAGGGAUGAUACGCUCGCCUUGCACGUCAAUUCUAAUUCUUGUCCCACGAAAUAGUUUUUCAACAUUUUGGUCCUAUAUCCGAACAUGUACUCUGGUGGCUUCCACUGCUCUCGAUCCAAAAUUUCUCAACACUCUGCUGCAAUGGUCUCUUUUGCCCAUGCUGUCGAUGCUUCAUGUGCUUCUUUUUGAAUUGCCUGCAACACAUUUUUUUGUAAGAAAUCUAGCUGCACUAUAAGACUUAUGCUGUGGCACUCCACUACUAUUACUGUCAUUACGUAUAAAUUCGUAAACCUACCGCUAGACAUGGAUUAGAAGAGUUGCUACAAAUCUUUUUUAUUUAUGUACGAUUGGCCACCAGAUUGAUUCUAUCAUAUUUAAAGAGGAGUCUCAAUAUCGACUUAAGUAUCUUUAAAUAGUAAAUUCUGAUCUACGAAACUAAAGUUUAGGUUAUGUAGUACGAUUACGCGUUAGAAAAGUUAUAGCACCACUACAGCAUCCAUCCAAAGGAUGUUACCAAUUUAAUUUCAGAUUAUUCAAGCCUUGAUCAUAUUCGUAAUUUACCAAAUUAUUUAAUAUUAAAAAUUAGUCUUAAAAUUAUCCCAAUAGUUUGGUAGCAAUUUAAGAUAAUUCUUUCACCUCAUGAGUAUUCAUAAAAACUAGUGUCUCAUUCUGAAAAAACUUCAUAGUCAAAUUUAUUAAUUUAUUUUAUUUCAAAAAAAUUAUUAAAGUCUCCUAAUAGUUUGGUAUGACUUACUUUGAAACAAAUCUCUUAAUAUUUUGGUGAGAUUUUAUUGUAAACAUAUUUGUAAAAUUUUUUUGAGAAUUUCAUUAAGUCUCCUAAUUGUUCAGUAAAAUUAAUUUGGAAAGCAAUCCUCCAAUAAUUUAAAGGAUAAACAUUAUUCUUAUUUUUUAUGUAUUUCUUUCUUUUGGUAAUUUGUUUAUGAAAUUUCCUAAUAGCUUGGUGGAUUCCAUAAUAAUAAUAAUUAUUAUUAUAAUUAUAAUAUAAUAUAAUAUAACAUGAUAUACUAUAGUAUAAUAAUAUGAUAUAACAUAUAAAUCAAUAAUAAAAAUAAUAAUGAUAAUAAAAAUAAUAUCAAUAAAAAUUGGUUCAAUAAACCUUGGACAAAAAUGAGUAUUUACAGCUGUCCCUCUUUGCACAUUCUUGUUAGACAAGGAUGAUGCAAAGACCUAGACACCCACUCUAUUCUAAAAGUCAACUUAAUAAGCAAAAAUGAUCAAGACUGAGCCAAAAGUCAGAAAAAAUGAUUAGAAUUGAGUCAAGAUCAAAUGACUGAGACAAAGGUCACGAGUCUGAAAGCGACUAAGAUCAAGUCAAGGUCGAAGAUGAAUGACUAAGAUAAUGUCGUAAGUCAAAAAAAUGAUCUGGAUCGAACCAAGAUCGAAUGAUCGAGACAAUGUUACGAGUUUGAAAGAGACCAGGAUCGAGUCGAGGUGAAAAAUAAAUGAUUGAGAUGAUGUCGCUAGUCAAAAAAAUGAUCUGGAUUAAGCCAAGAUUGAAUUAUCGGGAUGAUGUCACGAGUUUGAAAGUGAUCACGAUUGAGUCGAGGUCAAAGAUGAAUGAUCGAGACAAUACUGUAAGUUAAAAAAAUGAUCUAGAUUGAGCCAAGAUCGGAUGACUGGGAUGAUGCUGCAAGUCUAAAAGUGACCAAGACCAAGUCGAGAUUGAAGAUAAAUGAUCGAACGAUAUCAUGAGUCUGAAAGUGACUAAGAUCGAGUUGAGGCCGAAGAUGAAUGACUGGGAUGAUGCACGAGUCUAAAAGCGAUCAAGAUCGAGUCGAGAUCAAAGAUGAAUGAUCGGGAUGAUACCAUAAGUUUGAAAGUGACUAAGACUAAGUUAGGGUCAAAGAUGAAUGAUUGGAAUAAUACCGUGAGUCAAGAAAAUGAUCUAAACUAGGAUGAUGCCACUAGUCUAAAAAUGAUCAAGACCGAGUCGAAGUCGAAGAUGAAUGACCAGAACAAUGCCAUGAGUCAGGAAAAAUAAAGCUCAAAAUUUCAUUCUAAAUCCAAAUAUUCACAAUUUGGACAUUCAAAAAUUUGUAAGAUUACAUAACAAAAGUUGAAAGAUCUCAAUAUUGUAAGUUUAACAAAAUCGCAAAGAUCUAAUAUUUGCAAAGGUUUUUAAAUUUGCAAGAAUGAAAGAUUUACAAAAUUUUAAGUUUCAUAGAGAUUCUAGAUUCACAAAGAUGUAAGGACUUUUAGAUUUGCAAGAAAAAAAGAUUUGCAAGAUUCUAAGUUUCACAAAGGUAAAAAAAAUAAUCUAAAUCGAGUCGAGAUCGAAAUGAAUGAUCGAGAUUGAAUCAUGAGUCAAAAAAUUAAGCGACCAAGACCUAGUCGAGAUAAAAAAAUAAAUGAUUAAGAUGAAAUCACUAGUCAAAAAAUGAUCUAGACUGAGUCAAGAUCGGAUGAGUGAUAAAUGAUAAUGUGACAAUGCAAAUGCAUAUAUUAUCUUGGAUGUCAAUGUAAACAUAACAUAUGUGAUACAGAUGCUACUAGAUCAAUGCCAUGAAACUUUAAUUAUAGUAGUAAGAUUUUCAAAACUCCACCAUCUCGUGUAUUUCUUAUCAAUUUAUUAGCAUUUCAAAACAAAUUCUGUCAACCAAUCCAUGUCAUUAUUUUCAUUUGGUCAUAACUUGUAGUCCAUGUCAACCAAUCUAUUACUGAAUUGAUCACUGAGUCACCUUGUUUGCACCUUUGUAAAUCAUUUUCUCAUGCUUUUUUUAUUUAUCUCAUCUUGGAUUUCUUUCAAAAAGUGAAAAGCUCUUUAUGAAAAAUGUCAUUCAUUUGCUUGCCAUCAUUCAAAUCAGUGAUAAAUAUGAUACAUUUUCUUGGUUCAUUUAGGGUAUAUUUGGUAAAUAAUGACAAAGAUAGGUCUUUAUUAUUGAGAAAAUAAAAGAUAGGGUCAAGAACAACUCAAGGAUGAACAAGAGUAAAAUGUUAUGAUUUAUUCAAAUCGGAUAUUAACAUUUAAAAUAAUGAUUGUUCAGACAAUUUUAAACUCAAAUUCAGAAUCAUCCUUCAAAAACACAUAUCUUCAAUCUUUGAAACAAUCAUCAUCCUCAUUCUUGGGAUCUUCACUUGAAGUUAUUUUUUUAAGUUUUCAUUUUUAUCUAAACUACUCUUUUGGGUUUUUAGUCUAAGUCUUCUUUUUUUUCUCAUUUUUUUUACUUUUUUUAUUACACAUUUUUAAAAUUUUUUUUUUAUUUCUCUUUCUCUUUUAUUCAUCAAUGAUACUUUGAUCGAAGCUUAAUUCAAUAACAAAUCUUCUUUAAUUCAACUCAUGAUUCUUUAGAUCGAGUAUUCAUAUUUGAUCAAAAUAAACUUUUAAGGGACAUAAUGUAGGCUAAGGUGAAAGGUGCCAAAGAAAAAGAUAAAAGCAGGCCCAAAUGUAUUUGUAGGGUAAUCAAACCAUGAAUCAUUUCUUCAUAUGUAGCAUAUUGGAAUUUUGCCCCAACAAUUUUUUUUUUUUCAUUUUUCAAGAAGAUUUGAGCAUAAAGGGCUUUGCCCUUAAAAUUACAAACUUUUCGACUUUGUCCCUUCAAGUGUGAAGGUGAUCCUUAGUUAGAGUUUUCCAAAAAAAAUUUCAAUAGGCUCAAAUGGGGUUACAAAAGAUAAUUUUACUUUUUUUUAUUUUUUUAAUGAUAGAAAAAAAUGAUCAUUCUUCAUUUCGAACAUGAAUACUUUUAGUAACGAAAAUUCACUGACUAAGAGCAGACUUAUGAAUAAUUACAAAGAUCAUGUGUUACAUUAUUUUUUAAAUUUUUCUCUAAAUUUGUCAUUUUAUUUAGCAGUGCCAACAAUUUCAAACUUACUAAUCAAACUAUCAUGAAUGGUAUUGAAUCCUAAAUUAUCAUCAUGAUUGUCUGAACAUCAUUAUUCAAAAUAAAAAAAAUGGGUAUGAGAAAAGGUAUGAAGGGGCCAAAGUAGAUAAUGGUAAUUCACACAAAAAAAUAUCAUAAAAAUGUACCAAACAUGUCAUUUUAUUAAAAUGAUGAAAAAUGAGAUAAAAUUCAAGUACAUAAAAGAAGAGUCACAUUCUCAAAAAGUCCAAGAUGAUAAGCAAUUCUAAUCAAUCUCUCAAAAUUAUAUCCUUAGAUGAUUGGGUGAUAGGUUAUCACUGACAUUAGAUGCCAUGUUUCUACCGGUAUUAAAAUUUAUUAGCCUUUUUUUAUUAAUCUUUGCACCAUAUGUUUCAAAGGAAUAUCAUUUUUAGUGGAAUGGCUCGUCACCCCAAAAUGAUAGUCACAAUCAACAGUGGAGUCAUACCAUUUGGGAUAAGAUGGUUCAGGUUGUUUUACAAGAAUGAGAGCAAUCAAAUGGUUUUUAUAAAACUCUUGGUACAAAUUUAUAUAGCUCAUAGGAAUAAAGUCCAAUGUAGGCUUUUCUUGAUUUUGUGAUUUUCGUACUCUACCUGUUAAGGUAGUUAGACAAAUAGAAGACCUAAGUGUAGAUGGAUAAGAAAGUUAUAGAGUUGAUUGGUAGAGUACAACAAAAGCAUGAUUUGCAAGAGAAUGAUAUGUAGGAUAGAUUGGUUGAGAGUAGUUUCUGAAUUGCUACCUGUCAAAACUCAUAGCUUGAGUCUCACUUUUUUUUUGGUAUUUUUUUAGUAACAGAUGAUUUUUUUUUCUUUCAGUUUAUCAUUUUUUAUUGCAUUUUCUAUGAUCUUUGUUGAAAUCUUCAUGUCGACAAAAUUUUUAGUCGCAUUCCUUAUCAUUUUCUUAUAGUAUGAUGACGUUAGGGUGCUUACAAAUAGCAUAAUCGUUUCUUUUUCUGUUAAGAGAGAUUGUACCUGAACAACGAUAUCCCACUACCUUUAGGCAUACUUCUUAAAAGAUUCAAAAUUUUUUUUUCAAUUUCUUACAAUGAGAGGUGAUCAUAAGCCAUGUCUAUGAUGUGACAGUAUUGGUUGAUGAAAGAUCGAGUCAAAUCUUUUUAUGACUUAAUGCGAGUCUUAUCCAACUAGAUAUACUAUCUUACAAUAGAUCCGAUCAGGCUCUUUUAAAACACAUUCAUGAGCAACUUUUCAUUACUGGCGUGAGCUAUCAUUUUAUGAUAAUAUAUUGUGAUAUGCGUAAUGGGGUACUUGGUGUCAUCAUAGUUAUCAAAUUUUGGUACCUUAAAUUUCAUAAGGACUACAACAUUUGAGACUAAGCAAAGGUUGAUAACAUCCAUGAGCCAUAGAAAUCAAUGUCUUUCAUAGCUCAUAAUCUUUCAUCAAUCAUAUUCAUAGUUUAAUCAGUUUUAGAGUCUUUUGGGGACACAGCCAUCUAUAACUUCAUUUUUUUUUAGUCUUAUCCAUUUUGAAAAUUUGGAUGAGCUCAUCUAUCUUUUUCAGCAAAGAUAGGAUUGGCAUAGCUCUGAAUAUUUUCUUGAUUGUAAUUUGAAAAUGUGAUUUAUUGUUGCUAAAAGCUUAGAAUGGUUUGGGCCUGAUGUGGAUCAAAACCUGAAGAAUACAGUGGCUCAGUAUCAUCAUAUAAGAUGUCUUUUUCUAUUACUUUCCCUUUAUUUAUCUUUUCUAAAGCUUUUAAAAUCUUGCUUAAUUUUUUUUUAAGUAUCUCAUGGGCUUUUUUUAUCCUUUCAAGACAAUUUACAUUAUCUUACUCCAUUUUUUUUGCUCUAGCUCAGUGUAGUACUGGUGUUGAACUAUCUUUAAACCUUAAUUUCUCACAAUUAUGGUGUAAAUUUAGAAUGAUGUUUAUGGAACUUUUAGAUUAUGCAUGAGAAUGAAAGCAGUGAUGUAUGAAUGCAUGCAUACACGACAAAAAAAAGGUUAGUAAGCAUAAUAUACAAGCUGCAUGUAUGUUUAUGAAUGUACGCAAGAUGAAAAGAAAUAAAAAGAUAAGAAAAUUGGUUAAUUACCUUAAUAAAAAAUAAGAAUAAACACUAUAAAGUAAGUAAAAUAGCAACAUGACCCUAAAUUUUGGGUUAACUAUAAAGGGUGAAAAGACAUGACUCUAUCUAUGGUUAGGCUCUGAAAGUUAACUAUAUGCGGUUUGGAUUACCUCUAAAAGGUUUUCAAAUUAUUUUUUACAUCAUAUUCCAUCACAGACUAGUAAAGCAUUUCGAUCCUCACCCAUUAUAGGCUACAAACGAAAAUGAUUCAAUUUGAGUGGGAGUGUUUCGUAAGUCUAUGCGAAGACAUGAAAUCUCAUGAAGGCAUAGGUACUUCACUCCUCAUAAAGAUAAAGCUUAGGUGGAGAGCUUAUACACAUGCAAAUGAAUGACAAAUAUAUAUAUAUAGGUGAAUAACUAAACAUAAUAUAAACAAUAUAAAGAAAAAAAUAGAAAAAAAAAGAAAAUAAUCUCGAAUUUAUUAAGCAAGGCUUGGAUAAUAAUAAAUCAUUUACUAGCCUGACUCUCAAUGUCUCCAGUUGAGUCGUCAAGCUGUCAUAACGUAUAGAUUUGUGGACCUAUUGCUAGACAUGGAUUAGAAGAGUCGUUAUCAAUAUUUUUUGUUUAAGUGUAAUUGGUCACCUAAUUGAAUCUGUCCUAUUUAAAGAGGAGUCUCAAAAUUGAUUUAGGUAGAUUCUGAUCUAUGAAACUAGAGUUUAGGUUUAAGAAUACGAUUACAUAUGAAAAAAGUUAUAGCACCCCCACAGUGCUCAUCUAAAAGAUGGUACCAGUUUGAUUUCAGAUUAUCCAAGCCUUGAUCAUAUUUGUAAUUUAUCAAAUUAUUUAAUAUUAAAAAUUAUUCUUAAAAUUAUUUCAAUAGUUUGGUAGCAAUUUAAGAUAGUUCUCUCACUUUAAGAGUAUUCAUAAAUAUUAGUAUCCUACUCUGAAAAGGCUUUGUCGUCGGAUUUAUUAAUUUAUUUUAUUUUAAAAAAAUUAAUAAAAUCUUUUAAUAAUUUGGUAGGACUUACUUUGAAGCAAAUCUCUCAAUAUUUUGAUGAGAUUUUAUUGUAAACAGAUUUGUAAAAAAAAUUUCAAAAUUUCAUUAAGUCUCCCAAUUGUUUGGUAAGAUUUAAUUUAGAAAGCAAUCCUCCAAUAGUUUAAAGGAUAAAAAUUAUUCUUAUUUUUUAUUUAUUUCUUUUUUAUAAUUUAUUUAUAAAAUUUUCCAACAGUUUAAUGGAUUCCAUAAUAUUUAAAUUUAGAAAAUCCUCCAAUAGUUUGGUGAGAUUCAUGGAUUUAUUUAAAAAAGAUUUUUUUUUUUUUUUACUUUUGUUACCAUUUUUCUUAUUUUUUCAAAAAAGAAUUUUUAUUUUGCAAAAUAUUUAAUAAAUAAUAAACUACUUAAAAAUAAAUUAAAAAAAUAAAACCAGCAAAAAAUAAAAAAAUCAAAAGAAAAUGAAAUCGAAAAACAAAUAAUAAAAAAAAACCUGUGAUUUAGGUCGGGUCAACAUGUGGGUCAACUUGUGGGUCAACACGCGUGUCGUAACGUCUAGAUCCGGGGAUCUAUCGCUAGACAUUGACUUUUAGGGAGUCGCCACCAAUCUUUUUUUAUCUAGGUGCGAUUGGUCACCUAAGGAAUCUGUCCUUUUAGGAAACACCUAAGUUUAAGGGUCCCUAGAAGAAUAGGUUCAGGUCUGCUAACCAGAACAAGGUUCGGGAGUUCGGUUACGUGUGAGAAAGGUUAUAGCACCCUCACAACGCCCAUCAAAAAAUGGUACCAGCUUGAAUUUGUGUUAUCCAAAAGCCUUAAAAUUUUACCAAGUAAUUAAUUAUUGGAAACUUUUCUCAAUUAACUCUAAUACUUUUAGCAGAAAAUUGAGAAAAUUUCCUCACCUCAAGAGUAUGCAAGAAAAACUACUGUUUCACUUACAGAGGCUCCGUCGUCGGAUUAUUUAAAAAAACAAAAUCAAAAUUAAGAUAGAAAGGAAGGAAAGAAUGAUUUUUUUUUUUUUUUAGGGAAAAUUGAUACUUUCAACUUUUCCCUAAAAAUAUUUUUUUUGAAAUUUAUUUUUGAGGAAAAUUGAUACUUUCAACUUUCCCCAAAAAAUAUUUUUGGAAAAUUUAUUUCUAAGGAAAAUUGAUACUUUCAACUUUUCCCUAAAAAUAUUUUUUUUUUGGAACUUUUGAUUUUUUUUAUUUAAAGAAAAAUAGAAAAAUAAAAAAAAUAAAAAAAGAAAAGUAAAACAAAACUAAAAAUAAAUAAAGAUAAAAAGAAUAUUAAAAUAAACCUAAUCUAAUAAAUACAAAUAAUAAAUAAACAAAUAAAACAAAUAAAAUUCAAAAAAAAAAAAAAAAAACCUGGAGCGGCUCGGCUAUAACGGCGCGGCUCGGCUCGGCUCAAGGAAGAAAAACGGCUCGGGGAGCGGCUUGGCGGCUUGGAUCGGCUCGGCUCGGCUCGGAGGGGGGCUGGCACGCGCGUGGUCAGAUUCGGGUCGACGCUCAGGGUCGGGUCGGGUUUACGGCAAAACGCGCGGAUCCUCUGGGUUAACUUAAGGCCAAAACGACGUCGUUUUGGGAGGGUAUAAAAGGCACCUUCCUCCGUUUUUCGGCAGAACGCUCCUCCCUCUCUCUCUCUUCUUCCCUUUUUCUCUCCCUUCUCUCUAAAAAUGAAGAACACCGGUGCGGAUUCUGGAAAUUCGCCGGAAUCUGGAAAUUUGCCGGAAGUUCGCCGGUUCUGGGAAUCGCCGGUUUCUGGGAUUCUUCGCCGGAAACUGGGCAGGUCGCCGGAAACUUCAAGUUGGCCGGAAUUUCGCCGGAAAAUUCAAAUUUCGCCGGAAAUUCACCGGAAACUGGAAAUUUCCAGAAAUUCCAGAAAAAAAUUUCGCCAAAAAUCUAAAAAAUUUCUUUUACUCCCAGAACACUCCUAAACCUUUUUAGCCUUCCUAUACGCCUCCUUUUCUCUCAAAUCAGUAGCUUUGCUUACUGUUUUCUGUGUGUUCACUGUUCCAGGAGGUCCUUUUAUAGGGUUGAUCAGGAGUUUCUGAUCAAUCCCAAUUCCUCCUUGGACGGGAAUUCAGUCUUUGAAUCCAACUGGACUCUUCUGAUUGAAUUCCCCUCCAGAGUGGGAUUCUUCAGCUUCAAUCUUAGCCUCCAAAAAAAUCAAAAUAAAUAAAAAAAAUACUAGAUAAUCAAAGAUAGAUAUAAAAAUAAAAAAAUAAUAUCAGAUAAUCAAAAAAAAAAUCAGAUAAAAUUAAAAUAAUAAAAAAAUAAAUAAGAUAAACCAAAAAUAUAUUACAAAAAAAAAAUAAUAAUAAUAAUAAAUAUAUAACUAUAUAAUAAAUACAUAUAAAUCUAAUCUAAUAAAAAAUAAAUAAAAGAUAUACAUAAUAAUAAUAAUAAUAAAUACAUAAAAUACAAAAGAAAAAAAGAAAAAAAAAAAUACAGGAUUGAAAUGGGCCUUACCCAUUUGGGCCAGGCCCAAUUGAUCUGGGCCCGGACCCAAUUGGGUGUCUACAGCUGCCCCUCUUUGCACAUUUUCUGUGAAACAGAAAUUGCGCAAAGACGUAGACACCCAAUCAAGACUCAACUCAACAUUUUUAUUUUUUUGAUUUUUUUUUUUUUUUUUGUUUUUUUGUUUUUUUUUGUUUUGUUUUUUUUUGUUUUUUUUUUUUUUUUUUGCCGAAGCUCCUCUAAACAGAGACUCAACGACUUUUGAAAGUAAAUUGCUCCUCUAAACAGAGGACCACGACUUUGAAAGUAAAUUGCUCCUCUCAACAGAGGCACCACGACUUUGAAAAUAAAUUGCUCCUCUAACAGAGGCACCACGACUUUGAAAAGUAAAUUGCUCCUCUCAACAGAGGUACCACGACUUUGAAAAGUAAAUUGCUCCUCUAAACAGAGGCAACGACUUUGAAAAGUAAAUUGCUCCUCUAAACAGAGGCACCACGACUUUGAAAAGUAAAUUGCUCCUCUAAACAGAGGCAACGACUUUGAAAAUAAAUUGCUCCUCUAAACAGAGGCACCACGANNNNNNNNNNNNNNNNNNNNNNNNNNNNNNNNNNNNNNNNNNNNNNNNNNNNNNNNNNNNNNNNNNNNNNNNNNNNNNNNNNNNNNNNNNNNNNNNNNNNNNNNNNNNNNNNNNNNNNNNNNNNNNNNNNNNNNNNNNNNNNNNNNNNNNNNNNNNNNNNNNNNNNNNNNNNNNNNNNNNNNNNNNNNNNNNNNNNNNNNNNNNNNNNNNNNNNNNNNNNNNNNNNNNNNNNNNNNNNNNNNNNNNNNNNNNNNNNNNNNNNNNNNNNNNNNNNNNNNNNNNNNNNNNNNNNNNNNNNNNNNNNNNNNNNNNNNNNNNNNNNNNNNNNNNNNNNNNNNNNNNNNNNNNNNNNNNNNNNNNNNNNNNNNNNNNNNNNNNNNNNNNNNNNNNNNNNNNNNNNNNNNNNNNNNNNNNNNNNNNNNNNNNNNNNNNNNNNNNNNNNNNNNNNNNNNNNNNNNNNNNNNNNNNNNNNNNNNNNNNNNNNNNNNNNNNNNNNNNNNNNNNNNNNNNNNNNNNNNNNNNNNNNNNNNNNNNNNNNNNNNNNNNNNNNNNNNNNNNNNNNNNNNNNNNNNNNNNNNNNNNNNNNNNNNNNNNNNNNNNNNNNNNNNNNNNNNNNNNNNNNNNNNNNNNNNNNNNNNNNNNNNNNNNNNNNNNNNNNNNNNNNNNNNNNNNNNNNNNNNNNNNNNNNNNNNNNNNNNNNNNNNNNNNNNNNNNNNNNNNNNNNNNNNNNNNNNNNNNNNNNNNNNNNNNNNNNNNNNNNNNNNNNNNNNNNNNNNNNNNNNNNNNNNNNNNNNNNNNNNNNNNNNNNNNNNNNNNNNNNNNNNNNNNNNNNNNNNNNNNNNNNNNNNNNNNNNNNNNNNNNNNNNNNNNNNNNNNNNNNNNNNNNNNNNNNNNNNNNNNNNNNNNNNNNNNNNNNNNNNNNNNNNNNNNNNNNNNNNNNNNNNNNNNNNNNNNNNNNNNNNNNNNNNNNNNNNNNNNNNNNNNNNNNNNNNNNNNNNNNCUCAAGAGUAUGCAAGAAAAACUACUGUUUCACUUGCAGAGGCUCCGUCGUCGGAUUAUUUAAAAAAAACAAAAUCAAAAUUAAGAUAGAAAGGAAGGAAAGAAUGAUUUUUUUUUUAGGGAAAAUUGAUACUUUCAACUUUUCCCAAAAAUAUUUUUUUUGAAAUUUAUUUUAAGGAAAAUUGAUACUUUCAACUUUUUCCCAAAAAUAUUUUUUGAAAUUUAUUUCUAAGGAAAAUUGAUACUUUCAACUUUUCCCUAAAAAUAUUUUUUUUGAAAUUUAUUUCUAAGGAAAAUUGAUACUUUCAACUUUUCCCAAAAAUAUUUUUUGAAAUUUAUUUCUAAGGAAAAUUGAUACUUUCAACUUUUCCCUAAAAAUAUUUUUUUUUGGAAUUUUGAUUUUUUUUAUUUAAAAAAAUAGAAUAAUAAAAAUAAAAUAAAAAAGAAAAGUAAAACAAAAUAAAAAUAAAAUAAGAUAAAAAGAAUAUUAAAUAAACCUAAUCUAAUAAAUCCAAAUAAUAAAUAAACAAAUAAAACAAAUAAAAAUUCAAAAAAAAAAAAAAAAACCUGGAGCGGCUCGGCUAUCGGCGCGGCUCGGCUCGGCUCAAGGAAGAAAACGGCUCGGGGGAGCGGCCUUGCGGCUUGGAUAGGCUCGGCUCGGCUCGGAGGGGGGCUGGCACGCGCGGGUCAGAAUCGGGUCGACGCUCGGGUCGGGUCGGGUUACGGCAAAACGCUCGGAUCCUCUGGGUUACUUAAGGCCAAAACGACGUCGUUUUGGGAGGGUAUAAAGGCACCUUCCUCGUUUUUUCGCAGAACCUCCCCCCUCUCUCUCUCCUUCUUCCUUUUUUCUCUCCCUUCUCUCUAGAAAUGAAGAAACCGGUGCCCGGAUUCCUGGAAAAAUUCGUCGGAAUCUGGAAAUUUUAGCCGGAAUUUCGCACGGUUUCUGGAUUAGUCGCGGUUUCUGGGGAUUCUUUCGCCGGAAACUGGGCAGGUCGUCGGAAACUUCAAGGUUGGCCGGAGAUUUCGCCGGAAAAUUCAAGUUUCGCCGGAAAAUUCAACCGGAAACUGGAAUUUCCAGAAAUUCCCAGAAAAAAAAAAUCGAAAAAUCUUCAAAAAAUUUCUUUUAGCUCCCAGAACACUCCUAAACCCUUUUUAGCCUCCUAUAUGCCUCCUUUACUCUCAAAUCAGUAGCUUUGCUCACUGUUUUCUGUGUGUUCAGCAUUGUUCCAGAGGGUCCCUUUUAUAGGGGUUGAUCAGGAACUCCUGAUCAAUCCCAAUUCCUCCUUGGAUGGGAAUUCAGUCUUUGAAUCCAACUGGACUCUUCUGAUUGAAUUCCCCUCCAGAGUGGGAUUCUUCAACUUUGAAUCUUAGCCAUCCAGAAUUAAAAUCAAAAUAAAUAAAAAAAAUACUAGAUAAUCAAAAGAUAUGAUAGUAUAAAAAUAAAAAAAUAAUAUCAGAUAAUUCAAAAAAAAAAAUCAGAUAAAAUUAACAGAUAUAAAAAAAAUAACAUAAGAUAAACCCAAAAUAUAUUACAAAAAAAAAGAUAUAAUAAUAAUAAUAUAUAACUAUAUACAUACAAUACAUAUAAAUCUAAUCUAAAUAAAAAUAAAUACACAAAGAUAUACAUAAUAAUAAUAAUAAUAAAAUACAUAAAAUACAAAAGAAGAAAAAGAAAAGAAAAAAAAAAUACAGGAUUGAAAUGGGCCUUACCCCUUUGGGCCAGGCCCAAUUGAUCUGGGCCCGGACCUAAUUGGGUGUCUACACGCGGGCUAGCGGGUCUAAGCAUAGAUCUUGGUGUUCCAAAAUGCAAUCGUUUUGGAAUAUUAUAUAAGCCAAUCUGCCCAUUUCUCCUUUAGAAGCCCCUUUGCUCACUCUCUCUCUAAACCAAAGAACGCUCUGACCUUUUUUAGAAAGGCCCAAAGCUUUAAUCGAAAACUAGAAAAAACUCAUUGAUUUCUAGAUUUUUGUCAGAAUCCCGCUGAAAACUUCUACUUUUAUCAAAAAAAUUCAACCGAAAAUUUUAUGUUUUUCUUAAAAACCUAAAAAAAAAAAAACUAGGAUACCCCAAAUUUUUUAGAAAAAAAAACCUAAACUCUUUCCAAAAAAUCCUAGAAUUCUAAUCCCCGCACUCUAGAAUAAAAAUUCAGAACCUAAAUCUUUCCCAAAAAUUUCAAACUAAACCCAAAAUUUUCAAAAACCAAAAUCUCAUAAACCUAUUUUCUGCCCAAAAACUAUUUCCAAGAUAAUGGCUAGAUUUCCACCAAACUUUUCCUUGUAUAAUCAUAAAAUUCCUCUUGUAUGUUCUUCUGUAAUGUUAGUUCAAUUUAUAGGCAGCCUUAAAAUAGAUUUUAAGAAAUUGAUAAAAUCAAUCUCAGGCUUGAAUCUUAGGAUUAGAUUCUGCCCAAACCCCAAAUUAAGUCUAAGUUUUUUAUUGAUUUUUUUAUUGAUCCCAAAAAUCCUCCUUUUGACUUCAUUGAAUUCUAAGUUUCAGUUUCAAUUACGCAGGUUAGGAAAGAAAAUCGAAGAGAAAAUAAAUAAAAUAAAUAAAAUAAAAUUAAAAAGUAAAAUAAAAAUAAUAAGGAUAAUAAUAAUAAUAAUAAUAAUAAUAAUAUAUUAUAGUAUAAUAAUAUGAUAUAACAUAUAAAUCAAUAAUAAAAAUAAUAGCAAUAAAAAUCGGUUCAAUAGACCUCGAACAUAAAUGGGUGUCUCCAACUAGUUUCCCUUUAUCAACUCCUCAAAAGAUCCCAACCCUCGAAAAUCUCGACUAGCACCUGGCUGCUUCUUUUUGGGAUCUUUCUGGCAUUGUUUACCUUACCAUUCUCGCCUUCGGACAGCCUAUCUGUCGAUUUAAUAGCUGAAAGCUUCGGGCAUUUCCUGACUUGAUGUGGAUCAGUACAAAAAUAACAACUCAAUGACCCCUUGUUCUUACUGGUGACUCUAUUGAUCUUAUAAAAUAUGGGCUUUCCCAUGGCCUUUUCCUUCCUUGAGGAAUAAACACUAGUGUCUCACUCACUCUAACCUUUUUUUUUUAUCUUAAAGACUUGAUACACUCAUCUUGAGUCAGUGAUUCUACAAUAACUCUAGCUUGACUCAACUCCUUCAUGCCUAUUCGUUGUUGCUUAGCCUUACCUAAGGCUUUACUUCAUCGAUGAAAUGCUUAGGCACUUUCAUUCUAGGUCUCAAGCCUGCACUAGCAACCAGACAGCUCGUAAUGCAAUAUGGUCAAUGUUGAACCUGGCUAGCUCCUCUUGCAAGGUUGACACCAUGAACUCUAAUGCCUUAUUAUGCUGUAUGAGCUUCUCCAUUGCCUUAUUAAGGAUCUUUUAAUGUCUUUGAAUCGAUUUGUUAUCUAAAAAAGCCUUUCCCGCUUAUCUGUAGGUAGGCACUCCUCGAGCAUUGCACUUUGACCCUUUGUUUAGUUUUUCCUAGCCAUGCCAUAGUCUAAAAGCACACAAAUUGUUAGACGACAAAUACACAAACCAAAGGAUUACUUCAACUCUAAUAGGCACUCCAAUGAUUCAAUUCUGGUCCUCGUAAACCAUAAUGCACCUAGCACACUAUAGAACACAACAACGAGUUGUCAAGCACUUGUUCUGUACUUUAGCAUGCUUGCACCUAGCACACCAUUAGCGUUUUACUAAUAUACGAGCAUAAUAGCCCUUUUAGGAUGUUCGUAACAUGUAGCAAAUCGUCUGUACCAUAUAGUAAAAUAUUCUCACACACAGUAAGAUGUCUGUACACACAGUAAGAUACCUGCAUAACUCACCACAAUGCUUGCACCCACACCAUGAUGCCUACACGUAAGUCCCUCAACCUGCAUUGUUGCCAACUCUUGCUCUCCAACCAAUUCUAGCUCUUAUGCAACUCUGGCUCCUCUUAUCAUGAUCAGGGAUAUGUUGUACAUUCCAAAUCAAAGCUCUAGUCAUCACUUCUGGUCUAAUACAGGCUUUAAUAUCCCUGGUAUUUAGUUCUACCACCUACUUCUAACUCUCUUGAAUCAAGCUCUGAUACCACUUGAUAUUAGACUCUAUGGCCUACUCUUACCUCUCUCGAACUAAGCUUUGAUGCCACUUGAUAUCAGACUAUGUGGCCUACUUCUAACUUUUCUGAAUUAGGCUUUGAUAUGAUUUAUCAUAAGUCGAGAUUCAAGCUCCAAGGUCACACCACUUUAAGACACGAUGAUGGACUCUUUUGUAUCUCAGAUCAGCCUAACAUAAGAAAUGAUGCACAAACACUUUAGACUACAGGGCUUGGCUGCCUAGCACAUUGUAAAAUGAAAGGCCACAAUAAGUGCCUGAAGAAAGGUUAACAAAAGAACAAUAGAAAGAUUUAAGACAAAAGUAAGGAUGUUAUUACUCAAUGAUUUUAGUUUUUUCCCUCUAUGCAUAUGAUGGUAGGGGACUUUUUAUUUAUAGCUGAGUCUCUCUUACAAUUAGUGUCAAGAUACAUGUCUAAACUCUAGAGAUUAUAUUAGUUUAAAUAUCAUUAUUUUAAGAGAUAUGAUACAGUUUUUGAUUCUAAGAGAUAUGAUGUUGCAGCAUAUUCUCAGCAUCUUUGAUCCAAUCUUAGUGAAAAUUCAUCAUGAACAAUUCUAAGCUCAUGCUCAGCAUCGUUCGCACCUAACCUUGUACCCUUACCCAUACUUGGGCCAGCCUGACUCAGUGUUGCUAACUUUGAUUAUCUAAGGUCUGUGUUCAAGCAUGCUCGCACCUGGGCCCGAUCGUGUGCCUGCACCUCUAUCAUCAGUGCUUAUGCCUGGGUUUGAUUGGGUGCUCACACAUCGUUUACCAGUACUCAUUCUCGGGCUUGGCUCAAUCUUGUCGAAUCUAAACAUUUUCCCUGAGUCUCUGAAGCCUUGAUCACUAUCCAUACCAUUGUUUUAGGCUUGUUCCCCGUGACCUAGACCUCUCGUGCACCUCUAAGCCUGGUUCCUUUGGCUGUCAGACUUUAUCCUAUUAGAACUUGAACUGCUAUUCAAUUCAAAAAGAACCCUUAAGCUUAAACCAGUUUGUGGACCAUGACACAAGCAGUUACUUCAUGCAUUCAAAAUAAAUUCUCAUCAGUUUGGUACAAACUUUGAUUUAUUAAAAUCCUUUUGCACAUGUAUAUAGUCGUCCUUUAAACUACAAAAUUUGUCAAAAAGAUGACAAUCUCCUAAGAGAAAAAAAAACAAAGUAAUGGUAUAGCUAAUUUUUAUCCUUCAUAUUGAACAAUGUAAGAAAAUUAAAAAAAAAAAGUAAAAAUCAAUGAAAUUGGACUAGGCUUACGGGUGUAAAUGAGAUAUAUGUACUUGCAAGUUAUUCGGGCUCGAUUCAAAAAUAAACUCAUAUUCGAUUCGAUUAUUGUUUAGUCGAGCUCAAGCUUGAGUAGCUCAAUUUAUUGAACGAGCCAAAUUUGAGUAUUUUAAUAUCUGACUCGAGUGAUUCGCGAUCCUAAUCGAGCUUUUUUUUAAUAUAUAUUUUUAAUAUUUUAUUACUAAUUUACUUUUUUACCUUUAAAUAUAUAUAUAUAUAUGCAUACUUAAAAACCCUAAAAGACAUUUGGUUCACAGAAUUAUAGAUUCUGAGAGAAAGUGUGAUCCCCUAGAAAAUACGAAACCUAAGGUUUUCAUUUAUUUUCAAGGCAUCCUGUGUUUAGAUUCACUCGUUUGAUUGGAGGGAAUCUACAUAUAUUAAAUCCUGAAUAAUUACUAUAAUCUCAUUGGCAUAUAUGAUGAAAACUUAAAUAAUUUAACUUUUAAUUGAAGGGGAUUAUUCAUGGCGUUUUAAGCUUGAAAACGUUUUGAAUAAUUUUUUCAAAAAAUUUUUAUGAAGGGAUUAUUAAAGGCAUUUUUGGCAAAAAAAUGCCUUUAAUAAUCCAUUCUAAUUUUAUUUUACUAAGGGAUUAUUCAAGAGAUUUUUGACAAAAAAUACCUUGAAUAACCCCCAUUCAAUUUUUUGUAAAAGAAUAUUCAAGGCAUUUUUGACAAAAAUAUACCUUGAGUAUUUCCUUAAAAAAUUGAAUUACAUUAUUCAAAGUGUUUCUAGUCAAAAACGCUUUGAAUAAUCCCUUCGUAUUUUUUAUAUGAAUUAUUUAAGGCGUUUUGAGUAAAAAACAUCUUGAAUAAUCCUUUAAAAAAAUUGAAUAAGAUUAUUGAAGGUAUUUUCUAGCCAAAGAUGCCUUGAAUAAUCUCCGUCAAUUUUUGUGAGUGGAUUAUUUAAGGCAUUAGCCAAAAACACCUUGAAUAUUCUAUUAAAAAAAUUGAAUGAGAUUAUUCAAUGCGUUUUUUUACCAAAAACAUCUUCAAUAAUCUUCUCAUAAUUUUUUUAUAGAUUAUUGAAUGUAUUUUUUACUAGAAACAUCUUCAAUAACUCGAUUUUCAUUUUUGUAAGAGAUUACUCAAGGCGUUUUCUAAGGAAAAAUACCUUGAAAAAUCCCUAAUACAAAAAUAAAAAAAAUUAUUGAAGGCUUUUUUACCAAAAAUACCUUAAGUGAUUACCUUAUAAAAAUUUAUGAAAGUAUUAUUGAAUGUGUUUUUGAUUAUAAACGCUUUCAAUAACCUUAUUACAUUUUUUUUAGGGAUUAUUAAAGUCAUUUUUAUCUAAAAAUACUUUGAAUAAUUACCUCAUAAAAAUUUAUGAACUUCUAAUUUCGUUAAUUUCGACUGUUUUGAACUUUGUCAUUUUAUCUUUCAUUUGCAUAUUCAAGUUGGAUUGAUUGUUGUAUUGAGUUAUUUAUUUAUUUUUAUGAUAUUAUUUUGAAAUAUAUUAGAUUUAAUUGAUACAAAAUAUUUGUAUUAAAAAAUCUUAAUUUGAGUUCAAAUUCAAGCAUCAAUAAUCAAAUUUAAAAUUGAGUAUAAAAUUAAACUUAUUUUUUAUUGAUAAAUGAGUCCAUUCGAAUAAAUUUGAGUAAUUCAAUUUUGAUUAUAAAUUAAAUUCGAAUUAAAAAAUAAAAUUCAAUCGAAUUUAAAUUAAAUAUUAAAUCACAAAUUAAAAAUCAAGCAUAAAUUUAAACUUUUUAUUAUAUCAUGUCGACUCAAUUUUAUUACACUCUGGCCAAGGUGAGAGAACUUAGCAAGACUUUUGAACUUUGAAGUAAAACGUGGAGACCCUGUCCUCCACUCCAGGACUUUGUGGCCAGCAAGCGAUUUCAUAAUUCAUAUGCUUUAAAUCUUGUCCUUCAAAUUUGACAUCAAUUCUUCGGAGCUGGACACUUUUCUGUUUAGUAGGUAGCAACAUGAGUGAACUAGAAAAGUCCAAAAGGGUUAACAAAAAAAUUUUAAGUAUAUGAAAAUCAUCCAAAAAAGUGAUUUACUAUAAAUAAUGAGGAUUUAUUUCAAUAGAAAUAGAAUAGUUACUAUAAAAAUGUUAAAAAAUUAUUUUAAUAUUUAAAAUAUAAAAUUAUUUCAAUAUUAUUAAUAUUUUAAUAUUUCUAACCAUAUACUUUUACUUAAAAUUAACCAAAAUAGUUAUUUGUAAAUAUAAUAAUAUUUCAAGCUAAGUCUAAACCUAAUGUUUUAAUGUUCGGAUUGAAGGUUGAACUGAUUGGAUGUUCAUUCUCGAUUCAAUCAAUUUAAUUGGGACAUUAAUUAUACUUUAAAUACAUUAUUUAUUAUUAAAUAUGACAAACAUUUGAUAAAUAAAUACAUUUGAUUUAAUGGUUAUUAGGUUAAUGUAACUUUAAAGUGAUUAGAUUCAAAUCUUAUCUCUUACAAAAUAUUUCCAAAGAAUAAUUAAUAAUUUAAAUAAUAAAAUAGAUCAAAUUUGAAUUGAUCAAAUUGUGAUCCAUUCGUGAUCGAUUCAAUAUUCAUUUAUUUUUUCAAAUUUUAGAAUCUUAUUGACAAUUUAUUAUUGAUUCAAUUACUCGAUCAAAUGAGAUUAUGAUAAUACUGCCUUAAUCUAAUAAAUUUUAUCAAAGACUCAUCUUGUAAAAUAAAUCUAAUUUGAAAGAAGGUUGGUUUUAUGUUUGAGUUGGUUUGAAAAUUGUUUUUUCUUUAAAAAAAAAUCUUUUUUUUCAAGUUUUCAAGUUAUUUUCAGGUGUUUGACAAAAAAAAUUUAAGUUGAACUUAAGUGAAUUUUCAUCUUGUUUUCUGUCAAACCAGUAUAAAAAAUUGUAAAGUUUAUUUUUUACAAAACAAAUAAAACCUAAAAGGAGAAAAAAUUUUAGACACUCUUAGGUAGUUAUUGAUACCAUUUUUAAAAUUACUGUAAUGAUCUAAUUAUCAUAUUUAAUAUAAUAUUUUUAAAUCAUUGUGUUUAGUACUAUUAUAAAAAAAAUAAAUCAUAUAGUAUAAAAUAUCAAAAAUAAUUUUUAAAAAAUAAAAUAUUUAAUAUUUAUUGAAUCAAUAAUUUAUAAAAUAAUUAAAUAUUAUAUUAUAAAAAACUACAAAAUAUAAAUCAAUUUUGAUAAAAAUAAUUUUUAAAAAAGCUAUUAAAUAAAUUUAUUUUUUUAAUCAAUAUAAAUUUAUAACAUAAAAAAAUUUUUAGAAUAAGUAAUUAAAAAUUUUAUUUAAAAAAAUUUUUAAAAAAAUUAAUGACUUGCUUCUUAAAGUAAUGUUAAUUAUGUUUUUUGUGAGAAUAAAAUAGUCAAAAAUAAUAUUAAAAAUUAUUUUUUAUAUUGAUAAUUUUUUUUUAUUUUUUAGUUUAGAAUCAAAUCAUCCUCUUAAACAAUAAUUUUAUUAUUUUAAUGAUUUAAAAUUAUUAUCACAAAAAAAUUUUAAAUUAUUAUAAAAAAAUAUAAUUGUUAAAUAUAAAUCACUAUAAUUUUUAAAUAAAUCAUACCAUACUAAAUACUUUUUUAAAAUUCUAAUAAACUCUUAGCAUAAAAAAAAUAUGACAAACAGUAGAUUAAUCUUAAUAAACAUAAAAAAAAAAAAAAAGUUUUGAUUGAUGGUCUAAACUUAAAAAAAAGGUUUUGAUUGAUGGUCUAAACGUGUUCAAAAAGACAAAAAAAAAAAAAGUUUUGACUGAUGGAAAUUUAUGGGUAAAAAAGAAAAAAAAAAGUGCUUUGAUUGAUGGUCUAAAGAUGCUUAUGGAUCAAUUCUCCCGAGACUCAACUGAUACAUUAAAAACUAAUUUGUUUUUUAUUAAGUUGGUUCGAUUAACUCAUUUAAAAUUUAUUUAUUAUUAGCAUAUUUUUACAUUAAUUUUUAUAUUUUAAAAAUUAAAAUAAAAUUAUUAUUUAUUUAUUAACAAAAUAACAUCACGAACUGACUGCACCGGACCGUAACCUGCAAGUAGUCAGAUCCGUGAACAGUGUAAGUAAUAUAAAUUAGUAAUUUUUUAAUUUUUUUCGAAAUAUUAAUAAUAAAAUAAUUUUUUCUUCAUUGCUCCUUUCAUAAUUCCCUGAAUGAAAGGACCGCCGGGUGCCACGAAUAAUAGUUUGCAGUAGCAUAGUUGGAAGACAUGUCAUGAUACACAGCCAAUAGAGCCACGUGGUUUGACUUUAUAAGUUAAAACACUUGUUUACUCUGUUGCCGCGCCUGGGUUUUCGGUCUUGCUGAAGAUAUACUCAAAGCACUUGGACUGUUUGACAUGAUGAAAGCUGAUCCACUCAACCUCAAGCUUUCUUUCAUAUCCAAAAAGAAGAUUAGACAGAAACCAACUCAUCAUUACUCUUGAAGACAUUGUUUUUGUUUUUUUUUUUUCUUUUAUCCUGACUCUCUUGAGGCAGAAUUAUUCAGCCAUGGUACACCGACAAAUUCAACUGAUUUGUUAGCCUCUCACUCUGCCACAACGAUGAAGGUGAUGAUGCAUCCAAAAUCACCAUACUUCUGCAAUAUGGACUGACAGCUGGAUAUCACAAUCCUUAACCCUUGCACAUUCUAAUGUAGGGAAGCAUAAUUAAUAGUAGAAAACAGACUUGAAUUAUAUUUUUGUAUAUUUAUUCAUAAAAAGCCAGAAUCAAUGGUAUGCAUUCUUCGGGGCUCAAUCUUUGGAUAACCCCUCUUUCAGAAGAGCAAGCUUCAGUUGUAAUUAAGGUGGCUAAUUAUCUACGAAUUUAUAUUUGAUAUUGUUAAUAUAUAAUUUUUAUAUAUUAUUAAUAAAUUAAAUAAUAUUAUUUUAUUAUUAAAUUAAAUUAAAUAAUAUUAUUUUUUAAUAAAUAAUUUUUUAAAAAUAUUAAUUUUGAUAUAUUUAUUUUAAAAAUUGAUAUUUAUUUAUUAAUAAACUAAUAUUAUAUAAUUUAUUAAUAAUAUAAAAAAAUUAUAUACUAAUAAUAUAUCAAAUAUAAAUUAAUUAUUUAUGAUUGGUAGUUACAAAUCCUGAAUUUUUGUCAUUUUUUGGCUAACCUACGUAAUUAAUCUCUAUCAAUAUUAUUAUCCGGCAUAAUGUGACAAAGAAAAGAAAAAUGAUGCAGAAGAGAUUGCAAUCAAAUGAAAAAAAAAAAAAAAGUUAUCGAUAAAUGCUAUUAUUAAUGUAGAACAAAACUUACAUGAUGUUUUUUAAGUAAAAUUUAUAAAGUUUUUUUUAAAUGAAUUAAUAAAAAUUUCAAAUUAAUAAAUUAAUAAAAUUUAAUAUGAAAAUUAAUAAUAUUUAAAAAAUUAUUAAAAAUAUUGUUUAUAAUUCAAAUUUUAUUACAAUUUAUUCAAUGGUAAAAAUUUUAUUAAUAUUUUUAAUACAAAUAUCUAUCUUAAAAUAUAUAUAUCAAAAUUUUUUAAAAUUUUGUAUAUUUAAUUUAUAUAACAAAAUUUUUUAAUUUGUCUUCAGCUGCUUCAUAUAACGGUCAAAACAGCAUUAAAAAAAAUAUCAAUGUCGGAGUUCGAACCCCAAUAUUCUCCCCUCCCCUUUAAUGUAAGGUUCUAUCCCCUUUAAAUGAUCAAAAAAAAAUUUUAAUUUAUCAAUUUUAUUUUUUAAUUUAAUUAUUUUUAAUAAAAAUUUUACGAAUUUCACUAAAAAUACCUUUACCUAAAAUUUUCUUAUUUAGUGCAUGCAUCGUCCUACAAACCGAUCAUAUACAAUGAUAUUUGCAAACAGCUUCUUACUAUUAUUGUUAGGACAAUAAAAUCAUCGUCCUUAAUUUGCCCAAAUACUAUAUGCAUAUCAUAUGCGUCUCAGUAAUUCAGUAUAUGUCUUUGGUUUUUGCAAAUGGUAAAUUUAAAAAUGCCAUGUUCCAGAAUUUAAUUCCUAUGAGUAUAAUAUAGCAAUAGUAGGAUAUGUUUCUUAAGAAAGAAGAAAAUAAAAUAAAUAUUUAUAUCUUCUAUAUAACUGGACUACUUACUAGUAUAGAUUUUUUCUUUAUCUUGUAAAUUUUAUUUAAGCUAACAAAAAAUAUUUUAUAUUCAUAUAGUUGUUGUGUAUAUAGAACUACUAAUUAAAUACUAUAUAAUAUAAAGUUUGUUUAGUAGUUUGGCUUUUAGGGUAUGGAUUAAUAAUUGAAUCUCCUAAGAUUAAAUUUUCUUUUUUCUAGUAGGUAAUACUACUAAUACUUUUGUCUCUAACGAGAAAACUGAGCCGUCGUCCAUAAAUAUUUAAUUCAAUAAUUAAUGUCUUCAUUAAUGCAAAGAUUAAAGUUCACAAAUUUUUUAAUUUACAAAAGAGUUGUUAAUAGUUACUAGUAGUAAUGUUUAAUUUUUUUAUUUGAUUAGGGGCAGGGGGAUUAAGAUAAUUAAUUAUAUUUACACAACUUAAGUGAUUAGUAGAACAAAAAUACAAAAAUAAUAAUAAAAAUAAAAAUGAUAUAAAAAUAACUACAUGUCAUGACUCAUGCGUUUUAAAUAUAAAAAUCACGUGUUCAGAAGAAAGAACUACAAUGCACUGUUUACUUUAGAAUUUCUCAUUGAUAAUUGAAAGUUGUUGACUUCUUGGUGGUGUGUGAAAUUGAGCUUGGAAAAUCUGUUACUUGGCAUCCCUUUGUGACUAUAGUCUAGCAAAAAUAGGAAAGACCACAAAUCAUAAAAAAAAUUCGCUUUACCCUCCUUGAUGAUCGUUAAUUAUUUUAGAGUUAAUAAACCGUUCGGUUUACUAGUUUUAAGCUAGUGUGAUACAUGCAUUGGUAUGCAAUUAUAUAUAUGUAAAUAUAUUUAGUUAUAAUAUAAUUAAUAAAUGUUAUAUAAGAAUUAAAAUUUUAAUGUAAAUAAAUAAAAAAAUAUUAUUAAAAAUUAAUAUAUACCUGUAACAAAAUAUAAGAAAGAUACUUUUCUAUCAUAUACCAUCCAUUAAUAGGAUGUUUAAGCAAAAGCCCAAAAAUGUUUUAUUCCUGAAACUUACUCCAUUUAAAAUCAAUCUCAUGUACAAAUUCUUUUCAACGGAGAUUAUUUUAUAACUUGUUCUGAUGAAAAAAGUUGCAAUUGAUUUUUAAAUGUUUUUUUAUUAUAUAUGAUGUAAUUAUUAUUUUGCUUGAUGAUUCAAUAAAUUCCAAAAGUGUAAAUGAAUUAACAGAUAAGUAAUUAUAAAUGAUAAAGUGGACUAUUUAUUUUAUUUAUUUUAAAUGCACGAAUAAGUUGUACUUUCAAAACUAAAUUAAUUAAUAUAACUUUUUUAUUUAUAAUAUAACUUUUUAUGACAUACAAAAGCCUAAACCAGUUUAAACCUACGUAUCUCUUUCAAAUAAUUUACGACUCAAUUUUAAGAUUAAUAUUUUUUCCCACUACUUAUUAAGAUUAACUUUUGAUAAACAUCAAUUAGUUUAUAAAAUAAAAUAAUUUUUUGAAAAUAUCAAUAUUGAGUUUGAAGCAUAUCAUUUAAAACUGAACAGCAUAAAAACAUUAAUUUAUUAAAAAUGACAAAAAAAAGCUAGUAUUAAUUAAUAAAAAUCAUCUAACUUUUUUACAAUAAAAAAUGAAAAACCGAAGUUGCUACGUGCAAAGUACUCUCUCAUUCUGAAAUAGCAAUUCUCUUUUUCUAGCUUUUAUACAUCAUUUGAUAUAGGAGUUUGGUAGCCUUUGGGAGAGGGAAAUUCUAUUAAAAUUAACGUGAACUCUCUCACUGGAAUGAAACUAACUAACUAACUAACUAUAUAUGUAUGUAUUUAUAUAUAUGUAUAUAAACUAUAUACACACACAUGAGCUCUUCCUGCGUAAUUAAUUAACCAACACUGUCUCUUGACAAUAUUAAUUGAACUUAUUAUUUUCCAGUCAGAGAGUUGCGAUCAUCGAGAUAGUGCUGGUAAACGUAGGAAACAAAUCCCCAUACAGCCAAUACCAUGGAAAUGACCUUAAUUCCAGUCAUUGAAUCGUGGAAAAAUAUGAUUGCCGAGAUUGGAACAAUGGGUAGCCCUAGAGUGCUGAUGACGUUUGAGAAAAGUGAGGAGACUUCGAAGAUCAACCCCACCGCACCAAUUGAGAAAACAUCCCAAGCUAUAGCAAUCCAAACUAGAACCAUCACGUAGGAUACCUUUCCUAGUUCAAACCUUUCCAUUUCUCUCUUAAUACUUUUCCAGUCCCCACUAGCGAAAAAUCCCACGAGGAUUAUCAAAGUUGCAACCAGUGAUUGAUAGAUUAUCAUGUCUAAGACAACCUUGAAUGUUUGUUUCUUCAAAACCUUCUGGAAACAGAGUUGUGUUAAAGACACCAUUAAUCCGUACCCAGCUGAAGCAGUAACGGUACAUACAAAUCCGAUUACAUACUUUCCUUUGGAAACAUGAUUGGAUCCACCAGAGGAAUCGUUUUGGAAUACAAGAAGGAUAGAAGAGAUAGUAAGGAGGACAAGGGAGUUGAUUAUGAAAGCAGUGAACUUUUGUGAGGAAGAAGGAAAACAAGGCAUUGAAGGCUAACUGAGAAGCACAAAUGAGGGAAUAAGUGGAGACCGGAAGGUAUAAAAGCCCAAGUGAAUACAACAGGCAAUCUGCUGCCAGAAGUACUCCAAGUGCAACAUACAUAGCUGACAGGACUAAAACAGACGGUGGUUUUGUUAUUAUUAUGUUGCUGCUACUGUUUUCUGUUGAAAUUUUAUAUGAUGAAAGGUAAUACAAGGGAAUGAGAAUUGGGAAGCCCCCAGGUUGAACUAGGGUUGCCAUCCACUUGCUGUUUCCACCUUUGUUAUAGUACAGUCUUCCAAGAAGUGUAGCCACUGACUGGCCAGCGAGGAGAAAGGAUGAAUAUAUUGCCAUUAGGAUCCACCAUUUAUAGCUUCUAUGUUGAGUGAUUGUCGACUGGCUACUUCCAUUUCUUUGCUCAACCAAAUUUGCAUCUGCUUUGUCUUCCUGAACUGUUAAAGAAUAUAUGCAUGUUAAAAUUUAGAAGCUUACCAUAUACAAUAAGAAAUCUCAUUAUAAUUAAAUUGAUUCUUGAAUGAAAAUUAAUGAUGGAUUGUCUUCAAGAAUACUUCUGUCUAGAGAAAGUCAGUAUGAAAGGCCACCGAAGGAAAAGGAAAUAAUUGGUUUUGUAGCUUAUUCUAAAUAGGAAGAGAAAUGUUAAUUUUGGAGCAGUAUUAUAUGACUGGUACCAGAGGGAGUUGGUUUCCUAAAGCUAAAAUUUUUCAAGUUUGGAGCAGAGACAAUAGGAAAAUACAAAUCAUAUACAUAAACAUAUAUAGUUCACUAAAUGCAUGUUUCCAAGCAUGAUCAUCAAAUCACAUAGAUCAAUAAUUCCCCUAGGAGAAUCCAAGGAAAAAUAAUUCCCCUAGCUAGGAGGACCAUUCUGCAAUAUUGACUUCAGAAUUCAGGGGGGGUACUUUAAUUCCACCUCUGAUUUGUCAACAAAAAGUAAGCAUCAUACUAGUUUAGAAAGAAACAGGAAAGAAAUUAGAAGCAUCUCUGUAUAUAGUAGCACAAGGAAAUCAAAUCUUUCAACUCAUAAAACACCAUCAUAAUAAUCUAAAUUACAAUGGAAGGAAAAACAAUGAGAACUGUGUGUUUCUAGGUAUCUUAAUGGUUUGUUUUUGGAUACGAAAGAGAGAGGUAUGGCUUACCCAUGAUCUUGAGUUGUAUUUCUGGUUCAGCUUCCCCAUGUCAAAAGUUUUUUGAUUACAUCAAUCAAGAGCAAAAAAAGGCAGAAGGUGAAAGAGAGAAAGAAAAUGUUAUAAAUGAAAGCAAAUGGCUUUUUCCUACCUAGCUCGAGCAGUAUUCAUGGGUCCAAUUUCAUAGAUUUUUUUUUUUUUUCAUUUUUACACUAUUCAAAGCUUCAAAACCUCUCAAUCACCGUCCUUGUCGAAGUUUAUUACAAAUUCAUUGCUUGUUAUACAAAAGACAAAUUAAGACAAAAACAAAAAUCACAUGAAAGAAACAUUAUUGUUUUGUUCUUUUCUCUUAGGAGACCGGCUGAGCAUUUAUUUUGAAUGCUUACCUUAACAAGAACAUUCAACUACGUGGAUCUCAUGAAUUAAUUAUAUUAAUUUUUGGAUUAUUCUAUUAUAUAUGUAAUCAAGAUAAAUCAGCAAAAAUUCAUUACCAAAGAGAGUAAGAAAAUUGAUGACUGGUUAAAGAAGAGCAAAAUUAUGGCAGGUUUUGCCAUUUAAUUCAUUAUCCUAAUUAAAUAUCAAUGUUUACUUUAUCUAUAAAAAUGAGACAUGAAGAUUAAAGUUGGAAUUGGUAAGAGUUUGCUUCAUUAGCCAGAAAUUCUGAGAGCUUUAUGACACUGCAUUAAUAUAGCCACUGUUAGCCUGUCAGUGGACGAUACUGUCCCAAGUUAGUAUUGACGAUGACUAGUUUUGAUAAAAUUGUACGUCUUCAUUAAAGGCAAAGAUAAUAUAGCCCUUUGGGGACUCUAUUCCAAAUUUAUUUAGGCCACAUCUCAAAAUCAUAUUUUUUUAUUUUUUUAAAUUUUAAACUACCUAAUUAAAAAAACAAAGAUUUUACACUAAAUCCUUCCAAAUUUGUAACUUUUAAAAUUUUAAUCAAAAUGUAACUAAUAAAUUCAAUAUAUAUUUUUAAAUUUUUGUAAAUAUUUAAUGAGACAUUCUAACUAGUACAUUUGUAAUAAAUUUUUUAUUUUAAACAUCAAUUAUUGAAUAAUAUAAUUAUUACAAGAAGAAAGAUCAUGAAGAGUCGUUUACGAUUCUUCUCUUUAGAAAAAAUUUAAAAAAUUCACACUCUUUUGAUCACAUUAUAUUCCAGGUGACCCUCUUCCAAUUUAGACAGACCCUCUUGUGGGGUUGUUAUACACUGAACUAAGUUUUAAUUUAUGCAUGGGUUUUUCUUUUCGGAUCAAAAAUAUAUAUAUAUAUAUAUAUAUAUAUAUCUAGGCCUUUGCCAUGAGAUAUAUGCUUCUUUGACUCUACUCCAAUGUCCCUUGUCGACUUUGCGUUACUCACCCUUCUUCGCCAUGAUAUUAAUUUAAUUACUUUGCUUUGUAAAUGUUUAAACAGGGACUGACUGUUUCAAUUUAUUUAAGUUUCAUUGAUGAGAUUGAUUCAAAAAUUAAAAAUAAUAAUAAUAAUUAAUAUAAUUACAAUUAAAAAAAUUAUAAUAUAAUAAAAAAUAAAAUAAAUUUAUUAAAUAAAUUUUAUUAAAAUUAAUAUUUAAAUUUAAAUAAUAAUAUAAUAAAUUUAAUUACAUCAAGUGCGAGAAAUUCAAAUCGACCUUUAGUUUACUAGGGUGAAACCGAUAAAUGGGGGGCUGAAACGUGUUUGUGAUCAUCAUGUAUCCUCAUUAUUAAAACAGCUGGAAGUCUGUUUCUUUAAGAUUUUUGGCUAACUUUUCUCCGAAAAAAUCUUUCCUGAUGAUUCCGGCAGUGCUAUAUUUGCUCAACAGUCAACGUUCAAAAUCUUAUUUAAUGAUGACGUACAGAUUCUUUCCUCCUGUUCGUUUCACACAGCUUUCUUUCUACUGACUUGUCAAACAUAAAAUUUUGCGGGCAGGAAAUUAUUUCAUUUUAAGUUCAAACAUUUAAAAAGAAAUUUAUAUUAAAUUUAUAAAUUACUCACAAAAAAUAUUACUAACAACAGAAAUCAAAUUUAAAUAUAACUAAUCCUCAACAAAUUUGUUAGUCAUCAUAUCGGUUAAAGAAUAAUUUAUUUCUGAAACCAUAUGUUUUUCAAUGAAUUUAUGGUCUAUAUAUAUAUAUAUAUAUAUAUAUAAAUAGACAGUCAAGGAGAUGGACCUUCCAUUCAUUUCGAGGGCCAAGUCAGUUGAAAGCAUCCAUUGAUCAUGCGCAUAAAGUAUAUAUAAAGACAUUUCAUAAUAAUGCAAAAGGUUAAUUCAAUUAUUCAUACUUUAAAAAUGAUUGCAUAAUUUUUCAUUUAGCACAUAAAUCCAAGCUGUCAUUGUCACAGAAGCUUUAAAACUAAUUCUUAUCUUUUUGGAAACAAUUUGGCCUCUGUAAAAAACUAGUAGUAUAGUUCCAAAGUUUUUAACUCAGUUAAAAGUGCUUGAAAGAUUAUCAAAUUUGAUUUUAAAUUAAAUUAUUUUUUAAUUUUUUAUUUAUAUUAAAAUUUUGUUUUUUUAAUAUAAUAAUUAAAAUUUUUGAUUUUAAAUUAAAUUAUUUUUUAUUUAUAUUAAAAUUUUAUCAUCUUAAUAUAAUAAUUAAAAAAAAAAACUAGUAAUAUAGGAAAACAGAUUCCAUGGCUAAAAUUGAACUCGAAAUAAGCAUUGCCAUUCAACAAUCAUUGCUACCCCCGAAGGUCGACCUGUCCACAACUAACAGCCUAUAUCUAACAGUCUUGACUUAGUAGUUUUGAAAUUUUUAAAUCUCAAGUCUUAUUACUUGUGAAUUUAAUCUAAUUUUAUGUUAAAUUCACGUUAAUAUUGGUUGAUUUUUUCAUUUAAUUUUUGAUAAUUUCAAAUAUCAAAAACAUUUCGGUUCUCUGUAUGUAUAAAGGUUUAUAAAUGAUUCAUAUAUAGACGAGAAGUACAAAAUAGGAAAAUUUGCAUUAGCAUUGGAUCUCGAAUUUGCUUGGUGCUGGGACAACACAUCUUAUGUCACAUGAAUCUACAUUUUUCAAUGAAUCACCAAAAAAUGACAAAGGAAACAAUAUAUGCCAUUUUCCACUUUUACAACAAAAUGUAAGAAAAAAAAGAAUUCCUUCCUGUCGAUCGCUGCCCCCAUCAUAGUCCCAAGGCAAUGCCAAGAUUCGUAGUUUCAGCUCAAGGACGAGAGUAGAGGGCACUUUUAAAUCGUUUGAAGCAUUCGAGUCAGAAGCUAGAUCCUUAAAGACAUCUUCCAAGUUCUCUUAUUUUGCUCCAACUAUAUAUAAUUUUUCGUAUGUACAAUGUGAAAGCUCUGACUAACCCCUCCUACGUCAUGUUUUCUAAGGCCUGUAAUUAUGGAAUCAAUAAAUGAAGGAUAAGAACAUAACAAAUUCUGAUAAUCUUUAGUUUGGAAGAGGCCACGGUAUAUAAACGAGGAACCCAAGCAUCGUCCAUAAUUCAGAAAACUAGUUAAUGCUUCAUUGAAAUUAGGAGCUUACAGUUGAACGUCGAAUCUGAAGAAGAAUGAAUGAGGUGAAGUACAAACACAAUGAAAUGGCUACUCCAGCUAUGAAAUUAUAUAGCAGCCGUCGGUUGUCUUUUGUGGGUAUGAAAACUGACUUAAGUGUAUUUGUUAAUUCAAACAGGCGAUGAGAUAUCUGCAGAAGGAAAGGUAAGAUGGCAGGAAAAUGAACAAAAUGAAUACAGCCAAUCAGUUGACAAAAUAUAAAAGAGUGGAGAAUAUUUUGCUUACCAAGAUAUAAAUGGCAGUUGUGAGCAUGAAGUUGAGCAGGGGAUAUUCUGGGAUGAAAGAAAGAAGCCACUUGGGUUGUCCAUUAGGCAUGUCUGAUCUGCAUGUAGGAAAUGAAAUUAUAAGAAUCUUAUAGACCUUUAAAUUUGUUACUCUUGCACAGCUUCAGUGCUUUGUAGAAUCAUCAAGCUUAAAAGGGACAUAGACAGAACUGGAUAAGAUUGAAGGUUAAGCUAUUUCACUACCAGGCUAUUUUAUAAACAUCAGUUUUGAGGAAAAAUUAAAAAUAGAAAAGUUUAAUUGGUUGACAAACCUCAACCAGAUAUGAAAUUGAGAAAUAUAAGUCUCCAGAGUAAUCUUGCCAAGCCACCUAGGUAGCACAAAAAUGUAUCAUAAUUAGAGCAAGUGCAAAAUAGCUCCAAAGACUCCUCAAAAAGUAAUCAGGAGAGCACAAUUAAUGAAUUAGUUAUAGUCCAGAAACAUACGCAGUAACUUCGAAGCUGUUGAGUACAAUUCCGCAAGCAAAUAUAGACACUAGAAUCACAAGAAACCAGAGAUGAUAGUCAGAUCCUGGAAAUUGAACUAAAGUGAUUUGUUUUACAAGAUAUUCCAUGUGCCUUCACAUAAAGUUCCUCGAGUGUUCUAAGUAAACUAGGAAAAGAAAUCCUUAAUACGCACGUUAUGGGGAUCCAAGAUGUGUAGGGAUGGUAUUUGUUGUAAGUAACCUUGUCCAUCUUGUAAAUACAUUCAUACCACAUAUAUCCAACCUGAAGAAUUUAAGAAAAUACAUAAAGCAUCCAUCAAAAACCAAUGAGCAUAAAUGUAAAAUAGUUAUCAAAAGAUCAGCCAACUUACAAAUACAGAAACUGCAACAAUGCUUGCUUUGAUUGAGAAUUUUCUCUUGGUUUGACAUUCCUCCAAUUUUUCCAUCCAUUUCUCAACCUAAGAGUUAAAACAUUUCAAAGAGAUUGUUGCGCACCAAGGGAACAAGACUUUCUGGAGACUAAAAAAUUUAACUUACAUUGGGAUGAUAGUAGGCAUAUAUCAUUCGAAUUAUCCAUAUAUAGCGCGAUCAAGGCCAGAUCUAAACUGCCACUCAUGCAGUUGAGGGAGAUCAGGUUUUGCAGGAUCAGUGUACCCUGCAUUUGAAGGGACAAAAAAGGUGAUAUAGGCAAACAGCUAUAACACAUCCAAGCCAAGAAGAAUGAACUUGCUUUGAGAUAGAUAUGAAAAUAAAAGUCAACAGGGUUUAUUCACAUGUGAGGUAUGCAUACUUGAAAGCAAGACAAUCAAGGAAGCAGAAUAUAAGGAAAUGAACUUUCUAACCAGUAAAUUACUGGUAAGUUUAUAAAUUAAAUAAAAGUAGAAGGAAGUAGGUAUGUUGCUGACCUAAUAGGAAAGCUAAUGGACUCCAGAAUAUUUCAAAAACUCCAGGAAUUUCCCAAAUAACUAUAACAAUGAGAAAGCAUGCAAGAAUUUUCACAGCCAUCACUGAUGGUAUCUCAAUUAUACUUGUUGAAAAUCCCAAGAGCUCCAUACACCAUUAGGAUGAAGAGCGUGUGCAUUGGGCAGAUGUAGUAAAGCAUAUAGUCAUUGUUGAGAACAAUGCAGCAAAAUGCCACAAAGAAGUUUAGUCGCCACAUCAUCUAUAUUAAAUUGAAGUUAUACAAGUACCUCAGUUUUAUCGAUAUGUAUAAAAAUAUAAAGAACUACAUAACUGGAAUGCUGAUAUGGCAUUACAGCCCAGAGAGAGAAUAUCACCUGGGUGAAACGUGCUAGGCUAAAGUCCUUUCUAAUAUAAUAGUACGAGAAGUUGCCAAAUCCAGUCAUCCAAACAUAUGCAGCAAUGAAAAUGCGUAUUGCAUUAUUUAUCUCUGUUGCAGCAAUGUAAUGGUACAUCAGAAAUAGGACCUGUAAAAGCAAAAAAGACAUGUAAGAAUAGCUGACAAAACUCCUAAAAACUUUUUAGUGCAGAAGAAAUAGUCAAUAGAUAGCAUGGAUCCCAUGCACCUGCAAACACAAGCAAUCUCAUGAAUCUGGCAUAGAUAUAAAUUUGCCUGUGUGAACAACAGCACAGAUCUAAAGAGUGAAUACUCAUAUCAGAUAGCAUUUCAUAUGAUAGUUUCACAAUCUAUGGGGAAAUGUUGUUAUCAAUAUUACAAUAAAUUAACAAGAAUAAAAUAGAAAACGAGCAAAUGAACAACUGUCAAGAUUAAAAAAAUACAAAAACCAUUAUUAAAUCAUAAUUUAGGUAGCUAUGACCAAAUGGAAAAUGGUAUUUUCGGAAGACAAAUAUCACAACCUUCUCCAGCAUUUAAACAAAAUUGACAUAUUGAGGAAAGUAAACACAAAAAAAAUCAGAAAAUAUAAUCUAAAUACCUCCUUUUUAAAAUUAGGUGUUUGUAAGGUGUCUAAGCUCAUGUAGUUGCUCCUUAACAGGUUAAAAGUCUAACAAUAAACACUCACCUGCAUCCAUCCUUUCCAUUCUUCAGUCUGAUGUCUACUGAGGUAUUGGAUGGUCUUUCCAGAGAAUGCUGAUUUGUCAUUAUGUUUCGUCAAAGAAGUCAUUGCUGAAUCUAUAAUGAGAAGAGCAUAGAGGAAGAGGAAAGGGUCACGGUUGUAUUUCUGUCCAAGGAAGACACAUAAGGAUUAAUACCAAAAAAAAAAAAAAACUAUAGUAUUCAUCCACAUGGAAAAACAAAGCGCUAACCUUAAGCUAGCAUCAAUUUGCAAAUAUAUAGCUACUUUAAACCAUUAAAGAGGGAAAAACUUAGCCAUCAAAAAUUUACAAUUACAAGAGAAGAAAAUAUUUUCAGGCAAUGUAUGUGAUUCCUUUAUAUUGAACUAUUAGUGAAUGAUAUAGUCAUCAGAAACUGCCUAUUAAAGAAAGAUUAAAUAUCCUCCCAAACUAGAGGACACAAGGAAGGAUUCAAGUACAAAGGGAAGAAAAAGGGUUAUUUAUACCAAAAAAAUUCACCUAAAAGGUAAAUAAGGAAAAAAAAAAACCAAUGAGCUCCAAGGGAAAUGGAAUGAAAAAUUAACUUGAAGAGUUUACUACAAGACUAGUGAACCCAAAUUAAAGCUUCUUUCUGUCAUUUUUAAGGGGAACGGAAUUAAGAAGGAACAAGAUAGACAUAGAUAAAAAUAAUGUACCAACAUAACCAGAAAGCACAAAAGAACAAUGGUUAUAUAUACAAAUGAAAAUCAUGACCCUAUUAGGAAUGCAGAUGCAACAGUCUGCUUGUGUAACUUUUCCAAAAAAAAUCACAAAAAGCAUGAAUUACAGUCAAUAACACAAACAAGUAUAACAGCACCUUGGUAGAUUCUUCUAAUAAAUUUGUGCGGUCGCAUAUGUAGAAGUACACCAGAAUAGCCCCAAACUCAGCCCUGCAUUAGAUUGCAUAGUUAAAAAUAAGAUGAAACAGAAAGCUGCUUAAAAGUGUAUUUCUGUGUACAACUAACAUUGCUCUCAAAAUUGCUCAAUUUUCAAGCAGGAAAGAGUCUUCCAUAGUCAAAAACCUGGAAAAUCAUAAGAAGGAAAUGAUAAGAUGAGUUUAAAGAGUACAAUCAUGGAAAACACCAUAACUACACUGACACUUAAAGAAUGCAACCUAAUUAAGUUCGUUUUGAGGGAGGAACUAUGGAAUUUAGCAGAUGCUGAUCUUGUGAGACCUCCUUCAAGCAAAACAGCCUGGUCAUUUUCUUUAAUUGUCUCCUCUCCUAAUUCAACCAGAUUUUUGUCUGAAUGGCUGCAAAAUGCAACUCAAUCAUCAGCAUCAGCAAAUAUUGAAGUCAAUAACUCCAAAGAAUGGUGAUGUAAACCCAAUAAAAUUUGUGCACCCAUGUUAACUUAAAAAAAUCAUUUGUUACACUUUAGAAUGAGAUGCAGAUUUCUUGUAUUCUAGGAACUCUGAAUAUAUCCAAGCAAUGAAAACUGGGACAACUCCUAGGAGAAAAGACACCUGCAGCAUAAUAAAAAGGCUUUAUUAUGUAUUUCAGGAAAACCGAGUUUGUUGUUUGUACAAGAAAACGAAAUAACCAGAAAAGUGCAAAGAAAGACCAAACAUUACAUACAUAAGAACAAGUGACGUCAUUAUUUAAAGCUAGAUUAGUAGAGUGAGAUAUACACUAUAGGCAUGGUCAAAGAACUUUAAAAGAAGAAAAAUGAAACCCCGAUUGCAUGUAGAUGUUGAAUGAAUUAAAAUGCCAUUUCCACUUAACAAGAUAUGCGAAUAAGUUCGUUUCAUCAAUAUAAAGUAAAACUUCAAAAAUUUUUCCAAUACCAUUCACAGUAGAUUCCAUGCAUUACGAAAAAUAAUUUUUCUUACAAUUAACCAUAAUUCGGUAGAAUCUAUAGACCGUCACUAAGCUAACGAGUCCAAUCUCUUCACUCAUCAAACCAAGCUACCCACUUAUGUAAAUCUAAUUACCAUAAAACUUCUUAAAGUCUUAGAAGAAAAAAGAAAUUUCACUAAUUCAAAGUUGGAAAAUAAAAGCAACCUCAGAAGUACCAUCAUUCUUAUUGUGCCUGCCUAUAAUCUAAAAAGGAAAAAAAUCAUUUGCUGCAAAAAUUCAUGAGAUACGCAUAAGCUUUCAAACUCAAUAAAAGAUUUCAAAAACGAAAUAACAGAAUCCAAAAUUAGUACAUAGAAAUCACAAAUUCAUUACUUGAAAAAAUUACUAGAAAUAUUUUCAGCUCAAAAAUGACAUUGUCUAAAUUCAAUCAAAUUACAAAAUCUCAAAACUAAAUCUAAACUUAACCAAAAAAUUUUUUUUUGAAUCAAUAAAAUUCAAAUUCAAAUUCAAAACCAUACCUGUCCAGGCGUAAUUGGCCCAGAAACCACCAUUUCUUUUAUGUAUCAAACAAUAACCUCCUUCAACUGUAAAAAUUGCAACAGAACCGAAUCAAAUCAAACCUACAAAAAGUAAAAUCAAAAUUGAGAGUGAAAAAAAAAGAAGAAGAAAGCAACGGUUACCAAAGAAAGAGAAAAACAAUGCGUAGAAUAGAGAGAGAGAUGGUGUUGUGCUAGAACAUGCUCAUAAAUACAACGCCCCUAAAACAACAAAUUUGUUUUUAAUAAUAAUUAUUAUUAUUAAUAAAGCCGAACUGAAGAUUCGGAAACAACGGGAGAUUAAAGAGAAGGAAAUCUAUUAGCAGUUGGCUUGAAUAAUAGAGAAAAAGUUUCAGAUAUAACGUCGUUUGCACGCACACACUCUCUCUCUCUCUCUAGCAAACGGUUGUUGUUGCCGCAGUACUGCUGUUUGGUUGGGUUUUCUUGUUGCUGUUUUGCUUUCAGUUCCAGGCGUUUGGCUGUUAUGCGAGAAAGAUCGGAAAAAUCAGAAAUACAAAUUAUUCCAAAACAGUAUAUAUAGAUAUAUUUAAAACGAUGUAAUGUUUAAUUAUAGUAUUAUCUAUUUUCAAAAAAAAAAGUUUAAUUAUAUUUUAUUAUAUAAUACUAUUAAUUCAAGUAAAUAACUAUUAUUAUUUUUGUAAUUAGGAAAGAAUAAUCGUAAAAAGUAGGAAUUAAUUACCAUUAUCUUGCUAAUUAAUUAAGUGUUUAAAAGGAUAUUUUGGGGUUUAAGUUAAAAGUUUAAGAAUAAAAUUAUAAAAAAAAAAAAACAAAUAAAGGCUGCAAUCAAUCACUAAACUUCAAAAAAUUCGAUUCGAUGACCGAUCGUUAUUGAUCUCACUGCGUCAGAAAUCAAUUUGAAUUAAAAACUACGAAUCAUCAUUAAAAACGAUGGCAAUUGGACUUUCAGUCUAGCCUUUCACCGAAAGUCCAAUUGCAUCCAAAUGUAGCCUGAAUUCCAAUUUUCAACAGUCCAUCAUAAAUACUUUUGAUUUGCACAAUUGCCCACUAUUUAUUGCAAUGUGCAUCAAUUUAUGGAAACGUUCUCAUGUUUCUCUGUGGAAGAAAUGGUGGGAACAAAAUGGCAAACGUAUUUUCCAUUGGCUGCAUGCAAAAGUGCAGAUUAAGGAAUUUUUUUUUACCAAUAAUUUGAUCAAGAUGAGUGAUUUUUUGCUUGCUUUACAAUGGGCAAACUGAUUAAUAAUUGUAUCUUGUUUUAAUAUUGGUUUAGGUAAUUAAGAAUGUCAAGAUUUGGUAAAGCUAUAAUGGACAAUCUAACUAAAAAGAAACUAAUGAAAUACUAAAAACAGCCCCUUGGGAUUCUGGCGUAUGGUUUUCUGAACCAAAACCCAAAUUCUCUCCGCUCACUCUGUACUGCUAAAUAUAAAAGCUAAAUAUAAAAAGUUCUGCCCCUUCUUAUGUUUAGGUGCCAAUUUAGGCCUAGUUGCAGGCUGAAAAUGAUGGAAGGACCUCGAUACAUGGAGAACUGGAAGUAUAGAGAGUGUCAUAAAUGGUUCCGUGAUGGGUCAUCAAAUCUGGACAUUAUCUAAGAGAAUUGAUCUUUGCAUUUCAGUUGCUAGUGCAUUGAAUUACUUGCAUUCUGGUUAUGAUUUCCCCAUUGUGCAUUGUGAUUUGAAGUCUUCAAAUAUACUUCCGGAUGGAGAUUGGGGUCGCACAUGUUAGUGACUUUGGAACAGCUCGUAUGCUGGAUGUCAAUCUCCAUUAUGGAAGUAUCCUUUCCUCAUCAUCAAUAUUCGAAGACACUACAGGCAAAUUGGCACCGGGUAAUCUUCAUUUACUACAACUUAUUAAAGCACGUUUCCAUAUCUCUAUAUGCCAGAAAAUUUUCCAAUCUUGCAAUAUUUUCAAUAUGCAUCUUGAGAAAAGAUAGUUUUAACAAUUAUGGUCUCCUGCGUUGCAUGUAGUCUAGUUUGAACUAUUCAAACCAACACUGGAAUUCCUUCAUAACUUUGAACAGAUCAAGUGAUAUUAUAAUGAUCAUGCUUAAACAAUUACAUGAUUAUGCAAUUUCAUUUGCAUUGAUAAAUGACAGUGUCUAAGUUUCGCAUGAACGUUAUCAGAUUUUAAAGCCAAAACUUCUUAAACAUUACUCUGCUCUCAUUCAGAAUUGGCAUACAUGAGGAAUGUCACAACUCCUAACAAAACAAAGACCAACUGGACUUAUGGAAGAGGAUUGACAGCCAGUCAGUUUGCAUC
rnacentral:lncRNA from 1 species